rnacentral:lncRNA from 1 species
AAGCAAAAGCUGCAUAAUCAUUCACCUUGUUGGAUGAUUUAAAAGAAAAGCUUCCUAAAAUUCGAUAUUUAAUGAAAAGGGCCAUGACUAUAACGCACAAAAAGCAAAAGUGUAGCAAUUUCCUUUUAAAGACUUUCUCCUCUAACAAUUAUGAUCAUUACUUUAAUUGCACUAUUUAAUUACUAUAAUUCAUUGAUUUAAUUAUUAAUUUAGAUACUAAAAUAUGUAUUUUUAUAAUAAUAAUUGGAUAAUUAUUUUAUAAACAAGAUUAAGAAGUUAAUAAGUGUCUUUAAUUAAUAUUAAAAAAACUAGUUUUAAUCCUCACGUGCAUUGCACGAUUAUUGUUUUAAAAUAAAUAAUAUACAAAAUAUUUCAUGUAAAUAAUAUUUUAUAAAUCAAAGAAGUUGGAGAAGAAAGAGAAGAGAAUAAAGGGACAAAAAAGUGAAUUCGAUCUUUGAGGGUUUUCCUUGUGGGUGACGAGAAUUGAAGGAAUGAAUGAUUGUGGUCGAGGUAGGAAAAGCGAUUGUGAUGCAGACUAGGUGGCGAUGGAGGGUGGUAGAAGAGGCGACCGUAGUAGCAACACCACUGAAAAAGGAUAACAACAGGGACCACGAGAACAAGAAUAAGAAACAAUGAGUGCAGGGGGUCAAUGAGAAGUUAGUUGUUGCAAUGUUUAGGGAGGAGGAGAAUUAAGCCAAAUUGAUAGUGGAAAGUUAAAUUUAUUGAAUUAUUUAGAAUUAGGAUUAAAUUGAUAGAAUGUGUAAGUAUUGAACACUAAAUGUGUAAUCAUAUCAAUUAAAAAAAGUCAUGUCAUUAUUUCCAUUAAUGAUUUAGUGAAGGGUGAUCAAAACAUAAACAAAUGAUGACAUUAGUGACAAAAAUGAAAAUUAUGGUGACAAAAACAGAAACACGCUAAUAGUUGGGUGACUAAUUUUAUAGUUUGCCCUUAAAAUAAUAGUUCUUUGUAGACGAAACUUUUACUCACAUUCUAAUGGCAAAUUAUUUUAUUUAAUUGCUUAAUAUUUUACUAUAAGUUGUUUCUCACUUUUUUUUCAAAUUUAAUUGGUUUUUAUCAUAAAUUAGACCAAUAAACAUUUAACUAAUAAAUUACAUAUUUGAAUUAUUAAAAAUAUUUUUAAUAAAUUAAAAAAUAAACGCCAAGUAAUGCAUGUGAUAUUGGAAUUAGUAGAUAUAAAAUUACAAAUUUGAGAAAUUGAUAUAAAUACUUUUUUUUUUAUUAUAUUAUGAAAUUCACAUUGAAAAACAACUAUAUAUUCUAUAUAUCCAACUUCUUGAUUUUGUCAUGAAGCGAAGUUUUAUAGCAUUAAACCAACAAUUAUAAUUAAACUAACAAAGUAAAUAUAAAUGGAUAUGGAAAUGAUAAUUAAGCAUAAAAUAGAAAUUGAUUUUGGUUAUAUUUUUUUUAGAUACAAUUUUAUCAUUAUUUUAUAUUACCAUAUUAUAGCCAUGAAACCAACAAUAAUAGAGAAUUAAACUAUCAAUUAUAAUUAUUGAUAUAAAAAAAUAAAAUUUAUACCACAAACAUGGUAGUGAUUGAACUAAUAUGGUUCAAAAUAGAUAAAUUCUUUCUCUUUAAAAGUAAAACACCAAAUUCAACUUCGUUUUUCCAACAGAAGAAAGGGGAAACAAUGUUUUCAAUCUCAUUUUCUAUAGCCUUCGCAGUUAAUUUGGAUAAAAGAAUCCUCUUUUUACUGUAACUAUUUCUUCUUAAAAUAGUAUUUUACUGAAUUACAUUUUUAUUGUAAUUUAAAUUAUUCAAAUUUAUAAAUAAGUAUUAUCUUAUUUUUUGAUACAAUAUUUAUGGGUAGGAGAUGGGAAUAACACAAUUCGAACCCACACCAAAUAAGUGUCUAACAAAAACUUUAAUCACUGUUCCAUUUAAGUCAAAACAUUUUUACAAUAAAAAGUUUGAAUAUAUAUGAUAAAAAAAGCUAUUGAAUUAGACUUUAUAUUAUCUUGAAUUAUAUUUUUAUUGUAAUUUAAACUAUUGAAAUAUACAGAUAAUAGUAAUAUUUAAAUUGUUUUGUAUUAUAUGAAAAAAAUAGUAAUACUGUACUAUUAAAUAAUAAGUAAUUACAUUAAUUUCUUUUGAUACAAAUUCCUAGAACUAUUUCUAGUUCUUCCCUAACCCUUCAAUAAGAGGAUAAAUAUAUUUCAGCGUGCUCGAAUCGACGUCCUCCUGCAUAGGCAACAAUAUCAAUGCCAACCUAACUAGAAUACAAUUGGCAAGUAAUUAUAUUAAUUAAAUGAAAUAAAAAUAUAAUUAACUAAACAAAAAUAAUUACACAUGUAAAUAGACAUGAUACGCAUUAUGACAUAAGAAAUUAGUUUUUUUUUUAAUUUAAAAUUAUGAUGUUUUCUUUUAACUUUUCAAUGUAAAAUGGGAGGAAAAAUUCAUGUUUAAGAGUAGAUAUAACAUAAUUUAGUGGAGUUCCAUGCAACCCUAGAAAUAGGAUAAUUAAUAUUAAGAUAAUUAUUAAGGAUUAUUUAAUUUUAGGAUUUAAUUUUAUUUAUCUUUAUUUAUCUUCAAUAAAUGUAUUUAUCUUUUGAGAAUUUAAGUAGGAUUAGACUAUCUCCCCUAGCACUAUAAAUAAGGGGUGAAGUGACUCAAAAGAGAUCUAUCUUUUUCUGUAAACACUCUCUCCUCAAAAGUCUAGGCUUUUGUUCUUCUCAUAUUUUCUUUCAAUAAAAUCUCCAUUUUUAUUAUUUUUAUUUUCUUUUCCACCACAACCAUGAGCCACUAAAUCCAUCUAGCCGAAGGUUGUUGAUAUUCCCCAAAAAGAGUUCUUGAGGCUUAGAGUCCGUACUUAGCCUCCUUGCUGAGUAUUCAUCGUUUCUCCGCACUACGGGGCUGACGCUUCCGUCCAUGUCCCUUAAGAAGUAAGCUUUUCAACGUAUGCAAAGGCGGCCGCUUUGUAUGUUUUGGGAAGGUUGCACAGUUGGUUUGUUAGCUUACUGCGUCAGAGGUUGGCGAGCCCAAGAGACAAAAUGGCGUAGGAUUCGCCAUUGAGAAGCGUUGAUCUAGCAUGAGAUAAUCCUACAAAAGUGAUUGUUGGCUAGAGUCAGGUUCCAUUAAAUCGUAAGUUUAAAUCAUUGGAGCUAGUGGUCGUAGGCGUCCUCUUCCACUAUAACUGGCUUAUUUGGUUUGGGAAGGAUCAUCUAAAAGCCGAAGAUUGAACCCAAGGCGGAAUGAGACAACUGGAGGCUGGAAUCUCCCAUAAGAAUUUCCUUUCUCUCAAAUCUAUUUUUAAUUUCUCGAAUCUUUAAUUCAACAUUCUUAAUUAUGUUUUUAUUUUAUUUUUCGUUUCCAGAUCCAAACCUUUAAUUAUGUUACUUUCUUAUUUUUUUCCAAGAACGCAGGUUUUCUUGGGCAUGAUUCUGCUUGAGAUUUCAUGGAACAAGACAUUGUGCAAAUCCAGUCCCUGAGGAUUUGACCUUACUUCCCUUUUACUAUUCUUUUUAAUUAUUUAUUAGGGAUAGAAUAUUUUUGGUGUUUUCAACAACCGCAUUAGUUAAAUAAUAGGAAAAUUGUAAUUACUAGUACUUUUAGUUCUUGUGGAUACAAUAUAUUUACUCACUGUAGCUAUACUAUUUAUCGAUAGAUGCACUUGCCUUUGUUGUAUUUUUUAGUUAGUUUCGUGACUAUCAAGCUUGUUUGUCAGUUGUAUGCUAAGUUGCAAUUAAAGGAACAAUUAAAGGAGGAAAUGGUAGAGAUGGACAUGCGAAUUGAUUAUACAGUUCAAAAUCCAUUUUUAUUGCUGCAGGGUCUUGUCCAAAGAGUAACCCACUGUAAAUCAACACAUUACUUGUGAUUUUAGUUCAACUCACUUAUCAAAUUAUAACUUUACUCCUAUAUAUCAAUGAAGAUCACUCUCAUUAAGAAUUUCCCCUUGAAAGCUUAGGUACAAACUUGGCUCUAAAAACAUGUUCCUCUCGAUGAACAAAAUAAGUGCUUUCUCUAAUUUGUACACAAAACUUUGGUCUAAAUACAUAUUUCUUUCGAUAAACAAAAUAAGUGCUCCAUUUAAUUUUUACACAAUUAAAUAAACAAGUAUUCUUGAAAUAAGAAUUGUAGAUAAUCUUCAACCAGUGUGAACAAGAUAUGCUACUGGAAUUGUGCCCCAAUUGGUCUUUUAUAUGACAUCAAAUAAGUAGAGAUUUUCUGCGUUUAAACUUCUAUAAAAACAUGAUCUCCUUAAAUAUGGUAAUUCGAUCUCACUUAAACUCUUCAAAUCGAAGUCUUUGCUUGAAAAAUAUUCAACAUGAUCAAAUCCAUAUAAUUGCUACUCAAAAUCCUCAAAGAGAUAUGAGAAAAAUAAUCACAUGGUUUGACUACCCUAAUCAGAAAAUUUUGCCAAACGACUUUGUUAAUUUAUUACAAAUAUUUCUACAAUAGGAACCUUAAACCAAACUUAAUUUGACUACCUUGAAAAUUUAACUUCUAAGGAAUUACUUCUUAAUUACAAUAUAUCUAACCUCGAGGCGAAGCCUUUGAAGGGAUCCCCUUCUUAUUUGCAUGACAUCAUACUGACAAUGAUCAUCCCUCUAACACGGUCUGGCUUGACCCACCUCAAUAUCCUUAAUCAACCAACGAUUCUUACAAAUAUAGACCAAAAUUCUGUAAGUUCAAAAGAACUUAGUGAGUUUUUUUAUCGCAUUACUAAAAAAUAAACCCCGUUUUACAGGGGUAGUAAUUGUAAAGAAAUUAAACACGUUUAACUCCCUGAUCGUUUUGGGACGAUUUAUUUAAAUCUAGAAUGGCAGACUCCAGUUUCUUUUUUCAGCUCGUUUAUUGGCAGAUAAAUCGAUAGGUGAUCUUCCCCUGGUCAAUUUUAUUGCCAUCCAACUGGUUUUGGUGAUUUUUUAAAUGUCUCGCAAUAACUAUGGAGUUUGACUUUUCUUUGCUUGCAUUAUCUCUUUCACCAUAUACUUAUAAGGUUGUCCUCCUAAACUUCUACCCUAAGGACACUUUGGUUAUGUCUUCAUCGGCGUAGAUUCCAAAUCUAACUAGUCCUUAGCAGACCCUUACUAUAGUCUUGAAGGACUUGUUAACAUCCUAUCAAUCAGGUUAACUAAUGAGGAUCCACACCACUUUGGCAAACUCAAUCUCAUUUCACCCUCCACUCGCGCUGAAAAUUUGGUUAGAUUACUUACUCGUAAUCCGCCCCUACUUGUGAUACUUUGCUUUUACGGUGUAGCUUGUCCGUCUACGGUAGACAGUUUUGGCUUACAAUAUCUAGUAGACUGUUACCUAAGCGACCCUUCAAUUUUAUGAUUUCUCUUGUAUGAUGGUUCCUUAUGGAACUAAAUCUAUGGCAUGUGUACCGAUAGUGGUUUCCCCUCAAAGAGGAAUAGUCUUGACAGUCAUAACUGCCACUUAGAUAGUUCCCUAUCAGUUACCCUUUCUAUCCUUACAUUCCAACUAAUCCCCUCUUUACAAACUUGAUUAUCCGGGGUUCAUACAAUUGAACCUCCCCAUAUAUCUACGAUUUUUAUCGAAGCCUUAUACUGGGAGUGAAUCUCUCGUUAACCUUCCAAAGUCUUCUUUUGACGUACAGAGUUUCUUUUUAGCACUUCUUGGAGGUUCUUAAUGGUAGAUCCUUACCUUUGAUCUACGAAUAAAUCCUCUUUCAUUGCCUCUAUACCAGGUAUUAUCGGUAUGUCAUUCCCAUAACUUAUUCUAGUUAGGUUACCACCCUACGCCUUACCGACUUAAUUGUUUAUCGCUUUGGCAGAUUUUUCCCAUUUCUAUUAUUUUUGCCCAUUUUUUCGAUGAAUUCUUCAAAAUCCGUUGGUUAGCUAUUACUUGCCAACACUUUAAAUUUUCCUAGUUUACGUGAUUUUCCAUGAUUACCGUCCUGGCGAAUUACCCCAUUUUUAUUGUCCUAGCGGACUAUCACAUAAUUACCAUCUUAUCGAAUUACUUGCAUUUAUUAUCCUGCCGGACUCCAUAUGUUGCCAUAGCCGAGCUACGAUCUUACGCAUCAUGCCCUAUGUUUAAGUCUCGGUGGACUCUAUUGGUUGCCAUAGUCGAGCUAUGGUCUUAUGUCAUAGGCCACAGUUCAAAGCCCAUGACUAUCGCAAAAAAUGCAUCCUAUGGAGGUCUAUCGGUUAGAUGGGAUUCAUUUGACCCAUGAGAACUAGCUUAACUUUAAAGAUCUGAUGAAAAAUAUAAAAAAACUUGAAGGGUCUUUCAAGACUAAGGUUUGGAUAAAAAAGUCCACAAGGACUGGUACGAACAAGCCCGCCAAGGAAGGUAUGUAAGAAUCCUUGAGCGGGUAGUUGAAAAGGAUACAAAAAGGGUUCAUAAAAGAAAGCCGAUUAAUGACCAUGUUAGAUAAAGGUCAACGAAAACCUUUAGUGAGGGGAAAGUGAAAUGAAGGAAGGAUAGGUUCACUAGCAUGAUGAAGUACCUGGGAUAGAAUCAAGUGGAGAGUUUAACUAAAAGAAGGACAGUCAGCGAGUAGCUUAGAGGAUUUGGUGGUGUCCGCCACCUUGAUGUCAAAUAUUCGCCUUGAGCAAGUAGGGAUUAAUCCUUAUUUAUUUUAUAUUAUUUUACAUUCGUUACCCUUGUGUGGUAGGGUUAUUUAUGGACAAUAAAGGAACUCAGUAAGUUCAUUUGAUCUUACAGCAACAUGCUGAUGUUUGCAAGACUAUGCUGAUGUUUGCAAGACUUGCGAGGAUGAUCGAGGACUUCGAGGAGGGACUAAGCAAGAGGGAAUGAUGAGAUCGGGGAUAGUAGGAAGUUAGGGUCAUGCACAUUGGAAAAGGGGUACUGUCAGAGGCUUCGCCUUAGGAGUUGUUAUAUUGUAUUCUAUUAGUGCCCUAGAAUAUGGGUUUUUAGGAGAAAUAGCCUUACUUAAAUUAUGAGAGUUGUUUUGUAAAUAAAUAGUCAUAUUAGGAACCGAAAUUGUGAGAAUAUAAACAUUCAGUGGCUUUAGGUUUUUGUUGCAAGAAUUAUAAUUAUUGUUUUCAUUUAAGUCUGUUUAUAAUAGUCCAUUGAUAAAAAUUAAAGUAUAGGUAAAAUAGGUCCAAUUAUGACGUUCCAUACCUGGAUCCAACAGACAGGUCAAACGUGGGGUGUUAUAGUGCUAUAAUGGAAGGCAAGUCUUCAAUCAAAACAAUGGUAGUGCUCCUUGAGUGUUGCUCUGAUGCGGUAGUGAAGGAUGAGUUGGUUGUGAUCAUUAGGAAAAUGAAUGUACCACCAAAGGUUGAAUCCUUUCUUUGGUUGGCUUGCCAUGAUUGUUUACCCUCAAAAUAUUUUUUUCAUGAUUAGGUAAAUGUCGACGGUGUUUUCAUUUUGAUAGCGGGGCCUAUAUUUUUUUCGAGUGCUAUUAUUUUUUAGUUAUAUGGUCGAUAGUGUUGUGGUGGUGAGGUUUUUCGUGGGUUAUGUGAUAAGUGCAUAAAAUGCCAAUUUAAUUGUGAUAAAUUUCCCUUUGAAUUGUACUAUUUAAGUCAUUAAUAUUUUAUUUUAUCUCAUUUUUUAUUUUUCAUGUAUUAGGUGAAAGCAUUGGAGAAAGUGAGCUUAAAGAUUAAUUUUGACAAGUUUUUGUGUAUUGGACUUUCAACUUAUACUGCUUCAGUAUUUUGGUCAUACUUGAGCUACAAAACUCUGAUUUGGGCCCAUAGUUUACCAUUUUGAAUGGAAUCAAAAGAUUUGCUGGACUUACUUCAAAAGCAAAGCCUAAAAAAAUUUCAAGAAGAUGCCCAAAACGACCUAGAAAUUCGAAACACAAAUCUAUCAAAAAGCUAGAAAACUCCUUUAAUUUAUUAAGGGAAUUUUUUCUUUUCUCCCUUAUGAGAAUUUUUCCCUACAAAUACAUAGUUUUAGAUUUGGAAUUGUAGUUGGUCACCUACAUCAUCUUUUUUUUUUUUUUUGCAUUUGUUUUCUUCAUGUGUUGCUAAACUUUUUUUCUAGUCAAAGGGAUUUUGAAGUUUUGAUUCUUCAUGUUUAUGAGAUCAAAUUUGUUCUUAAUAUUUUCUUCAUAAUUUUGUAUUCAUAUAUAUUUUAUUUUAAUUAUAAAUAUUUAGGUUUGUUGAAUAUAGGGACCGAUAUUGGAUAACUUAGAAUGUAUUAUUUGUCAAUUAGAAUUUAAUUGUUUAAUUGGUUCUAAUAUAUGUGACAAAUAGCAUGAUUGAGUAUAAGCUACAUAUGCAAUUCAUGUUAUGUGGAUAUGUAAUUUAGUCUAGAACUCUAUUUGUGUGUUUGUUAGCUAAAUUGGGUCUCUUUUGUUCUUUAUGCUAUUGAUAAAUUAAAUCUUAAGCAUUCAUCAUAGGAUUAUUUAUCGAUAAGAGAAAUAAUUAAUGGUGUUCAUCUUGGUUAUUGAAAAAGUAAGAAGAGAAUAGUUGCUAGGCAUUAGCCGAUAACUAUAGCCAAUUUAUUACAAAAUAUUGAAAUUUAUCUUUACAUCACUGAUUAACUCACAAAUCAAAACUGAGAUUUUACUUUUGACUAGGCUUACAUGGUUUUAAUUUUAAAUUUAGUCUUUAAAUUUAAAACCCCUUUCUUAUUUUAAAUUUACUUGUUUUCACUAAAGAAAUAAAAUUAUGAUGGGUCUCUAUGGAUUCGACCCUACUCAAUGUUAUAUACGAAAUUUUAUAUUUUUGAAUAGGUUUUUUUUUUAUUUUUGUUGGUUUCCACGCCCAUUAUUAUGCCACAUACGAUAAAAGAUUUAUUCUUCAAUGUUAUGAUGUUCUUUUCUCGAGUGUUACUAAAAAAAAGAUGGAUGACUAUCUGUAGUACAACUCUUUGGACGUUAUGGUUUAUGAGAAACUCAUCAGUUUUUGAUAAUAAAGAAUAGAAUGGCUUGGAAGCUGUGUUCCUUCACAAACUUAGAUCUAUGAUCCGCAUUAAUGUCUUGGAGGGUUUUAAUAACAUUAUUGAAGCAUGUUGGUGGGUUUUUCCAAGACUCUGCUAUACAUGUUUUGUUGCAUCAAAUUGUAGAGUUGGUGUUUCUUGGUCUCUUCUUGAUAUUAAUACCAUGAAGUUUAAUGAGGAUGGUUCUUCACAUGGUAAACCAAGUCUAGCAGGGUGUGAUGGUGCUUUAAGAGAUGCUACAGGUUGUGUUAAAGGUUCGCUUUUUAGUCUUUUGGGUAUUGUCUGUUUGAAUGAAAUUUAAUUGAUUGCUACCAAAACUACCUAACAACUUUUUUAUUCUUUACAAUGGGUGCAUUUAGUUCCCAUUGUUAUUAAAUCUAAUUCAAUAGUAGCAGUUUCAUGGGUGUGCAAGAAUGAAUUUAGGUCAUGAAGAUUGUGGAAGAUUUUUAACAAGAUUGAUCAAUAUGUUGACUUUAUUAAGCAAGUUUCAUUUGUUAAUGUGUUUUGAUAGGCUAAUGGCUUAGCCGACUCCCUUGCCAAGCUUGGUUGUUUGUCGAAGAUCUCUAUUUUAUACUUGGCGUCAAUGGUUCUAUUUUACUAGUGUACCUUUAUAUUGGUUGUUUUAAAUAUCAUAUCUCAUUUUUCUUGAGAUUUCUAUUGUGCUUUUGGUAAAAAAUUCCAAAGAGAGAGAAUGUCAGUUACACAUUCUAAUUGUACCAUCAGUUAUAACUCACUUUAUAAUUGAACGGCUGUGUAAAAUACCAUAUAUGUUGGAAUAUUUUGACAUGAAGUACUUGAGUUUCUUUAUAUGUCUCUUUGAAAAUUUUAAGCAGAAAUGAUCUAAGAAUGAUCAAAUUAAAUUACGAUUAAGUGGGAUAACGAUUGGAAGAGUUUAUGUGUGAUCAAGAUACCAUAUAUAAGCAGAUUGAGUUUCUAUUGAAGGUUAAUUCGUGAAGAUUUUUGCUUAUUUGAUGUCAUAUAAAAGUCUAAUUGAAUCAUAGUUCCAAGGGCAUACAUCAUUCACACUAAUUGAAGAUUUACAAGCCUACAAUACCUAUUUAAAGAAAAUUGCUUACUUUAUUAUGAACGAGUUGAAGAGAGCAUAAACUUAGUUCAUCUUAGGAACCGUUGGAGUUUUAGAAAAAAAAACUUAUGGAAAAGAGAAAAUAACAAAGUCAAGAGAAAAGUAGAAGUAAUUGGAAUGGAAUGAGUAUAUUUUAUUGAACUGGAACUAGCGUUUAUAUAGUAAACAAGUUAACAACUAUUGACUAAAAAUAUGCUACUAACAGAAUUAUAAUAUCUAAAAAAACUCUAAAAAUAUGAAAAAAAAACAAAAGAGUUAUAAUUAUAUCUAAAAUUAGCUAGAUUAUGGUAAUUGAAGAAAAUUUUCAACACUCCUCCUUGCUUCAGUUGCUGUAAAUUCCAAGAACAUUUUGCAGCAUAGCUGUUAAUUGCUUUGCAAGAUCUGCACCAUAUUGACAGCUAUUUGUUGCCCCUCUAAUGUUGACAACAAGAAAAGGCUUUACAAGCAAAGCCAGUUCAUCAUGCCAUACUGAAGUAACACUUCUUAAUGCAACUGAAUCAACCAGAUGAAGAGCUCCUACAGUAAGAACCACAUGCCUAUCAAGAGGUCUACGAAGAGUUAUCCACCUCUGGUGAAACCAAGGAACUUUUCUCAGUCCAUGAGGAGUCAAUGGAUAAUAAUCAUGCUAGGAAGUAACCUCUAAAUCAAACCUAUCCAACCAUGACCAUGGAUGUUGUGUAUGAACAGCAAAAACAUUUUCUAUAGCUAACUAUUUAAUGGGGCUCGUAAUGGAAAUUGUAACCCGACUAGAUAUGAUGACCAACAAAGGCAUGUUAAAUUCAUCUUUGGCAGUAAAACCACCCAAAUUAGCAACAGGUCUAAGAGGUGGUUCUUCUGAAUAUGGAUGAGAAAUUCCAUGAGGUGUAACUGAAAAACCAAGCCCCUCACCAUCAUUCUGGUUUUAUACAGUCAGAGGCGAUAUCAAUAUCUCAUUCUCUUCAUUUGAAUCACUAAGAACAAUAGCCUUUGCAUUUCCUACUAGUGUAGAUUGGUUUUAGUCAGUAAAUUCAUGUGCUGAAUCUGUUAAUACAAAACUCCGGUAAGGAAAAUCUCGAACACACGAUCAGAACUUGAAAAGAAAAGAAGAAAUAGGACAAGGCUCCAAGGCAUAUAUCAAGCCACUAUCUUUAAGGUUAUAUUCGCCCUCACUUAUCUUCAGUGUGCAAAUGAGUUCCAAGCAAAUUAACCUCGAGGAUACAAUGAAGCCAAUAACUAUUUGCGUUUUGCACUGACGAGAAUAGUCCACUUUGCACUGAGUAAUGUAUAACAAAAACUCAAUUUCUACAAAGGAUUUUUGCAGUAAUACUUUAUAGAAUAAUCUAAUAAUAUUAGAAAAUGAAGGAAGAGAAGAAAUAAUAUUAGAAUUUGUUGAUAUAUUUCCAAAUGAAAACCCAUUCCUAUUUAUAGGAAUUUUCUUGUCUCUUCAUAGAGACAUCUUUCAAUAGGUGUCUUUAUGAAUAAAUAAAUAAUAAUAAUUAUUCAUUUAAUUUUGUAACUAUUCAAAUAAUAUUUUUUGAAUAAUUAUAAUUCUUUUUUAAAAAAUCAAAUGAUAUAACUUUUGACCAAUGACCAAAAGAUUUAUCUUUUGAUUAAUUACACCCAUUCAUUUAUAGUUAUUAGGAUACUAUAAAUAUUUGAAAAUGUUCCAACAGAAUCUAUGUUUAGAGGCACUGAAUCAAGUUUAAUCUCAUUGCUUGUAAAAUUCAUAAGUUCCACCAACAUCCUAAUUUACGCUGGCAUCUUCACACCCUUACCACUUCCGGUAGCGCCACUACUCACUGGUAUAAUUUUUUGCUCAUGAUGUAGCUUGUUUGGUAAUCUAGUAAAAGAAGAGUUGUUUAAGUCUUCAGGCUUGCUAAAUUGCCAGUACCGAUUUUGAUUAUUCUUUAUUCUGAGUUUCAAACUUGUAUAUCCUUUAAAAGUAUCUUCAAGUUUGAUCUGCUUCAGAAUUCCAGCUGUAUGAUUGAAAUGUCCAAGCUCUUCUGCGAAACUUCAGCAUGAACAUUUGUUGAAGAGAGCGCAGCUUGCUCCUCCUCCAAUGGAUCAAGUACAAGGCUCUUUUCUUUCAUUUUUACUUUGAAUGCAUCGUUGCCAUUUGCAUAUUAGAUUAAACAUUAAUUUGAUUCAAAGAUAACUUUGAAACCCUUUUGAAUUACCUGGCUAACACUCAACAAAUUUUGACUGAUGUUAGGUUCAAAUAACACAUCUUUGAUAAAUUUUGUACAUAAAAUUCUUUCAAUGGAAACUAUGCAUUUUCCCUUUUAUUGCAAUGUACUCAUCAUUGCCAAUCUUUACUUAGAAAACUAUUGGACUAUCCAAGUCUUUGAAAAGCUCAUGAUGAAAAGUUAUAUGGUUGGUACAACCACUGUCAAUGAGCCACUUCUCACUCGAAUGACAGGUUGUAAAACAAGUGGCCACAAAGAGUUGCUCAUCUUCUUCUUCGUCAAUGACUUGAGCAACAUUCUUUUGUUGCAAAUGCACUUGCGCAUCAGUCUUUUGCUAAGUAUUACUUCUGUAAAAUCUUUGAUGAUGUCUCAUCUUCUGACAUUUUACACAUUGCUAGUCUGAUUUUCUCCAACAUUAGAAAGGUGGAUGAUCCUUUCUUCCACAAUGUUUACAAAGAGGAAAAUCAUAUUUUGUUCUUGUAUUUUUACUGAAAGAAUCAGAACUUGAAUUUCCCUUUUUGUUCUUUUCAUGUUUCUUUCCCUUUCCUCCUCAACUAUUCUGAGCUUCUACAACUAAUGCACCUUCAACAAACCCUUUAGUUCUCACGAGCCUUCUAUGUUUUUGUACUUGCAAAGCAUUCAUCAAUUUUGCCAAACUAAUCUUUAACAAAUCUUUAAUGUUUUCCAAAGAGGAAAUGGUAGCUUCAAAUUUUUCAGGAAUAGUUACAAGAAUUUUUUGAACUAAUCUGGAAUUAGGAAAUUUAGAACCAAGUAAUCUUAGUUUGGUUGCGAUUCCAAGUAAUUUGUCAAAGUACUCAUUCACCGUCUUAGAGUCCUUCAUCUUCUAGAGUUCAAUCUCUCUAAUUAGGUCUAACAUUUUCAUGCAUUUAAUCCUUUCAUCACCUUCAUACUCCUUUUUCAAGAAAUUCCAAACUUCAAAGGCUAACUUUAUUGUCAUGAUUCUGAGAAAGAUGUUAGAUGAGACUGCAACAAAUAAUGUAGCUCUUACCUUUGAUUUUCUUCAUUUCUUCUCCUUGUGAUUCUUCAUUUGUACCACUAUCAAAUUGGUCGAUAACGAAGGAACUUUGUAGUCCUCCUCUACAGCUUCCCAGAGAUCAUUUGCCUCUAGAUAAGCCUCCAUCCUUGCUACCCAAACAUGGUAAUCAUCACCAUUGAAAAUGGGUGGUGCAAGUGCAGUGAAAGGAAUUUCUGAAUCCAUGAAAGAAAAAAAUUUCCACAUAGAUCCUUCAAGAAAAAAACUCUUGAUACCAAUGUGUUUGAAUUUGAUAGAAAAGCUUAUGAAAAAGAGAAAGUAACAAGGUCAAGAGAAAAGUAAAAGUAAUUGGAAUGGAAGGAGUAUAUUUUAUUGAACUGAAACUAGUGUUUAUAUAGUAAACACGUUAAUAAAUAUUGACUAAAAAUAAGCUACCAACAGAAUCAUAAUCUCUAAAAAAUCUCUAAAAAUCUGAAACAAAUCAAAGAGUUGUGAUUAUAUCUAAAAUUAGCUAGAUUAUGGUAACUGAAGCAAAUCUUCAACAUGAACUUUUUUUAAUGUAAGUCCAUUAUGAGCAAAUUAUUUUGAGGUUCAAAUUUGUAUCUAAGAUUUAUAGAGGAAAGUCUUAGAAAAAAAAAUGAUUGUAACAUCUCAAACCCGGUCCAGACGUUAUAGUUGAAUCUGGAGAAAUUACAUUAGUUUGUUUAAAAAAAACCCAGAAGUUAAAUCAUAGCUUUAGAAACCAAGAAUUCUAAAAAUAAUAUUUUUAGCAAAACACUUAAAUGUUAUUUUAGAAAUUACGCACAGAGCUUAUUUAUUUUACAGAAUAGCUCUUAACUUGAUCUUAUUCGAAAACUUUUGAUUUCAAUGAGUGUUUAGAAAAUAUAAAUAUAACAAACAUUCGUUAAAAGCUAUUUAUUCGUUUAUAGAAAAAAAACUUAAGAAAUUACUUAAUUUGUAGCGGAAAUUUUUUCAAAAUUUUAGUUUUGAAAACUGUAAUCCAUUUUGUUAACUCGUGUGAUUUUGUAGUUUCACAUUCGAAAAUCUCAAAUGUCGAUGAAUUAAACAAAAACCAAAACAAAGCUCAAAAACAACUUACAAUCCCAAAAGUCCAAAAUAGAUAAUUACAAAUAUCACCAUAUUUUAAUUAACUGAGAAAACAACCCGAGCUCCUGUACAUCGUCUGGUCCUAAGUUUGUAGUUCACCUGAAACGUAUUAACAAACGAGUGAACUAGAAGUCUAGUGUGCAACUUGAACCACAAAAUAGAAUUUCCAUAAAACAUACACAAAUGUAAAUACUAACAUAGAAUUUUACUUAUAAUGUUCACACAUAUGAAAAAUCAUACCAGAAUGGCACCAUACCAGAAACAUAUUAUCAAAAUAGAAUAUCAUAUUUCCAGAACAUAUAUCAUAUCAAAAUGUCAUAUCAUAUUGGAACAAAUCCUACCCCAAUCUGCUACACACCAACUCUAUCCAACCAAUCACACUAAUAGGACUACAUGAGUCCAUCCAUCCAAUCACAUCGAGUCGUGGUGAUAUGCCACUCAUAAUGGUGCAGCUGAGUUGCCAAACAUAUAUUGCAGUUUAAUCGCCAAAAUUACAGUAAAACUGCCAUAAUACACUUCUUCCUUUCAAUAUUAACCCAACCUAAUGCGUGUGAUAUGACAUAUAGAAACAAAAUCAGAACAAUGACAUGUUUAUCAUGCAAUCACAUAUGGCAAAUUCUGAAGUUUAUCUCAUAUUAAGAGAUCAGAUUAACAGCAACAGAAUCGUACCAUAAUAUCACAAACAUGAGUGUCAAAUUACAACAUAUUCAUUAUCACACAACAAAUCGAAAACUGCAAAAUACAAGUCAGAGCAGUUGCCUUAGAUUUAGAAUUAGUAAUCAUUUUAGUACUUCCCAAUCGUCACUUAAUCACAUUUCAAAACAAAAUCACACGAGUUAACAAAAUGGAUUUCAAUUUUCAAAACUAAAUGAUUAACACAUAGUUUUUUUUACUUAAAAAUGAUUAACACAUAGUUUUUUUACUUAAAAACCCAUACUACUUACCAUAUCAUACUAUCAAAUUUCAAGUUUUCAAGUCUUAUUUAAGCCGAACGGACCCCACGAAAGGUCUAAUUAUGAAUUUCAGAGUCAAACGGGCCUAGGUGAAAAUUUUUAAAAAAUGGGUCCACACAGUCGUGUGGCCCAUACGACCCAACUAGCCCAACCCAUGUGACCCAUAGGUUUGCCACACAGCCUACCACACGGCCGUGUGACCUAUACAGUCUGCCACAUGGCUUGACACACGGUCGUGUGAUGAAUAGUAGUUUCGAAACAACUACUAUUUUCACAGAUUUUCCAGGUUCUAAACAACGUUUUAGUUUAGAAUCACACACCUGAUUGUUGAUUUGGUCAACUACACAACUGAGACUCACGAAUCCUGGAAUCGAAAUUAAAACGCAUUGAUUACCUAGCCAAAAUAAUCCCAAAAUUUCUCAUAAACACACCCUUUUUCACAACAAAAAACAGCCCAAAAAACCAUGCUCAAUCACUUACUACGAAAUUAACAGUUGCCAAAAUCGUUCCUAAUUAGUUGGCGAACCGUCGAGCACCUCGCGGUUAUCUCCUAACAAUAUAAAAACACACAACACAGAGAUUAAAUUCGAACAAUUUUAAGCAACACAAUGCUUAACUUAAUCCAACUUGAAACACUUGUACACUUAUCGAGCUUGUCACAACUUCACAACGAAGAACGAAAAAUAAACCAAACUAAUAGUAGAAUCACAACGAAAAGUAAACUUUUGAUGCGCAAUACCCAAAAAUUGAAAACAAAACCCACCCAAAAAUAGUAGAGAGAAACCAAGCAAAAGAGACUGUGGAAGAAACAAAACCCACACAAAAAAAGGAACGUGAGAAGCACAAAGAAGUGGACAGUUAAGGUUGAGAAAAAAUAGGGAUUUGGAAAACAAGUAUUAAAAUAAAAUAACUCAAAUUUUAUCCCACCAGAUUUCAUAGAAUUUAAAUUAAACUCUAGUACCCAACAAAAGCCUGAGCAAAAAUAUUUUCCACUUGCGCACCACAAGAUUCAAACACAAAACCAAAGCGUAAACUAACAAGUUAACCUUAUCACUGAACCAACAAACUCAUUUUGUUAUCAUUUGCAUGGAAAUAAGAUUUAAGUCAAAAGACUAGGGAUAGGAAUUGAAAUAACAAAAUUUCAAAGAUAAAAUUUAAACUUAGGACCUCACACACACAUACAGAACACAUAUCAACUAAACCAAAUUAAAUUAUUUUUCAUAAUUUUCACAACCUUAAUUCAAUGUAGAGCGUGAACACUCUUGAUUCCACUAACCCAAUUUCUUUUAACCUGGUUUUCGGGAUGUGACAAUAAUCUUAUAUGGUUGAUGUAAAUGUGUGGGGUUGUAACUUGAUAGGCGAGUUGAACUUAAAUCCUGACUUGUAUUGUUGAUGUACAGUGAAUUACUCUAGUAAGAUUGACUCCAAAAAUUCAAAAUAGAUUUUCGAAUUGCAUAAUUAGCUCUUGUAUCCAUCUCUAUUUUUUACUCUCUUAUUAAUUCAUCCACUUAUAUCUUAACUAAUAGUUGACCAUCAACACAAUACUUUCACAUUUAAUAAUCUUCAAUUUUUGAAAUUGCUAACCUUUCGUAUCAUAAAGACCUAAAUCAUAUUCUUUAAAAGAUCGUAACCUAUAUGUAGUGAAAUAUUGUACAUUCUUUUUUUUUUUUAACUUACAAUAUUAUACGUAGGUGGAAACUUGAGUAUAGUUUUUAUAAAAUGCUAGGGAUGCAAGAUUGACGGAAACAAAUACAGUAUCGAAGACUACAAAUGGUUGCUCUAUUGACUCAUCCUUCCGAUCAUAUAUAUAUAAAGAAGAUAAACCAAAGCAUGAAUUCAUUAUGUAUGUAUAUGUCACUUAGUGGAAUUGGAUAAUAUAUGGGUAUAUAUUAUGGAUUCUUCCUUCUUUUACUUAAGUAUUGACCAUAUCAUUAAUUAACCCACUCUUGACUUGAAUCACCUUUUUCACUGGUAUCUUUUGGACUCCCAUGCUCAUCUUUCGAAAGAUUAUUGAAUAAAUGUUGUUGAGGGAAGAAUUAUAUGGAUAUAGUACAAUCAAGCAGCAAUCAUUUUGUUGAUUAAUGUGGCAACUAAUAUAUAUAUUUCAUUUGUCGAAAGAAAAGUAACUGGGUAGCUAGUAAUGUAGUGCACUAAUUAAUAUAUUAUAAUUAACCAAAGGAAAAUUGCAGAUACGAACAAGUACAAUGAUUGUGGGUGCUAAAUCAAAGUGCUUCUUCAUGAUAUGGUUUUAUCGAACCUUUUUAUUUGUGUAAUAUUAAUUAAGUAGCAAAUUGGGAUGAAUGAGUUAUGACAAAGAUUAUCUGUUUUAUAUGAAUGUGUUUAUAUGUAGAUAGAUAAAUAAAUAGAUUAUUUUGUUUGCUUUUGAAUGGAGCUAGAGAAUCAUGAAAAAUUAUUUAACACCCACAAUUACAAGCUUUUUAGCUCAAUCAAACCAAAAUGAUAAUGUACACUCGUGCAAUGCCAUAUAAGAAGAUCAAGGAUUCUCUUUUUAGGCUUGUGGGAGGAAAAGCUAAAGCACACCCUCCUCUCUCUUUCUUUCAAGAUACCACCUUUUUUUAAAGUUAGCUAGGUAGGGACUAGGAACCGUCCAUUUAAUUUUUCUUGUAUAUAAAAUAUUAAUACAUUUAGGGAGAGACGGUAAAUGAUGCCUAAACAAAAUAACAAGCCUAAAAAAUUGAUUGAUUAAACAAGGUCGCCAUCAAAUUAAAGUUUCACUAAUUAAGGAAAUUGAAGAAGACAAAUGAUAUGAAGUGGGAAAUAUAUGGGAAGGCAGAUUGUACAAGUGAUGAUUGGGAGUGUUGGAACUGAGAAGGAAAAGACAAGGUUUCAUUCAAAGUCUUUGCAUAAAGGAAAAUUCAAAUCAAAUGCAAAAGCUAGAAAUUUACUGCUUUUUUUAUUACAAGUUGUGGAAAAGUGAUCUUUAUAGGAUCAUUUUACCAAUAAAGGCCUAUUUUAAAUUUUAUUUAUGUAAAUGGGUCACUUUUUUAUUAUUUAUCGAAAUAGGCUGAAAACACUAAAAUAUGUCUACGUAGGAGCGUUUUAAGGAGAAAUUCCAGCAAAACGAGUCCCUGAGGGAGUGAUUUUGCCAUGUCACCACAAAAUGCGCUGACAUGACAAAAUCGCUCCCUCAGGGAAGCGUUUUAGCCCGUGUUUUUCUAAGGUUAGAGCUAUUUGCAUGUUUAGUGCCUAAGGUUUGUGGGUUUAGAGUUUUAAGGUUGUAGUGUUAGUGUUUUGUUAAAAUAAUUUAGGAUUUUAUUUAUUUAAGGUUUGAGAAUUUUUUAAAAAUAAAUCAGGGUUUAUAAUUUUUUUUAAAUUAAUUAAAUUAGGUUUUAAGGGUUUUAAAUAAAUAAAUUAAAUUAAAGUUUAGAGUUUUUAAGAAAAUUAAUUAAAUUAGGGUUUAAUUUUUUUAAAAAUAAUUUUGUGUUUAGCUUUUAGGGUUUUUGUAAAAGGGUUUAGGUUAAGGGUUUAGAAAAAAUUAUAUUGACAAGAAGGAUUUUGUUUUUUUUUCUUUAGUAGUUUCAGAAAAAUUAAUUUUGAGAAGACGGUUCUGAAAAAAUAGUGUUGAAAACGCUUCAAGUAAGAUGCACUAUCAGCAAAAUUACUGAAAAAAGCUCCCACGUAGACGCUCUUUUUCUACAGUUGUUCCUGAAAAAAUAAUUUUGAGAAGACAGUUCUGAAAAAAUAGUGUCAAAAAAGCUUCAAGCAAGAUGCAUUGUCAGCAAAAUUACUGAAAAAUGCUCCCACGUAGACGCUCUUUUUCUAUAGUAGUUCUUGAAAAAAUGAUUUUGAAAAGACAAUUCUGAAAAAAUAGUAUCAAAAACGCUUCAAGCAAGAUGCACUGUUAGCAAAGUUACUGAAAAAUGCUCCCACGUGGACGCUUUUUUUCUACAGUAGUUCUUGAAAAAAUUAUUUUGAGAAGACAGUUCUGAAAAAAUAGUGUCAAAAACGCUUCAAACAGGAUGCAUUGUUAGCAAAAUUAUUGAAAAAGCUCCUACGUAGACGCUCUUUUUGUACAAUAGUUCCUGAAAAAAUAAUACUUAGAAGACGGUUCUGAAAAAAUAGUGUAAGAAAUACUUCAAGUAGGAUGCACUAUCAGCAAAAUUACUGAAAAAAGCUCCCACAUGGACACUCUUUUUCUACAGUAGUUCCUGUUUGGCCUUAGGCUAUAAAUGAGCCAAAAUUUAUUCUCAUUUGCAUAAGUUACAGCAAGAAAAAUUAGAGAGGCUAAGCAGAAUAAAAAUUAGAGAUGAGUAAACGUAUUAGUGUUGUUAUUUACUAUGAUGGUGAGGUCCAUGACACUGAGAAUGGCGUUAUUUUUUUAUCAAAGAACACAACGCGACUGGUUUGACAGAACUUCGUAAAAGACUUAGGCACAAAAUCUUCUGGACGACGCCAAUGAGAGUUUUAUCUAUUAAGUAUUGAUUUUGUGCUUCGAUUGAUCCCGUGACAUAUGACUCAUUUGAUAUCAAAGGUGGUCGUAGCUUGGAGGCGAUAGUGCAGACUCAUCUCGCUAGUGGAUCACCCUAUCUUGAGUUAUAUGUACAAUUUUCAUCGCCAAAUGAAGUAUUUGCAACUUCAACAUCUAAUGUUGUUCGAGAGGAAUACAUGACCCCUACCUGACACUCCGUUAGUGGGAGGCAGAACAACGAAACGCCCAUGUUUAGUGGCAGUAUGAAAUACACAACUCCUGCACGACACUCGGUUAGUGGAUGGGACAUGCACCUCAAUGGGUUGAUGUUCGAUGCUGGAAAUACGUACUUAGGAAUGUCAUCAACUUCUAGUGGUUGACAAUCUACAUAUGAUUGGGGACGUUACAAAACAUCCACAAGAAGGUAUGAUGUACUCCCUACGACGUCCAUUGGUGAGAGAACCUCGUACGUUGCAAAUGAUGGUGGGUUGGAUGAUGAGUUCGAUGUGGACCCACCUCGAGAGCCCGGCCUCGAUAGUGCAGAAGUUACAUUAUUUUCUGAACUGGCCUGUUCCAACCAAACCUGAAGACAAUGAAGGGGUUCAGAUGAUGAAGAAGAAGAUCUGCGAUUCACGGCGUACUCGCCUCCAGCCCACAUACAUAAUGUUAAUCUAUCAGCAGAUGAUGCGUUGGAGUUUCCAGAUCUACCACACAGAAAGCGUGAUCGUACAAGUUCGUCAUUGGAUUCAGGUGAAUUAGAAGUUGGUAAGGAGUUUUCCAGUAAGGAUAGUUUUCUUAGUGCAUUGAAACAACACAACAUCAUGAACGUGGUUAACAACCACGUGGUUAAAUCUAAAUUUAAAAAGUUCGUGGCCAAGUGUGAAGUGCAAGACUGUACAUGUUCAUGGAAAAUCAUAACUUCGGUUAGGAAAAAGACAGGCUUGUGGGAGAUAAAAAAAAGUACAAUGGUCCACAUACCUGUGUUGCUAGUACAGUAUCACUGGGUGUUUAGGAUUUUUGAAUAAUACUAUUAUUACUUAAUGUUGCAUUACUUAACAUACUUUGUUGACAGGUGUUUCACAAGAUCAUCCCAAAAUGGAUUCAGAUAUGAUAGCUAGCUUAAUACUACCGAUGGUGAAGGUAGAUCCCAGGACUUGUGUCAGUCUUAAUUACCAAUAUUCGUAGCCAAUUGACGUACACGCCCUCUUACCGCAAAGCUUGGUGUCAGGUGCUGGAGAGGUAUGUCCCAGGUUGUAUAAUAGACCUUAAAACGGGCCUUGUGUACUACAACGACCGCUUUCUCCGUGGAUGCCAACUGUUCAAGCGUCUGUUCUAGAGCUUUAAGCAAUGCCAGGACGCAUUUAUGUACUGCAGGCUAUUGGUACAAAUUGACGGUUCCUUUAUGUAUGGUAGAUAUACCUAUCGGCUAUUGUCAACUGUGGCACAAGAUGGCGGUGGGAGAAUCUUUCCAAUUACAUUUGUAAUAACACCGGGAGAGUCAGGUGAUGACUGGGAUUUUUUUCUUUCUAAGUUAAGGAGGCAUGUCUGCCCCCAACCUGAUAUCUAUGUUAUAUCAGAUCGGGGUACUGGAAUACUAGCCACAAUUAUGCGACAGGAAAGACUAUGGGAUCGCACACACCAUCGCUAUUGUCUAAGGCACAUUGUGUCCAAGUACUAUGGGCAAUAUCGGUGUACCCUGAACGACGACAAGUGACCAACAUGGGUAUUAAUCUCUAUUAAUAUAAUUUCGUUUGUAAUAUUCAAUUUAUUCUAAAUGGAAGAGUGGUAAGUAAUUUUUGCUAUCAACUUAUAUUGAUAGGGUACGAGAUUAAUAAUGAUCAUUUUCAUGAUAUGUUGGCGAUUUUAUGGUCAAUUAACGAUCAAGGCGUAGACUACCUCUGUAACAUACCUUUCGAUCAGUGGACACAAGUAUAUGACAGCGGCCUACAAUAUGGUCAUAUGACCUCAAACCUGGCUGAAUGCAUAGAUCCUAUUCUAAAAUAAACGCGUCAUUUGCUGAUAACCUCGGUUGUGUGAGAGACAUAUUUCUGUUUGGCGAAACUAUUUCCAAAGCUAGUGAGUUAUAAAGGCCAAAUGCAGGGAGGCCAUGGUGCGAGAAGAUAUUGCAAGAAAUUAACAAGGCGAAGGCGCGGGCCAACACCAUGCACACAGUGUGUUACGAUGGCAACAACUUAUGGUUUUUUGUAACAGAGUUUAAUAGACCGAACCAAGGUAUUACCGGCGGGAAAUAUCGUGUACACCUGAGAAAUAGGACUUGCGACUAUGGGACGUUUUACGCACUUCGUUAUCCAGGAACUCAUGCCAUUGCAACUUGUCAGAAUCUUCAUUCGGAUCCCAUGAGCUAUGUCGAUGAAGUGUACAAAAUAGAAUACAUGUACAAUGUGUGGAGACACGUAUUCCUACCGGUCCCAGAUGAACGUAAGUGGCCACCUGUAUCGCUUACUCUAUUUAAGUUGUUACCAGAUAGAGAAUUGCAUCACAAACUAAAAAGUCAACAUUGCUCGAGUAUAAUACAUGAUAAUAUGGAUAUCCAGGAAAGAAUGAACCAACAAAAGUCGUGCGGAUGGUGUAGGAACCCAGAUCAUACAAUUCAAACAUGUCUAAAUCGAAAUAGUUGAUAAUUGCUUAAAUUAAACUAUGCUGCAUUAUUUCUAUUGCCUUAUUCAAAAGAACUUUUAUUUUAUUAAAUAGGAUAAAAUAUAAAAAUAAUUUACUAUUAAAAUAUUCAAAACAACUUUUAUUUUAUUAAAUAAAACAAUAUAAAAAUAGUUUGUACAAAUAUAUUAAAAAAAUCAAUGUAUGUGCCAUUCGAAAUUAGGGCCACAUGGGGGUGGUUGACAGUUACGCGCUGGAUUCCUUCUUGAUUCAACUUUCGGCACGGGCUGUGGUUGCUCCGGCGAGGGUUGUGAUUGUUCUGGUUAUGGGUGUUGGGAGGAUGACCCACCUUGAUAGAAUAAAGAAUACGGAGGUGUUUGAAUCACCCACGGCAGAGGUGUUUGAAUCUCAUAUGGCGAUUGGGAUUGGAAAUGAGAUAAGCUCCCUGACGGUGCCUCAUAUGAUCCCUCCUGAGACGAUGGUCUAUAUAUCUUCGGUUGAGUCAGAGUGAUCGGAAAAGGAGAUGCACUGGGUCAUACAUUCCAACCUGGCAUAGGACUGAGAAAAGAAAAUAUAUAAGGGUUAUGAUACACACCUGGCAUAAUCUGAAAGGGCUGUGGUGUGGGCAUUGUCGCUUGAGGCAUUGGGCCCGGUAAUUGUGUGGGCACUGUUCAUAAGCCCGUGCCGUCAUCCUUUCUCAUUGGAUUUAAAGGGCCCCGUCGUUCUCUUUCGACAUGGAUUUGCCAAUGCCUAUACUCUUCUGAGAGCAAAUAUGGCUUGUCAUAGAUCCUAAGCCAUGGCAUGUAAUCCGGUGCGCACGCUAACUCUAGAACGAUGAUCGGUUCGCGAGUAGGUAUAUGAACAUACCGAUUUUCCUAAUUUUCGAUAUAUACUGAGAAGAAUACCAGCCAAUGCAUAUUCAAUUGUCGUAAGUCAAUUUUGUGCUCAUCAUCGAGCACCUCAGGUGUCACGGAAAUUAGUUGUCAGAAUCUAAAUUGCUGCAACACUCUAUUUGUCUGGUGCAUUUCGAAAGUAGCAUAGUUGACCAAUGGGACUUUAACAUGCCAAAUGUUCAGAUUUCGAGAGAAUUCAUCUGGAAUUACUACCUGAAUUGUCGGAUCCUCAUAUGGUGUCCAUUAAAAUUAUAUGAAUGUGAUAAAAAUAUUAAUUAUAUACAUAAUACUAAAUACUACACGCUUCCGACCGUUGGUCUAAUAGAAUCCGUAUAUCUUCAAGAACGGUAAGUAUUCCAACAUAACUCGCUGAAUGGUUCUACCUAAUUAAAUAAAUUUUUAGCAAAAAAAUUAUAUUUUAAAUCUAUGUAAUUCUUGUAAAAUCUAAUAUAAAAUUUACCUCGUUAUGAGUGGGAAUGUAUAUAGGUGGUUUACUCGAGGACGUAAAAAUGGAAAACGAAAUCGAACCCAUGAUUAUAGUAGUGACAGGCAACUUCCGAUUUGGGCUUUAUUUGGUUUCGUCGCCCUACACAUCUCCCGGUACAAUGUUGUGAACACGGAAGACCCCUAACUAAGUUCGCCAGCUACUUUAAAAUUAACGAGUUUUAGCAGUCACCUCAGAUGUACAAGGUUUCAUGACACGUCCAGCAUCCGAUAACCUCCAAUGAUCUCAAGGAUGUAUGGCCGAGCAUAUCAUAUUCUUUCUAUUUCAGUCGAAUCAUUAACCGGCUCCAGAAAUGUGUCUUGUAACCAGCCAUCUCGAUCUAACCUCUGUAAAUAUUAUCUGGAAGCAUACCCAAAAUAUCGUAGCAUAUGGCUCCCCAAUCAACAGUUUGAGCGAACCUGGUGAGUACGAAACCAUCCACCGGCAAUCUCAAUUGCUACUGCGCGUCCUCUAAAGUGAUGGUACACUUUCCGCAUGGAAGAUAGAAUGUGUGCGUCUCGAGUCUCUACCUCUCUAUGAACGCACUGAUGAGUUUCGGGUUUAACUUGUACCCCCGGACUAUAUUGGCCACGUGCCAAAAACCCGCUUCCUUCAAGUAAUUUUCUAUCAACGGUGAUGGAGGACUAGAUAUAUUACGAAUAUAACAUUGUAACACCCGAUCUACAAGUUGUUAUGAAAAAUAUAAAAUAAAAAUUAAUUAAAAUUACAUAAAUGAAAAAAAUAUUAAAUAAUAUUCAAAAAUUGGAAUUAACCCUUACCAUUUUCAUUUGUUCGACGGAGAUAUGUUUAUGAUUGAGACGAAUUAAUUCUCCGGCCAUUGCUAACACUAUCAAAUAUUUUUGAAAUUAUAAAAAAUAAUACUAAUUUAGAAAAAAAUUAAAGGAAAUAAUUAAUUAAGUAGAGCUUUGAGAAAUUUAGGGAGAAAUUUGAGAGCUUUUUUGAGAAUUUUGGAAGAAAUGUUUGUGUGAAAAAAAUACGAAGGGGUUUUUAUAGUUUUUUUUUACCGUUGGACCCCCAACGGUCAAAAUUUUAAAUGACUAUUGGGGGUCAAAAACACAGGCUAAAACACGUCCCUGAGGAAGCGAUUUUGCCACGUCAGCAAAGCGCGUCCACGUCAGCGCGUUUUGUGCUAACAUGGCAAAAUCGUUCCCUGAAGGACUCGUUUUGCUGGAAUUUCCCCUUAAAAUGCUCUCACGUGGACACGUUUUAAUAUUUUUGGCUCAUUCCAGUAAAUAAUGAAAAAAGUAGCUAAUUUCCAUAAAUAAGGUAGGAAAUGACUUUUAUUGAUAAAAUGGUCUUUUUAUACAUUCAAACCAACUUUAGUUUCUUCUUUUAUUUUUUUUAUUUUUUUUAAUUUCACUAUUGCAUUUCAUACUUUAUUAAUGUACAACAAAUUUUUAAUAAACAAAAAAAAUUAUUAUUUGUUCGGUAUAAAAAAAUAGAUAUUUGAUGGAUUAACAAUGUACUUUUUUUAUUCUAUAAAUAGUCUUAAAAAUUUGAUGUGUAUCUCUUUUUUUAAAUAUCUAUUUUUUUAAUAUUUUAGUACACCUGUACAGGAUAGUUGUCAAUUCAUUGACAUUGCUUGUGGAAUUUAAAGACUCGACUGACACUGAACUAAAUAUUUUCUCAUAAAAAAUGGAUAAGUAUUUGGUACAUUGACAUUGAACUUUUUGUAUUCCACAAGCAACUAAAAAUUCUACUGUUAGUGUACUAAAUGUUAUUCCUAAAAAAAUUUAAAAAAUAUAUUAAUAAGUAGAAGGGUUGAUAUUUAGUACACUAACAAUGUACUUUUUUAUUUCAUAAGCCGACUUAAAAAAUUAUCACAUGUAUCUUUUUUUUUAAUAUUUUACUAUAUCCCUAUAGAACAUUUGUCAACCCAACCCUUACUUGUAGAGUCUAAAAACUUCGCUGGUAGUGUAACAAAUAUUAUUUUAAGGUUGUGUUUAGUAGGGGUGAGCAUUCGAUCGAAUCGAAUUGAAAAUUUUCGAGUUAAUCGAGUUUUUGAAUCUCAUUUUAUCAUCCUAACUUUAUUUCAAGUUUUCUCGAAUCGAGUCGAGUGAGAUGAAAUUCGAAUCGAAUCGAAUCGAAUAUAUUUGUUCGAGUUAAAUUUUAAAAAAUAAUUUUGGGUCCUUGUAACCACUGUCACCCAUCGUAAUAAAAUUUGUCCACCUUAAUCAAAUUUUUUAACUUUCAUCACCUCAUAAUUUAUUUAUUAAUUUUUAUAUACUGGUUAGCUUCUUUGCUUGCUUAGUUGUUUCAAUUAUCUUCAGAUUCUUGUCACUAUGUAUUUUGGAAUUAAAAAAUAUAUUAAAUGUAAAAAUAUACUUUUUAAUAAAAGUUAUUUUAAAAAUAAAAUGUGAAAUUGAUACCAAUAUAAAAUUUUAACACAAAUAUUUAUGGCAUAAUUAAUAAUUUAAUUUUAAUAUAAAUAUUCAAUAUGACUAAACAAUUCAAUAAUAUAAAUAAUAUAAAAUGUGAAAUUUAAUUUAAUAAUAUAAAUAGUAGAUAUAAAUAAAAUUAAUACUACUUAUGUUUAGUGAUUUUUUUUUGGAUAAUUUUGAUUUUUUAUUUGAGAGUAAAAGGGUGAGAAGUAAAAGUUUAGGGGGAAAAUAAAAAGUUUUGGGAAUAAAAGUUUGAGGGAAAGUAAAUAGGGGAGUAAAAUUUUGGAGGAAAAAUAUUAAAAAAAUUUGGAGGGGGGAGGGUUUGGGGUAGAUGGGAGGUGGGAUGGGAAGGGAAUAAAAAUUUUAAGGGAAAAGUGAGAGGGAGUAAAAAUUUUGGGGGAAAAUAAAAAGUUUUGAGGGGUUUUGGGAGUAAAAUUUUGAGAAAAAGUAAAUGGGAAAGUAAAAUUUUGGUGGGAAAUAGAUUUUGAGUAGAUUGGGGGGUUGGGAGGGGAGGGGAGGGGAGUAAAAGUUUUAAUAUAAAAUGUUAUAGUUUGAUAUUCGAAUUCGAAAACUCAACUCGAUUCGAACUCGAAAUUUGAAAAAAAAAUUCGAGUUGAUUCGAAUAACUCGAUUAAUUCAAUUCGUUUAACUCGAAAUUUAAUUUUUUUUAUUUUUUCGAGUCGAAUCGAGUUUUGCUCACUCCUAGUGUUUAGCAAUGCUUAAAAAAAUACUUUUGGCUUGAAAAACACUUUUUAAAAGAAAAGUUGCAUUAAACAAACAAUUUUUGGCUGAAAAGAGUGGAUUUUCAAGAGCACUUUUACUUAAAAUUUUUAGUUUUUCUUAAGCCAAAACCACUUCUGGAAACAUUCUUACUUUUUCAUCCCUCCAUUUUUCUUCUCCCAUUUUCCAUUCACUUUAAAUUGCAAAUGUUAAUGUAAAUUUUUUAAUAUUUAUAUUUGGUAUAUAAAUAUUACCCUUUUUUGAAAAUUUAAUUCAAAUACAUGUAAUAUUUUAAUUUGUUAGGUUUAUGUGUUUUUUUUAUGUUAUGUUAAUAUCUAAUAUGUGUUAUAUAUUCAAAUUACAUUUUAAAAUAAAAUUAUUAAUUAAAAAUUAAAAAAACAUUUCUUAAAAUAAUACAAAUGUGCUAAUAUCUAAUUACAAAUAUUUAAUAGUUAUAUUUAAAUAUUUAAAAUAUAGUUUUAUAUUAUAUUUAAAUUUUAUAAAUAAUUAAUAUUAAUUACUUAAAAAUAUUUAAAAUUUAUAUUUCAUAUAUUAAGAUAUUAACAACAAGUUAUAAUAAAUUAUUUUUCUAUAUUCUUAUAAAAAUAUAAUAAUAUUAACUAAUUUGAACAUUAUUUAAAUGUUUAUUUGUUACUUUAUAACACCAUGUCUAAAAUGUGCAUUUUAUUUCUUAGAAGUACUUUUUGAUAGCAAUACUAAACACUUAAAUCUUAAACCAAAUAUUUCAAAAGUACUUAUCAAAAUUAAUUUUCCAAAGCACUUUUUAAAAGCUUUUCAAAAAUACUUCUAAAAAUCACUUUUCCAAAGCACUUCUUAAAAACAAUGCUAAACUAGCCCUAAGUAGAAUUCUUAAUGGAAAUAAAUGUUAAAUUUAUUCAAAAAUUGGAUAAAUAUAGUAGGUAAGUUUUAAAAAAUAUUAUUAUUUCUAUAUAAAACUAUAAAAUAGACUAAAUUAAACAAUGUCUUAAAUCCUUAAAGUACCUUUAAUCACUCAACCAAUGAAUGUUGCAUUUUUCUCCCUUCAACUAUAAUUCCAAUCAAGUUUGGUAAAAGAAAAAGCUAGGAGUAGACUAGAUUGAUUUCAAACUAAUUUAGGAAUUAAAUUGAAAAUUAAUGUAAAAUAAAAAUUUAAACACAAUUCUUUUAUCCCGGUGGAAUAUUCCACACCAAUUUAUUUAUAAGGAAGUUUGCUUAGCCCACUGCUCAUAAAAAGUUAGGAUCAAUUGAACCGGCAUAAAAUAUGUUUAAUAAACAAAAAGAACAUUAAAAGUAUUUUUAUUCUUAAAACAGAAAAAAAAAAUUGAAUCCAAAUUUUAAAAAAUUUAUUUUAAAGAUUAUAUGGCUAAGAAAAUUUAUUUUUUAUUUUAUUUUUUCGACCCAAUCGUCGAGUCCGAGUUAUAAGGUGUCACUUUCGUUGCUGGAGCAACUACAAUCAAUUCACAGUUCAAUUUAUAACAUAAAACAUCCCGAUAUAAGUUAAACAUGUAUAUAAAACGUUUCAUGUACAUUUUCAGGUCUUAUACAAGCUUACGAAAGCUCUAUUGCUAACCCGAGGUCAAUUUAGGACCAAAUGUAAGAAUUUCAUAACAUUGGGUUGACGUUGCGACGUCAGGGGUUCCUCGUUGCAACACAACAUACUGAGUAGGUCUCAUCGUGACAUCGAAUACAUGUUGUCACAACAUGAAUCCUUUGUUGCUCCUCGUCGUGACGUUGGGGAUAUGUCGUCGUGAUGUGACAUCCUGUUUCUAUAAAAAUCAACAUGGUACAAGUUUGAGAGACCUAUAAUAAUACUUUACAUUUCAAUUAUAACCAAAACAAAAAUAUGCCAAAAUGGUGCUUCAAAACAACAUCGAGCAACCAAGUUUUAAAUUCAACCGUUUUCGGUACAAAAUCGACUUAAACCUUAGGUACAUGUCAUAUACUAAUCAAAAGAGAACUUUACAAACUUUAUUGAAUCGGGGAUCGCUUGCUAGAUGUGCUCAAACUAUCUAGAAUCUACUAUACCUGAGCACAGAGAAAACAAAUUGUACGCUGAGCAAUUACACUCAAUGGUAAUUUCCAUAUCAAGUUACAAAUAAGCAUGAUCAUAUAAGAAUUCAAUUCAAAUAUACUACAAUUCAAAUGAAACAAUUUGCGUAUUCAAUACAAGAAUUCUAUUCUCCUACAACAUUCUAUUUGAUAGCCAAACUAACAUUUAUAUCAUCCAUUCUAUUAACAAAGAUGUAACAUAUCUAAUUGAAUUACUUAUAUAUACAAUUAUGUACCAAUAUGAUGUUUAAUCUCAUUUCCAUUCAUAUUUUAUACAACUUAAUCAAUUCACAUUAUCAUUUAUAGAAACAUACGCUCCUUCAUUUACUAUGACCAAUAUGAUACCCUCGUUACCAGAACAGUAUUCCAUUAGUUUAAGACUAUACUUAUUUGGAAGCACAAUUUUAAAAUAAUAAUUUGUUGCAUUUAAAGAUUUAAUGAUGCAUGAGUUAAGCUUUGGCGGCUGUUUAAUUAAUAUCAAUAAGUCACAAAUAACGUUAUGUCAUCAAAACUUCCGAUACACAUUCAAGUGUUUAAAAUAACGUUCAAUACAUUUUAAAUGGUUUCAAAAUGGCGGUAUCUAAUAGUUGUCCUAGCACCCACAGCAAAUACAUGUUAACCCUGAAAAUAAGAAGGCUCACAAAUGGUCACAAAUUUGGUUGUAUCCCUUCAAUCACCACGCUCAACCUAAGAACAUGAAAUGAAGAAGAAUUUGGGUAAGUUCAUGUGAACUUAGUGAGUUACUGGGAAGAACGAUCCCACCAUAAUUACUAUCAGUCAUUAGGAAAUGGGACAUGUAAUUACUAUCAGUCAGUAGAUCAACUGACGAAUACUACCACAAUCAAACUCAACCUAUUGGCGGAUAGAACUGGUUACUAACUCAUAUAUGACAGUAAUCGAUACAUCUACUCCAUGAAUACGCCACUUAUAUGGGCUACCAUUUAUGACUGGCAGGCUUACUAUUUACGUUCUCAUGCAACGUGCACUACUGCAUGCAUUCUUUCUUACGUACCCAUUUUUUGUGCUAGCUUCUGAUCCCGGUUCCCGAAGAACCAAUUUUUCUUAUAUAUUCAUAUCCGUUCAUCAGAUCUAUAUAAAAAUCAAGCUCUCAUGAACUCAAAUCUAUAAAAAAUUAUAAAAAAAAGGCUUGGUUACCUUAACAAAUUUUUGGCCGAAGCUUAACUCUCAAAAAAAAAAAAAGAGUUUUUAUUUGGUUUUUGCUUCAUUAGAUGGUGGGGAAGAUGAUACUCAUCGUCUUUCUCCACUUACAUGAUUUAUUUAGUGUGAUUAACACUAAUUAACCAAGUUUAAUUAAAUUAAACUUAUUUUAUACUUUAAUUAAUCUUAAUUUAGUAAUAAUUAAAUAUCUAAUAGUAGCCAUAAUCAAAGUCCACUAAAUAAUGAUUAUUAUUGGUUUAUUAACCAUUUUAGCCCCUUGGAUAAUUACUAUCUAGGUCCCCAAGUUUUUUUCUAAUUAAAAAUCUGUAGCAAUUAAACGUUUACAAAUUUAGUCCUUGAACCUUAAUUAACUAUUAAUUCGGAAAAAUUACUGGACCAAACUUUAAGAUAACAAUAUAUUAUACACAUAAAUAUUACGAACUUGGUUUAUGAAAACGAGAUCCUGAAAUCGUAACUUUCGACACCAAUAAAUUUCAAGUCGUUACAAGUUAAUCCUAAAGAAACAAAAUUAUGAUUUUUCAAAAUUCUUCUCUCCUUAGUUGGCCACACCUUUGAAAUAAUUAAUAGAUUGCAUUUUAUAAUUGCUUAGAUAAUUAACAAUUAUAUUCACUUCUUAAUGUAAAAACAAGAAUUCAAAAUUUAUUCAUGCAUAAAGAAUUGCACUACUUGUAGCUACAAAGAUGUCAUCCAAUUUUCCAUUACUUGCAUUGAAUUUUUCCAACAUCAACUAAAUUGUUGUAUGAUCCUUAUGUAUUGCAUCAAGACAAGUAGUUAUUUCAUCUAGAAUAUUAUCUUUUACCUAUAUUUGUUUGAUUAGAUUUCGGUUCUCUUCCUUUAGACAAGAAUUCUACUCAACUAGCUUCGCAUUAACAUCACACACCUGCUCUCAUUUCUCCAGCAUUAUCUUGUAAGUCUGCAUAAACUCAGCACUUGAAUCCCAUCUAAAUCAUCAUUAGUAUUAGAGUUAGUUGUGACAGGGAUAUUAACUUUAGUAAAGAAAGCCACAUAGUUACUCACAUAUUUUUCAUUUGAAUCUAAGCUGCUUCAAGAAUCCUCUUCACUCCAUGUUACACACAAAGACAACUUGUAUGUGGCCAAAACGAUGACAUUCAUAACAUUGAAUGCCAUACUUUUUCUUUUUGGUAGACUCAUCAUUGAUCACAACACAUUUUUGUCUAUUUUUGGAGAAUUUCUUAAUAGCCUUAAACUUGUUAUUCCUCAUGGUUGCUUCUUUAAAGCUUUAAUAAAAUUCUAAGUUAGCAAUACUACCUACUUUCACAGUUAUUCGAUAAUAGUGGUACCUUCAGUUGAAAUAGCUUCUGUCACUUGUAAGGUAAUGCUCUUCUCUCCUUUAGAUAUGUUUCUUCUUAACUUGUCUAAAUUGAUCUUAAAAGCCCGUAAAGACCCAAUAAUUUCAUUGAUUCUCGUAUUAAUGUCUUUUACCUAUUCAAUGGUAGUGACUUCAAUAGUAAAUCUCUCUGGCAAAGAUCUAAGCACCUUCUUCACAAGUUUAAAAUUGGAGUACUCGUUUCCAAAGGGGAAAACUUGAUCAAAUGGGUCACACAAUUUUGCAUAUAAUUCACCAAUAUUUUUCUUUUAUUGCAUCCUGAGAGUUUCAAACUUGGUGGUUAACAUUUACAUCUUAGAUUCCUUUACAAUAUUUGUGCCUUUAUGUGAAGUCUCAAAAAUAUCUAAAGCCUACUUAGUAGUAGUGCACUUGGAUAUCCUUUUGAAUUCCUAUCCAUCCACACCACUAAAAAUUGCGUCCAAUUCCUUUGAAUUGGAAUCGGCUAGUUUCUCCUCCUUCAUGGUCCAAGUAAGCUCGAACUUUUUUGUUUCCACUUAGAUGUCUCAGUUGUAAGGAACUCCCAUCUAGUAAAAACAACAAACCAAGCUUUUCAUCCAUUGCCUUGAUGAAUGCAUUCAUCCUAGCCUUCUAGUAGGCGUACUUAGAACCAUCCAUCAUUAGAGGAUGAGACACAAGUGUUUCUUCCAUUUCAAGAAAGUAUUGACACCAGGAAUACCACUUGAUAAGUUAAGUGGGAGGCUCUUAUACCAAUUUAAAGAGGACAAGCUAAUAUUUGCUAAAACACAAGAGUAAUGAUAAGAGUAGUUACAACUACAAGUGGAAUUGUGAAAAGAAAAGAAAAAACACAUAGCAAUUCUUUACACAAUCGAUUUCCCUACAUUGGCAAGGCCUUGCCAGGGAGACAAUCCACUAUCUUUAACCUUGUAAAAACAGUGGUUUAAGUCCUAUCAUACACUAGUAUAGGAAUCUUACUUUUUGUACCUAAGAUCUAGAUCACUUUACUCUAAGCUUUCUCCUUAAAUGCUUAGAUUGUAAAACCAAGUGACUCACUUUUUUUUUACUUAGAAAAUUCAUUCACAAUGAUAAAUUCCUAAAGAAUAGAUCAAGUGCUAAACUCUUUGUACAAAACUUGAUUAAGUCUCAUGAAUAUAUGCUUUUUCGACUUGUUAACAUACUAAAUCAAUUACAAUCUCAAUCCCCAUCAAAGUCGUAAUAAAAUUAGCAUUGAGAAUUUCCUAAUAAAGUGCAGGAUAAGUUAAAGACCUCCAAGAUAAGUUUCCAGGUUAUCCAACCUAAUGUUUUCAAAUCGGGGAAUUCGAUUGCUUAAUCUAAUUCGAUCCAAUCUUAAAGAUAUGUUUCUUUAUAUGGAUCGAUCUUCAAAUAUGAGCCAACAUACAUCCAAAACAACAUCAUAGAUUACGACCCAAUUGUUUUGUUACAAAAGAUUGUAAAUACUAAAUAAGGCAAGUUACGUGACUUGCACAACGCCGCAUUGCUCACAAAACUACCUCAAACCUCAACAAUAGUUGAUAACAUAAUUAAAGUCAAUAAAAAAGCCUAAUUGAAGGAAAUUAAGUUAUUUACUUUAUUAGCUAUAAAAUCUUAUUCAUUCAUUUAGUUACUUGACGGGCAUAUACAAUUAAAAGUUAAUCAUAUAUAUAAAUUAGUUCUCGCUCUACCUAUUUGCUAUUAGGGUCGCACAUAUAUACAAACGCUAAAGAAAACAAAUAGAAAAUACUAGUUUGAUCCCUGUGCAAUGCACGAGUCUACUGUACUUAAUAAUUAAAACAUAUUAUUUUACUUCAUAUUGUUUUUUUAAUUAAAAGAUUUACAAAUAAUGUAAAUAAAGAAAUUUAAAAAUAAAAUAUUCAAAAAAUACUAUGUCAAAUUAAAUAAUUUUAAGAAAUAAGUACUUUAUUUUAAUAAAAAAUGAGAAUCCUUUUUAUUAAAUAUUCAUAAAUUGAUUUUUAAAUAGAUUUUUUAUAUUUAUAUAAUGAUUAAGAUUUGAGCCCAACAAUUUUAUUAAUAUUGUCGUUCACUUGCCGUAAUUAUAUAGUGCCACAUAGGGUUAUUUCCUAAUUUGGUUGUACAGAUUAUGUAUAAUAUAUAGGGUUAUUAUUUGAUAUAUUAGCGGUGGUGUUUUUAACUCGGCAAGGAAAUUUAAGAAACGGUCAAUUGUCUUUAAUUGAUAUUAAAAAACACUAAAUAAAUAAUACACAUGAUGGUUUUUUAAACUGUUUGUGGAAUUAAAAAAUUUCACCACUAAAUAUCAAAUAAUAAUAUUUGUAUAUUAUUUAUACAAUGAUAAAUGGUUGAGAUGUUGAUUUUCAUUUUUUACAUUAACUUGUUUCAUGCAAAUUUUUUAUUUAGCCUACAAGUCGAAUAUACUGCUUGCAAGUUAGGGACAAAAAUACAUCCAUUUAUAUGAUUUUUAUUUUACAAAUUAAUCUGGCAUAUCUUAACAUAUCAACUCCAGAUUUGGAUCUUGAAACAUGUAGACACUUGCGUUGAAUGGGCCGCUCGCUUCUAAGAGGAUGGACCUAGAUUUCUUCUCUACUAUUUGUUUUCUUGCAUUUUAUUAUUUUUAUUUAAUAAAUUAAUAAAUUAGUUCCUAUGCACUGGUUAUUCUAUUAAAAAUUAUACUCAUGUCUUCUGUUAAAAGCCGGUCCCUAUACAUUAGAAUGAGAUAAUGUGGCACACCACGUGUAACUAUCUAGUUAUUCUAUCAGCCACAUCGAUUUUUAACAAUAAAAAUCGAUAGAAAUUUUUAAUAGAAAAAGUCAGUUUACUCUUUGAUCUAAUGUAUAAAUAUUAAAUUACCCAUUUUUAAAUAAAUGAAACAAAAUGUAAUCUAUAAAUGAAACAAAAUGUAAUCUAACUCUUAACAUAAAAGCCUCCAUGAUAAUUUUAACAUAAAUUAAAUUUAUUACAAGAAAUAUAAAGGCUACACACCAUCUUUUCCCCACCUCUAAAUUUAGAGGGUAUGUAUAUUUGGGGCAAGCAUUGUUUUCUAGGUUUUAAAGUGUUAAACUUGUCCCUGUAUCAUUUAUUAAAUUAUAUUUUAAUUCUUUUGGAAAACUAAAUAAAUUAGUCAUUAUACAUUAGACGAAGGAGUAAAAUAGUAUUUUUGUUAAACUUGUGCCGUUAAUAUAAGAUAAAAUAAUAAAUUUAGCCUUCAAUCUUUACAUUUCUUUUUUCAAUUUGACUCCUACUAUUUUAUUUGGACCCUAAAAAUUUCAUCGUUGAUAUGAAACUAUUUUAUCUUAUACGUCACAUUAUCAAAUAAUUUAAAAAUUAUUAAAAAAAACUCUUCAAACUGAAAAAAUGUAAAAGAAAUAAAAAAUUAUAAUUUUUUUCCCAAAAUUUCAAUAAAAGAUAUCCAUUUUCAACAAUUUAGGUUACCAUAUUUGUUGCGGUCAUUUUGCACAUUAAGAAAUACCAUUUUCCACAAUUCCAUGGCAGCUUUGUAGUGUGAUUCACGUACCAUGACAUGUUUACAUUAAGAAUCAGUGAAUAAAUAAACAUUAAAGUUCUUUUAGCCUCUAAUUUGGUCGUAUUAGUAUUAAUAAAAAAAAUUAGAUAGUGUUUUAGAAAUCUUUGGAUUUUGUGUAAUUGUGUAACACCCCUUACUCGAGUCCAUAGCCAGAGUCGAGCAUGAGGCGUUACUUAACUUAACUUAAAGGUUCGGAGCAUAAAAAUUUACUUAUAAAAGUUAUUUUACUGUUCUUAAUAAAGCUGUCCACCUGCGCAGAAAUCACUAAAUUAAUUAUAACUCAAGAUACAAAACUCGAAAUUUAGAUCCGUAAAUUUUCUAUGAAACUAGACUCAUAUAUAUUUUCACCAUAAAUUUUUCAGAAUUUUUAGUUCAUCCAAUUAGUACAUUUUAUUAGUUAAAGUCUCCCCUGUUUCACUGGUCGACUAUCCUGACCUCUCGUCACUAAAAUUCAAUUAUCUCAUUGUACAGACUUCAUAUGGUGUUUCUACUUAUUUCUACUUAAAAUAGACUCAUUAAGGAAUCUAUACAUAUAAAUUAUAACUCUUAAUCCCUUUUUUACAAUUUUUAAUGAAUUUCUAAAGUCAAAAUAGGGGACUUCAAAAUCAUUCUGACUCUGUCUCACUAUAAUUAAGAUAUCUAAGAGUAUAUAACUCUUUUGCUUACUCUAUUUCUUUUAUGUCAAAGUAUACUCAUUUAGCUUUAAUUUCAUAUCUCACUCAGCUUCUAAUUCAAUUUACACCAUUUUUGAUGAUUUUUCAAAGUUACAUCAAUGCUGCUGUCCAAGAACUGCUCCAUUGCAAUUUUUUUUAAAAAAUUCAAUAUAACCCCUUUAUAAUUAUCUAACCUUCCCUGCAAAUUUCAAAUCACAACCAAUUCCAGUAUUUCAACUACUUCAUUUAAAUACUAAUGAAGUUCAACCAAUCAACCAUUUCAAACUAAAAACAUGUAUAUAUUUCGAUAUUUAACACAACCAUAACAUUCAAAUUUACUUUGCAUACUUAGUCAUUCAUUCUAUUACUUUUUAUCUCAAUUCCCUAUACAUGCCAUAUAAAUCCAAAUUUAUUUAACAAAAUCUACCAGAGUAAAUCUGGAUAGUGUGAUUUCUGAUGUAGAUCCGAUCCUCCGAAUGUAUAAAUACGUCAAUCUACAAAAAACAAUAAACACACACAAGUAAGCUUAUAGAAAGCUUAGUAAGUUCAUAGGCACAAAACAUGAAUCUUACGAAACAUUUAUACACUUAUACAUUAUACACCAUUACUAAGUUUACCUGUCAACCACAAUCUUUGGUGAGUUCCUUGGUAUAAACUCACUACUACUUAUUCUUUUACCAUAAUUCCUUUGGGCCCAUUUGUCACUUACCAUCCUUGAUCAAAAUUAAGGAACGAUUACGGAAAAUUGAGUACUUCACUUUCACUUUUCCAUACGAUCUCUUAUCACUUGUCCCUGAUCAGAUAAGUGUAGCUAGGCUACCACUUAUCACUUUGUCACUUGAUCAGAUAAGUGUAGCUAAAGCUAUCACUUAUCACUUUAUCACUUGAUGAGAUAAGUGUAGUUAAAGCUACCACUUAUCAGUUUGUCACUUGAUCAGAUAAGUGUAGUUAAAGCUACCACUUAUCACUUUGUCACUUGAUCAGAAGUACUCAAAUCUGGCGUUCCGCUCAAUUUGAUCAUUUGUUCAGUUUUCGCAUUUUUAUUUUAUUUUCAUUUCAUCAAUAAAUAUAUAUUUCAUCAUACAUUAUAUAAUUCAUGAAAUUAACAUUUAAUCAUAAAAUUUCGGCCAUAUGAACUUACCUAGAUCGAUUUGCAGAAUUUGUAAAAGUUCAGGGGCUAAUCGGCUACUUUUUCUUUUCCUUGACUUGUUUCGGGUUCUCGAUAUAAAAUAAAAAUUUAUUCAUUCAUCAACAUAUAAUUCAAUUCUAAUUCAUUUAACAAUUUAUGCCCUUUAAUUUUCUAAAUUACACUUUUACCCCAAACUUUACAAUUUUUACAAUUUGGUCCCUACUUAAUUAACCCCUCAAUUGAUCUAAUUUUUCUCAAUUAACACCUUUUACAACUAUUUUAGACUACUUCAUAGCCUUUAAUAUUCAAAACCGCAACACCAAACCUUAAUUCCCAACUUUUUCACAAUUAAGUCCCUAAAAUCAAUUUCUAUCAAAAUUACUUAAUAAAGUCAUCAUAUAACAAAUUUAAAGCUUUAAUUCCAUGUUUAUUCAUAAUAAAAAUCAAUAACUCAUCAAUGGUAACUCUAAAAAUCAGCCAUGAGAUAAAAAAACUAAUGAACUAAUUAGUUGGACUUAUUUGUAAAAGUAUCAAAAUCACAAAAAUUAGAAGAAAUAAUCAAGAAUUAAACUUACAUGAUUCAAAUAUAUGAAAAACCAGCUUGUUUCAGACCUCCUAUGGCGUUUUUCUGAUAAAUUGUGAAGAGAUCUCUAGAUUUUUCACUUUUGUCUUUGUUUUAUAUGCUUAAUUUGUUAAGUUUCCAAUUUUGCCCCUGUUUCUCCUUACAUUCUGCUGAUUUUUCUUACCCAACCGUCCAGCCCAUAUAAUUUGGGCCUAAUUUCCUUUUAAAUCCCUCCUCAUUAGUCACUUAAGCUAUUUUUAUCACAAUUUAACAAAUUUUACACUAUUUUCAAUUUAGUCCUUUUUAGUUAAUUAACUGUCCAAACGUUAAAAUUUUCUAACGAAACUUUAAUACCAACUCAAUGACACUCUAUAAAUAUUUCUAAAAAUAUUUAUGGCUUGGUUUAAAAUCUUCGACGUCUCGAUACCUCGUUUUUGAUUUUAAUUAUUUUAAUAUUUAUUCCUAGUACACUAUUCACUAUUUCAAAAAUUUUCCUAACUUCACAUUUAACUUAUACUUACUAAAUUUAUAAUAUUUUCUACUCGUUUAUCAGAUUUAGUGAUCUCGAAUCUCCAUUCCGACACCACUAAAAAUUUAGGCUAUUACAAAUUGUUUGUAAUUAUAUAUAGGUGGUAUGUUUGAAUAAUCAUUGUAAUUAGUGAGUUCCAUCGAAUUGAGUGUAAUUGGAGUAGAGGUAUCCUUAAGCCAGGUUGGGUUGGACCCAAGCUCGGUUCCAAUAAUUUCAAACUCAAGCCCGUUUUUGGACCGCCCGCCCAAAAAAUCAAUUUUACUAUUCAAAAAAAUAUUAUUAAAAAUAAUAUUUUAAUUGAUAUUUUAUAUACUUUUAUAAUUAAAUUUAAAUUUAAAAAAUAUUUUAUUAUUAUUAAAUUGAAUUUGUGUCGAGUUGAGGUGCAAAAAUCCUUGUCCAAGCUCGAUUCUAGUCGGGUCAAGUCACAUAGACUACCCGAUCUUUGGACAAGUCUAAAUUGGAGCACCCUAAUUACACUUUCCAGUUUUUAGAGUGAGGGUGAGAAUUGAAGUAAUUACGUUGGUGUUACACUCAAAUCCAAUUUUAAAAAUUAUUUUGAUACAAGUUAUAAAAGAAGAAAUUAUUCAGUAUAUUGUUAGUGGAGUUUUUAAACUCUACAAAUAGGAUAAAGAGUUUGACAAAUGUCUUAUAAGGGUAUAGUAAAAUAUUAAAAAAAACACGUCAAAAUUUUAAGGCUGUUUGUGAAAUAAAAAAAGUACAGUGCCACCCAAUAGUUACUCUUAUAAAAGAAUAUAUUAUAUCUAUGAACAUGUAUAAGUGUUUGGGAUGGUUAUGACAAAAGAAUUCGUGUAUUAUAAAUCCUAAAAGCUUAUAUUAUAAAAGUAACUUGUGUAUUUUAUAAAAUUAUAAUAUAUAUUAUUUAAAUCUUAAAAAAUUCUAAAAUUAUGAUAAAAAAUUAUUAUAAAAAACUAAUUUAUAUGUUAUAAAAAUGUUGUUAUAGCAUUUUUAUUUAUAAUAAGUUAGGGCAAAAAAAUAUGGAUAUAAUUUAUUUAUGUCCUAUAUAAUUUACCUUACUUAAAUUCGGACCUGACCCGGUCUGUCUAUAUUUAAUUUUUUAGAUUAUUUUUUAUUUAAAAAUAUUUUUUUUAAAAAUAUAAUACACUAAAUACACUAAAAAUGCUAAAAUAAAAGUUUUCUAACACAUUAAAAAUAUUUAUAUUAAAAAAGACUACCAUAAAUAUAAUAUAUGCUUUAUUAUAUUAAAAGCGCAAAUAAAUAUAAUAAAUAAUUUAUUGUAUUAAAUAUAAAUUUUAAAAUUUUAUAUUUUGGAUUGGGUUAUUUAGUUGGGUUACUUUUUUUUAGGUUUUGGAUAAUGAGUUUAAUUGUUAUUGAGUUAGUGGUUUAAUAUAAAUAAAUAUAGAUAUAAACAUAUAUAAUCAUUUUUUAUAACAUAAUAUAUUCGGGUCGAACUGAGCUCGUGUCUAAAAUAUUACCCGAGGCUUGGCCUAUAUAGAAAACGGAUAAUAAAUUUUACCCAAUCCCAUUUUUUGGGUCUCAUAUUUUUGUCUAAACUUCUCAUAGUUCAAGUGGAUCUUUAGACCUAAAUGAGUGUAAUGGUGUAUGUAUAGGUUUUAUAGAGCAAAACUAAAAAUAUAUGUAGGGGUGAUAUUGAAUUAUAAGUGUUUUUAGGCUGAUGAUAUUCAAGCGUUUGAAGGAAGAAGAGACCCAAACACUUGUUUGCGACUUCUCUUGAAAUUGUAUAAUCAAUUAUAGUUUUAACAAGAGUUGGUCUCUCACCUAUUAAUUAUAUAUAUCAAUACAAUAGCAUGAGAUUGGUGGUUGAGGGUAAAAGUAUAAAGAAUAUUAAAUAUAAUUAAUAAUUUUUCUUUUAAAAUUAUUCAAGUUUCUUUUUGCUUUCCUUUAUUUUCUUGUGAGUAGUUAAGAAAAUUUUAUGUUUGCCAUACCUUAAUUUUCGUAUCAGUUGUUAAGAAAAUGAUUUUUUUUUUCUAUCAUUUAACAUUUUUCUUUAAAUUUUAAAAUGUGUUUAAAAAUAUUUUCUUUUCGAAAUUCUAUUUUUUUUAAUUUGGAAUUCUGUGUUUUAUUUAUUUAUUUUAGAACAUAUUUUUAUAAUUUUAAAAAAAAUAUGUCUGAAAAUAUAAAACAAAAUAGUGUUACAUAAGCAAGGUAAGAUUGGUGAUCAAUUUACUUCAAAUAAAAGAAUAAGGGCCAAUAUGAAUAAAAGUGUAAAAGUUAAUGGAUAAAACAUCAAAAUAUAAUUCUUUUACAUGCAAAGUAAUUUACCCAUUUUUGGAUAAAAAGACUAAGCUCCAGCCUGGAAUUAAGCCUCCAGUGAGGUGAAAUGCAUUUUCAACCUACUGAACAAUGCUUUCCAAAUAGUCUUGCGUUUACUAACAUUUCAGUUGCAAUUUUUUUUAGCUUAAAAAAGCCAACGUACUGAGAUGCAGUUGCAUCCAAAGGAGGCUUAAAUUAAAUAUAUAUGAAGAUAGUUGUAGACUGCAAUGAUAGUAAAUAAACAUCCUUUCUUUGGACAUAUGAGCAUGGAAUAUUGUGUACCUGUAUUUAAGGAAUAUCCUAAUCCCACGAGCCAUGUUCUGGUGCCCAGACAGGCUGCCAGAUGCUUCUUCCAAAAACCAUUCAAAUCAGACAUCGACUACCAAACCGUCAGGCAAGCCCGACAUCUAUUGAAAUUCAACCUCAUUUCAUAUUGAUCGUCUCAUUCCUAAACAUUAGCUCUUCUCUGGGUUUGGUUUGGUCUAUUGCUUUAAAUCAAUUAUCCCAAAAUGACUCCUAGAAUCUAGGUGCUAAAAUAAGUAGUCGAUUCAUAUGAAAUGAAAACGCUGUUGCUCGCAUACUAGCGCUACUAAAUGACCAAUUAUUGCUUUGGACGAAUGCAGCAUGUGAUUUGCCCUGCCAACACAAUAUUCUUCCAUUUCCAGUGGUGGCCAACCGGAUUGAUUAGCUUAAGUGUCAAUUGGUCCACUUCUGAUUUCCUACCCAUUUAAUAUUUGUUGCCAAUGUUAAAGAGUAAGGGAUGAGGAUAGCCAUUAACCACCAUCCGCUCUUUAAAUAAUACCUAAAAUAGGCAACCACCCACCCUGCUUCAUCCAUCAAAAUUUCACAAAGUAAAUAAAAAACAAACCUAAAUUAAGGAAUUCUUUUUUCGUUAAAACUCGUUUCAUAAUCCCAUUAUUGCUAUGUUGUUGUAUCAAAGAGGAUCGUCUUGCUCAAGACUCUAGAGUGUAGCCAGCUCAUUCCAGCAAACUCCCACUCCCUACAUCUUAUCCCUUAAAAUCCCCCCCACUGGCUCUCUCCUUCACAUAUUCCUUUCCAACACAAACCAAAAGACAUGGCUUCAUCAUCUCCUCUUUCUCCCAUUCUCCUCUCUCUGUUUCUAGUAUUCAUUUGUGGGGUGUCAGCUCAAACGGCUCCCGCCCCUGCCCCCUCUGGCCCCUUGAAUUUCACUGGAAUCCUUGACAAAAAUGGCCAAUACACCUACUUCCUUCAGCUUUUGGCACAGACUCAAGUUGGGAGCCAAGUACAAACUCAACUGAAAACCACCACUGAAGGCUUUACCGUCUUUGCUCCCACAGAUAAUGCCUUCAACAACCUCAAACCUGGUACCGUCAAUAACCUGGACCCACAACAGAAAGUACAACUAGUUCUAUACCACGUUAUUCCCAAAUACUACUCCUUGAACGAUCUCCAAUUUGUUAGCAACCCCGUUAGAACCCAAGCUGGUCAGGAUUUCGGCCUCAACGUCACUGGCCUGAACAACCAGGUUAACGUCUCAAGCGGGGUUGUCGAGACUCAGAUUAACAACGCAUUAUAUCAAAAGAAACCUCUGGCAAUUUAUCAAGCGGACAAGGUGUUGUUGCCUGAAGAGUUUUUUGAAGCUAAAUCCCCAGCGGCUGCACCUUCACCGGCGACAAAGAAAUCAUCAACAGGGUCUAAAUCGAACUCAAGAGCAUCAGCAACCGCAGAUGAGCCAGCUUCUGCUGAUAAUUCAGGCUCAGCCGGAAGGAAUAUGGGGCUGAGAUUCGUUGUUGGGCUUGCAUUGGCUUGCAUGGGAUUUCUCUCAUGAGCGGAUAUAUAUGAAGUUGGUCUGCAUUUUUUACUAUAAAUUUUCGUUUUUCAAAUGGAUCGAUAAGGGUCUGAUUGGUCGUUGAACAUAUUCUUGUUAUCCACAUUAUUUGUAUUUCCAGAAUUUUUUGUUGAUUUUGCUUCUGCGCGCUGCUUGAUGUUAAUAAUAAUAUAUGUGAGUUUCUGAAAAUGCUUUAGUCUCCCCAUCUCUCUUUUCCUACCAAAUAGAUCCCAGUUUAAUGUUGAGCAUAAAUUCAAGGGAUUAAUCCUAUAAAAAUGUAGGGAAGGAUGUAGUUAUAUAUAAAGAAAUGAAGUGUAAUACAGAUGAUGAAGGUGAUUGGCACCUCAUUUUGCAAUAUAUUUUUCAUCUACUUGAUGACCAUAAACCAGACUGAUGGACUCAAAUCUCGCUCCAUCAGCUCUAUAGUUUCAAAACUUUUAAUACCUCUUACUUCAAAAAUUUCUCAAACCCAAUCAUCUUUAAUUAAAUUAAAUUUAAAAACUAAUUGUAAAGAAAUUUUAAUUUUUUAUUCCCUUCAUCUUCUUUUUUGACUCAAAUUAGCUCUAUUUCAUCUCCUCCAUUUUUCUUUCUUUACCACUUCCUUAUCAAUGGUUAUAAAAAAGUUAGGGUUUUUGGAUGGUGAAUUUGGGUUCAAUGGGGAAAGGAAAAGGUGGGUUCUUUUGAGUAUCAAAAGAAAUAGUGAAAACAAAGAUUAUGUUUUUUAUCAUCAAGAAAUGGAGAAAACUGGAGGGGAAAGAAAUGAAAAUGGUAAAACCGUAGAAGGGGAAAUUUAAGGUGAAGAUUGGUUUUUUCUUCACCAAACUUAUAAAAGCAAUUAAUUAGAAUUUGGGAAAAGAAUUAUUCCAAUGCUCUAAUAAUUCAUAGGUUUUGUUUGCUUUGUCGCUUAUAUCAUUUUGUUUGCAUCCUUAGCUGAGAAUGCAUAUGGAUCAUGAUAAUGUACGAUGACUUAGAGAAAGAGAUGAGUUGGUUGUUAAAACAAGUGUUGUUUGGCUAAUCAAUUUGAAAAAUGGGAAAAUUAUGAAAAUCAAUGAAAAGUUUGUUUGGUUGUUGAGAAAAUUUGGAUUUUGUUGGAGAAGAUGGAUUUAAUUUAAUUUUUAUUUAUUUGCUAACAUAAUUUUAUUAAAGAAGGGUAACAGUUAGACUAAAAAUAAUAUUGAAAUCAUAUCCUCCAAUUAAACAAAGUUUAUAACCAGGUUAAUAUUUUAACUUUUUAAUCAUAAAUACGAUCAUUAAUUUAAUGAAUUUUAUAAAAAUAUAAUUAAAACAAUUUCACUAUAUUCAAUUUAUAUAAAAUUUUAAAUUAAAUUCAAAAUCUAAUCUUAUAAUAUUUUAUAAUAAAAUUUAAAUAUAUCAAUCAACAUGAAUAUAUAAUAUUUUAUUAUUAAAUUAUUUAAAAUAUGAUUUUUAUAAUAAAAUUUUUAUUAAAUAAUUUUACAAACACAUAAUAGAUAAUUUAGUUGUAUAAUUUUUAAUAUCAAUAUAUAUUUUCAAUUAGGUAUUAUGUUUAUAAAAAUAUAUAACUUUUUUAUUAAUUAACAAUUGUAUAAAUUUACUUUUAUAAUUUUAUAAAUUGUUUUUAUGUUGUAUAUCUUCAAUAUUAUUUUAUCCAUAAUACUUUUUACCCUUGUAUUAUAAACAGUUUAUUUCUAUACAUUUACCACAAUAAGAUAUUAUUAUUAGGCUUAUAGAAAAAAUAGGUAUCCUGCAACUUUUAUUCCGCUACAAUUUUAGGUAUCCACUAUUAAUUCUAGUUAAAUUUUAUUUAAUUAAAAGUGACUCGUGUCAUAAUUUGGUUGAUUUAGAGGUUUUUUUAAAUUGGAGUUAACGUUUUAAAUAAUUUUAUUUAAUUAUAAAUAAAACAUGUCAUAAUUUGAUUGGUUCAGAGUUUUCUUUAACCGAGGUUAAUGGUUGAUACCUAAAGUGAUAACGAAAUAAAACUUUAGAUACCUAAAUGAGAAAAAUUACAUGGUUUGAGUACCUACUUUUCAUAUAAGUCUAUUAUUUAUUACUAAGUUAUACAUCAUAUUCUAUUAAUUUAUAAUUAUUUAUUUUUAAAAUACUAAAUUUAUUAAAAUGUUUUCAAUCAUUUACUAAAUAUCUAAAAUUUUACUAAUUAUUUUAUCUGUAUAAUCUAUAUAUACAUAAAAGUAUAAGUUUGGAAAAACUUUUGACCUAACAAUAAUACCAUUUAGUUUUGACCAUAUUACUAAAUUCACUUUAAAAAUAAUUUAGAAUUAUUAGUUAGAAAAAUUUGUGAAAAUAGAGUUAUUACUUUAAUUCAACUCUAAUCAUGAAAUAUAUGAAAAAUUGUAAUAAUUAUAAUUAUAAUUUUAUUUAUAAUUAUUAGUUAAAAUUUUUGAGGUAAAAAAAGUUGUGUUAAUUUUUUUUUAAAUGUGCUAAUUUUAUUGAUGUAAAAUAGAAUUGUUAUUUGAAUAGAGCUGUAAGCGCCUCAAUUAUCACUUAAUUAAUAUUAAAGUUAUAUAUCAAUUUAAAAUUAAGUUUUGCUUUAUGAAUAAUGCCCAGUAGUUAGGUAUAUUGAAUUAAGUAGCAUCUAAUAAAGACCACCGGUAAAAAAAUGGAGAUUGUUAACAUUAAUAAGUUAGGAUUAUAUAAUAGUAAUAAUAAUGGAGCAUCAUAAAAAUGGUUAUUUAAAGAGGCACCGAAAAGUGAUCAAAUAUUAUUUUAAUUGAUGAUAAUAUAAUAUAAUAUAAUAUAAUAUUAUGAUUUUUUAAAUUUUUCUAGAAGUUGUUUAUACUGUGUGAAGCAUUUUUAAAACCAUUUUUUUAUCUAUUCAUUAUUUGUUUGGUGUAGGUGAAAUAUUUUGUGAGCUGUUUUUAUAAACGUGUUUAUUAAUUUAGUAUAAAUAUUUUUUACAUUUAUCAUGAUCUAUUAUUAUAACUGUUGCAUGUUACUUUAUCUAUUUUUUUCUUAUUUUCAAAUUAAUAUUAUAUUUUAUGAUGGGUAAUAAUAAUUAAAAAUAUAUUAUUUAAAAACUAAUUAAAAUUUAAACACGUAAAAUCACGUACAAAAUGCACUUGACAUUAGAAAGUAAUAUAUAUAUAUAUAGAAGAAGACGAAUUUUCAGAAACUUCUGAAAUAACUUUAAUAAUAUAUUAAUUUCUCAAUUUUAUCUCUUAUAGCACUUAAUUAAUAGUGGUUAAUGUAAUAAUUAAAAAUAAUAAUAUUUUAGAUAAAAUCAUAAUAUCAUAAUAACAAAAUCUUAUAAUAUUAUAAUUAAACAAUAAUGAAUACGAAAACUCUUAUAUCAUAAAUAAAAUAUUAUAAUACUACAAUUAAACAGAUUUAUUAGUGAUAAAUUAAAUUUCUUAGUUUAGAUUAAUAAUUAUUAUUUUAUGAUUUUUUUUCUUUUAUUAUAACUUGAGAUUGAUGAUGCUUUGUACCAUUACUGUGUUGGUUUUAUUCAGGCUGCGGACUCAUAGCUCCGUUUACGUGGAUAGAACUAACAAGUGGACCGCAAUCAUCACACUCACUGAAAAUUUCAACCCAAGUUGACAGCAUGGCUAAAGCUGCAGCUACUUGCAAAAUUCACUUUAGAUGGCCUAAAUUUGCAAUAAUAUUAUAACUUGAAAUAAUGAAGAAGAGCAUGUGCGAUGAAGAAAUUUUAAAUGUAUGAAAUGCAGAAAGAGAUGGAAGCAUGUUGUGUUGGAUUGAAUUACUGAAAGUUGAGGCUUGGAGGGUGCUGAGUAGAUUUGGGUGCCAAAUGAGGUGCCAAUCACGUUCAGCUUCGUAUCAUUUUAGUAUUUUCAAAAAGUUUUUCUACUACCACGUUGAUGUGAGAACAAAAACUCUAUAUCACUCAGCCAUUGAAUUUGUAAGAUGGAAACUAAAUGAGUUUGAUAUAAGAAUCAAACUGUACAUUACAAGGCCAUAUAUUUAUGAAAUUUCAUAUUAUUAUUGGGAAUCAGCAGUACAUUGCAUACCUCAACCAUCAACAGUCCCACUAUACUGUGCUACAAAAUAUUUAAAAUUAAAAUAAAAAUCACAACUAUUACAAAAAUCAAAACAAAUUUUCCCCACAUUUGGCACCAAUCCAUCAACAGAGACCACACUGCAGCAACACCAAACCCUCCCUCAACUCUGGGUUAAGUUUGGUUAAAGCUUAUUGCCACCCAUUCGUGAAAAUAUCCUUAAUUAGCACAGCUAAUAUUGUGCUACGCUGUCCAACUUCAACAUUCUCUUGCCAGAAAACUAGCAAGUCUGAAAACUUUUUCUUAAACUGAAAUUUCUAUAGAUAAACAUUUACAGGUUGAAACCUCUUAAUAUUUCAGUUAAAUCACUUAUUUUGUUGAGACGUAGAACACUAAACUUUUGCUUACAUGCACUAUUUAGCUUUUACAUUAUUGUGGUGACAACCUUAACAAACGAAACGGUUCAGGUUUAGGACUGGUAUUGUUGUUGAAAAUAUGGUGAAAAAAACAUUAUAAUUUAUACAUAUUAAAUAUUGAAAAUUUUAAAAUAUGUCUUUCUGAAGUUAACCGACCCAUUAACAAGUAAUAUUGUUCUCGUUUAAAGUUUUAUCUCCUGACUUUAUGAAGAGUUUAAGUGGCAGAAGUUGACUAAAAAGACGGCAAGUUCAACAGAGUGAGAUAGUUUGUCAGAUUGGACUACCUAUCAAAGAAAUGUGGGCAUUUAUGCUUUGUAGGGUUUGAAUCAAUGUCUUGAUUUGGCAUUGUUGGACAUCUAGAUGGUCAUGCGUCAUGCACUAUCUAAUCCGAUAAGGCAUUUUAUCUCUAUAAAAUCGUCAAUUCUUAAAAUAAUCUCAAAUCACAGUUUUUCCACAAAAUUGAGAGAAAAUCUUAAUAAAAAAAUAAUUCCAACCUGUUCAAAGAUACUUCAACUUCUGGUGGAGACUUGAAAAACAAUAAGGUGCUGGAUAAAGUAUUAGCAUAAACAAUUUGUUUUGACAAAAAGAUGCCUAAAAUUAGUUGGAAAUCCAACUUUUAACUUCCGAUCUAACUGGAUAAUUGUUGGCCUAGUGUUUAUUGUUCCAUUUAGUAGAGAAGAGGUUAUGUUGGAUUGUCACAAUUAGACUGAUGAAAUCAGUAUCCUUUUAUGUCCCGGGUAAAUUCCGAACCUAUAUUUAUUCGUACAUAUGACAAGGUUGUUUUAAUUGGGCUGACUCAAGAAUUAAUAUAGAUCAAUUAAAUUGAACAAAUUAAACCAUAUAAUUUUUUAAUGAUUUAUUUAUUCAAACCGGUUAGACAACUGGUGAUCUAGUCAAAUCAAUUUUUUUAUUCAAUUUAAAUAUUUAAUGAAUGUGAAUUUUUUGUGAAUAAUGUUAUUUAAUUCAUAGUAAUAUUUUAAUCUUAUAAAAUUUAUAUGAGAAAUAAUUACUUGAGAAAAAUGAUUAAUGCAGUUUUUGUUUUUUAAUACAACUCACACAACUACAAAUAGACAAUUUCUACAAGUCAAACCCAUGACGUGGAUUGGAGUGUAAGAUGGUGAACGCCCCCUCGAAAUGGUAUAACAUUCAAAACCUUUUGAUGAUACGGUAUGAUGAAUAGAAGAAGCAAGCAACAAAAAUAUACAUACAUGGGGCACUUCCUAAAUAACAAAUAUAAAUGUAUUAUAUGAACAGAAUUUAUUUUUAUUGAGUAUGUUGGGGUAUAAACUGCUUAGAAAAGUGUAAAGCUUUGGGUUAGGUGCAGUUGGUAGAUUAACAACACCCUAUCAAUAUUGAGCCGAAGACCAAGAGUUGGCAUCAAUCCAGUUAAAAGCAAUAGGGCUAAGGAAAGCAUCAGGAAUGCCAAAGGAACUGACCAAAGCAAGUGCAUGCGGUCGAAGUUCACUGCAUAUUUUUGUUAUUUCUCUCCUCACUGUAGCAGCAUUCUCAACUGACAGGUACCCAUAUCGGAGAUACGCACCAUCUUCCAGACAAUUCAAGGCAUACAAUGAUCUCAGCAUACCCAGCACAUCCUGCACAACAAUGAAAAUGAAGAUUCAACAGCCUGUCUAAUGCACAAAAGACUGCAUAUGUCUUCUCAUGCCUUCAAUAUUUGAAGUGACAAACAUGCAAAGUUGUUUUUAUAUCAGAUGAUUUCCAUCCUGCAAAUCCCGAGAAUUUUACCCAUCUCUUAUCCUAUAUAUAUGACUGCAAUUUUCUAUUCAUCUCUUCUGAUCAUAUCCAUCCCACCAUAUCCUGCAACGCAACUUCAGACAACGAUGAAGUUUGAGUUGUUUCUGGUUAGGUUAAGCCAGGUUUUGGACAAGUUUUGAAGUCAGUUUGGGUUGGGUGAGUGAUGUUUUCCAUUUAGAGUCAGAUUCAGCCACUUCUACAAUCCUAAAAGGUCCUAACAAUCAGGUUCAAUUAGGUUUUAGUUGGGUCCUUUUAUGCUCAAGCUAUUGACUCUUAAAUAUUUGGUUUUAAAAGGGCUGGCUUAAGUGGUUCAGAUUACGUUCAUUUCACCACUUCUAAAUUAGAACGAAUACCGAGCGGAUGCUACGGCUGGAUGCUCAUUUGAGAUACAUUCUCUAAUACUAACCUUCAAUGAACAAGCAGCUAGAGUUGCUUCUGCCUCAACAAAUGUUUGUAAUAUUGCUCGAUCUGAAAAAGCUUUUCCCAAGUCCUCUGCUAGCUGAUAACUCUGGUGUGAAUAAGCGACAAUUAGACUAAAAGGUGGAUAAAAAAGAAUAGAAACCUAGAUAAAAGCAAGUGCUUCCUCACCAUAAUGAACGCGUGCUCUUUACUUUCUCCCUUGGCUUGACACUGUGAGACUUCCGCAACAAACCGAUUCAAAAGAUCUCUCUCCCUUAAGCACAAGACAUCCAUCUGAAAUAGGACAAUGGUCAGAGAUGCCCACAAUUUUAUGUGGAAUUACCAACAGUACAAUUGAUGCUAAUCUAAUUUACCUGGAAUUGGCUGCAUCUGAGCGUAGUCGUAGUAAGCCGUGAUGGAAUGACAGGGCAGGGCUUAUUCAUGUGUUCUAAACCCAGACCCUUGAAAGCCUUGUUUGGCUUCUGAGCUGCCAUGUAUUCAGCAAACAGAGCUUUGCUGACCUGAGUUAUCAUGUUCAAUCAUAAGUUCCACUGUUUAGUUGUCAAUACAUUAGGAUGUUGUGAACCCAAAAUCCAUGAAGCCUAUUAAAAUGACCUACACAUCUUGCAGGCCAUGGCCAGGGGACUACAUGCAUCAUAUGGGUCAUUUCAAGGAAAACAAAAUCCAGUAAAAACCCAUACAUAGAGAACUCAUUCCCCAAUUCUGCAUCUGCUGCUUUCAUUUUACAUUGAGGUCAUAUAUUCUCAGCCAGUUUAGUUGUAAGUUGUAACCAACUGUCCUUGUCAAAGGAAAUUCGUAAGGAAAGAAGAAAGCAAAUUUACCUGCUGCAUUAAAAUAUUAUUGUCCCCCUCAAAAGUGGAUUGCACAUCAUGUUCAGCUUUUAGAUGACCAACACGAUUCUCUGUCUUUAGUCCUUGUCCUCCACAAGCUUCGCGACAUUCCUGAAGCAUUCAACAAUUGAACGUCUGUAAUGGCACUUAAUGUUGAAAUGGUUCAACUUACUCCAAAAUUGUCUGUAGCUCACCUGAAGUAUUUGCAUGUUACUCCAUGUAAAAGUAGCCUUGAAUGAACUUGAAAUUACAUGAAUGAUUUUGUUUGACUGGGGUGUCCUCUUCACAUACAGCAUUUUCAAGUAAUUUGCUCCAAAACUCAUAGCAUACCUGCAGCAUAAAAAUGAAAAUAAACAAAUGAGGGUUUAGAACUUACGUUAAACGUUCAACAAACACUUAGACAACAUAUGUUUUCUCUAUACAUGCACAGAAAAGAAUGACUAAUCUUAUCUACCAAGCCAGUGAAGAAAAAAUUGUCAUGAUGAGACUUGCUACAAGCACAGCACUUACGUUUCAAACACAAACUGGACUUAACAAGAGUUCAGGAGAAUAUAUAUACAUAUAUAUAUACAUUUCCUAAACUACCUCUAAACCCCUCCAAACUCCAACUAACUAAAUUGGAGGAUUACACUCUUAAUAGUGCUCAAACCCACAACCUCCAAAUUGCUACAACAACAACGGUGCCAACUGGGGUAGCACUCUGAUCAAGAAACUGUGCAUAUACUUACGUCUUUGCAAGGAGAGGCAAGAGUCUUCGUUGAUGACUUGGGUAAUCAAGCAAUAAGACCUCAGGUUCCUUUGGUUUAAGAGAAAAAGCCCGCCUUGUUAGAGCAUAUCUAAUGGCAAUAGCUAAACCAACCUGUAAGGAGAGUAAUGGCAUGAUAUCAGCGACCUUUACAUUUGAUAGUAGUGGCCUGCCACCCAUACCCAAAAUACAAAAACAUGCAAAUUUCUUCUGCCAAUAAAAACGGACAAGAUGCUUAGAAAAAAAUGAGGUAUACCUUUGACUGGUAAACUGCAUUAACUGCAAUAUUAACACGGCCUGCUGUUAGAGGGGCCAGGAAUGCAGCAAAUCUCUGAAUUAAAGCAACAGACAUGUAAGAGAAACCAACACAGUAUUACCAGCAAAACAGUUGUAGUACAAUAAACGGCUCUAGAGCAGAUACCAGUCAACUCAAAUAUAAGAAGUACCUGAUCUGGGUCUUUUAUAGCACUUAGAUAUUUUCCAUCAGGUGAAACAUCAGCAACUGAAUUUAAUAAGUUCUCUCUCGGCACUCGAACAUUGUCAAACCUGAAAUAACAUGAGCAGACCUUUAAUAUUAGAAUUUUUCUAAGAAAAAGAAGAGACUAAAGAAUCCAUAGUAGAGUGUGAGUUUACACUACCAGAUUCUACCGUUAUCAACACCAUUUAAACCAAUUUUAUGACCACAGUCAGCAAUGCGAAUGUUUGGACAUACAUUACCAUCAGCAUCCCUGAUCUGGGCUAUAAGUGCAUGAACCCCUUGAUUGGUUCCAUUGAUAUUGAGCUGUGAAAAAACAAUUGUGUGUGUUGCAUGCUAGACAACAAAGCAACAACAUAAGUAUACCAUGUCAGCAUAUACAUAAAACAGAGGGAAGGAUAAUAAAAACAGCUAAAAAAAAAACUUCACAUUACAAAGGAAUCUAAAAACAGACUCCAUGGAGAGAAAUGGUAUUUGGUUCUAAGAGAAGCUUACGUUGGCUGCUCCGCCAAUCCAAUACUUUUGUGCUGAUUCACAAGGAGUAUUAAUGACAAACUCCCCUGUGUUUGAGUCAUAUGUUGUUAUUGUUUCAAUGCCGCGAACCUAAAUACAGUAACUCUAGAAUAAAUCAGGAGCAAGAGGAAGACUGCAUAAAAAUUCGGAAAAAGCAUGAUUCUCCUUACUAAAGGAUUAGACAACCUUUACAUACAUUACUUCCAUGCCCCAACUCAGUCAUUGCAAAGCAACCUUUGAUCAAGUAAUUUUCAGUGUCCCUCAGCCACUUGUCAUGGUGGUGCUUUGUACCAAAAAAUUGGAUGGCACCACCCCUGCAUACAUUAUGACAAUAGUAGAACUCAGUUCCAAAUUUUCUUACUUUCUACUUUAACCUUGUCGACUAAAAAGUCUGCACCCCUUCCUAUAACAAUGGGUUAAAUUCAUAAAUAAAAUGUAAGGCAAGCAACAAACAGCUCUCGGUUCCAUUAAAUUUCAAACUUCAAUACACUAAGACUUUGUUGGUUAGUUUCUUUUGAUACUUAUAUCUUUUGCUAUUUGAUCUUUUAUUCUUCAUUGCUAACAGGUAGGAUCAUAUUUAAGUAAAAUAAACAAAUUGAAAAUCAAUUAAAACAAGGCAUUGUGUUGUAUAUUAUAAAACAGAGUAAUGCAACCAAGGAAAAUGAAGAAGAAAUGAAUAUACAGUUAAUAAAGACACUUCAAGGGAGCUACUACUCUUAAGUGCAAAAGGGCUCUUGGUAACAUUUUUAAAUAUUACCAUGAAAAACUGCCACUACAAAAAAAAAUGCAGCCCAAGCUUUUCUUGAACAUAUUUAACCAAAACUAAGAAUUUGAGAGAGAGAGAGAGAGCGAGAGAGAGAGAGAGAGAGAGAGAGAGAGAAUGAGUAGUUGAAUAUAAGUAAUAGUUCAAUUCAGUGUAAAUGAAUGCAUCCAUAGAAACUAACAAGUGCUAUGAAAGUAUUCUUUUAUAGAGAACUAUCUGAAAUCUUGAAAUAAUAUCCCUUCAUGAAAAGUCUUCACAAAGUUAUAUCUUGUCCUACAUACUAAAUUCAUAAAAACAUGCGACCUAUACGAUUUUACAACUUCUGUUUAAAAUCAAAACACUUGAAAUCAUUUUGGUAGACUUCAUGAUAACAUUUUCUUACUCAAAAAAUAUAAAAAUUCUAAUGGUUACUCUUUUUUUAUGUAUUCAAAUCUAUUUUUACACCUAAAAGCAAAGUAAGGGAAAUAAUGCAUAAAGGAAGUCUAUUACUUUUAAAGUGUGUUUGCUUGGGUAAAAGGAGAAAGUAAAAAAUUGAAAAAAAAAAAAUUUGAAUGUGCUUAAAAAAAUGAGAGAAAUAAAAAUAAAAAGGUGAUCAUCUUAUCUUCCAAAUUAGAAUGAUAAAAAGAGAGAAAAUUGUAUAUUAAUUUAUUUUUAAAUGUUUUAUUUUAUAUCUUUAAAAUUUUCAACUUAAAAUUAUUCUUCUUUUCAUUUUCUUCAUCAGCGCGCUUAUAGAAAAAAAAUUAUAUUUUUUUAUUUAUGAAAAUAAAAUUAUUCAGAAAAAAUAUAUUUUUCAUAUUUCUAUGUAGAGUUUGAAAAGUAAAACGAAAUCCAAAAAUUUAGAUUAAUCUUAAGAAGAUAGAAAAGAGAAAAGGCAGAUAACGCACCACAAGAAGAAGUGAACUCCAAGCUUAAUGGAGAUGGAAUGAUCGAAGAGACCCAAAACCUCAAAGCAAGCGAACCUUCUCAUCUCAACUUCUUCUCCUUCCCCCGUUAACCACCCUUGGAACACUCCCCUCUCGAACAAAUACUCGAUGCGUUUCCACGUCAUCUCCCGCUGCUGCUCCAUGGACUGGUUAUAGUCCGGCGACACAAACACCUUCCCUCCCCUCACUCUGGGAUUGAACACCUUGCUCUGCGUGAUCAUCCCAAACAGCCGAUCCCGCUCCUCCAGGUCGUGCCCGUCCAUUAGCUUCCGCAUAUCGUUGAUGUCGAAUGCGUAUUUUUCGGAAAGUUCAGGCGGAGAGUAGUUCAAACAGGUGUUUGAAGAAAGAGAAGGGGUUUGAAAGGACGAAGUAGGAGGUGAUUGGAGGAGGUGACCGGUUAGGACUUUGGUUCUCUGAAAUGCUCGAUCCAUUGCAGAAUAACGUUGUUUUUUUUUUUUUUUUUUGCCUGCCUUUAUUUGUUUGUUCAAAAGAGGAAUACUGAUGAUGGUGGUGGUUGCGUUUAGUAUUUUUUACAUUGAAGCAAUCGCAAUUGGAUCCAGGAAGCGGUUAGGUUGGGUUGGUCAUCCGGGGUUAGGUUGGUCAACCAACUAUCUACGCUUAAAUAAUCUGACCUUAUCCGUAUUUCUCAACUUGCGCCUUUUUUACAAAGAUAAUAUAAUAAAUAUAUUAAAUUCAAAAUUGGGUUAUAUGUUAUAUUAAUUACUAAAAUGGUAUAGAUAAGAUGGUGAAGGGUGGUGUACAAAUGACACCACUCUUGUUUUCUAACAAUUGUCCCAUACAAUUAAAUAAUAAUAUUUUAAUAUGUGAAGUCUUGUUGAUAGGCGAUACCUAAAUAUUGAAUUUAAUAUAUACUCGUUUUUAUAUAUGGGCAUAAUAUUUGGGGUGAUGUCAUAUCAAUAAGUGGCACUAGUGAUCCCUCUUUAGCAGGCGGCACUAGUGACCUCUAUCUAAUAGGUGACAACGGAGAAGAAGCAAAUUUGGGGGAUAUUAUAACUAUGGUCCCCUUUCGUAAUUUUAAAAUUGGAGAAGCAGUUUCUUUAUUUAAAAAAGAAAAAGAAAGUAGAAGGGAAGAAGAGAGGGAGAAGAAAAAAAGGUAAAAAAAAUUUAAUAGAGAAGAUUAAAGGAAAAGAAAGUUAAGAAAGAAAGGAGAAGCAAAAAAAAUGAUAGUAGAGAAAUGGAAGGUGAAAGUAUGUUUUUUUUUUAAAUAGAAUCGAUUAGAAAUUAUUUUGUUACUAAUUUGUUUAGUUUGAUGUUUAUUGUGAUUUGUUAUAAAUGUAAUUUUUUAUGUUGUUUUUAAAUUAUUUUUAAGUUAUUUUGUUAGUAAUUAUUAUAAAUUAAUUGUUAGCUAGUGAUGACACUAGGGAAAAAAUAGAUAAAUACUGAAAUUAAAAAAAAACUUAGUUUCUGUCGUAGAUAUUGGAAGAAAUGACAAUAAAUCUGAUAUUGCCUGAUGAGAUAACAACUUCAGCACAAAGAGAGAAAGUUGAUAGGAUGAUUAGAGAAGUGUAAGAUUAUAGAAUGAAACAGAAGAAACAUAGUUCAACACCUUAUUACCAUAAAUCAAAAUAUGCAAGACGUGUUAUGGAAGAUUCAUGAAAUAAUUAGAAAGAAUAAAGUGCGAUAAUUGACCCUAAGAGGGACAUUAAUAAAACGGUAGCAUCAAAUGAUUUUAGACCAACUUUGGAAGACAUUGGUACCACGAACCUAUUGGAAUAUAAUUAUAUACUACGUGAAGUUUAUAAUCUCUUAUGGAGCAAAGAAAAUAGCGAGACAAAGUAUAGGUUCGCUAAAGUUGACUAGGAAGCAAAAUGUCUUUGACAUGCCAUGGAUGAUAAAUUAGUUGUUAGGAAAUUACUUUAUAAAUUCAAUACCUGUUAUAAAGAUGGAAGAGGAAUAAGAUCCUGAGGAAUUUCCAAAAUGGAUUGUAGAAGAUGAAUUUGAAGAGAAUUCAAAAUUUAAUAUAAAGAAUUUCCCGGAGAAAAAUACAGAAUCGGAGAUGGAAGAAAACGUAGAAAUGAGUUUAAGUGGUUAAAUGCGAAGGUAAAGUAAAAGUUAGAGCCUAGAAAAUGUGAAAAAAAUGACUAAAUAUGGUUGUACAUGUAAGAAAUGAGAACUUAAUGUUGAUAUAAUGCUGAGCUUACGAAUGAAAAGUUUUGCAUAUUUAUAUAAUGUUGGUCUUUUUUUUACAGAUUAUUUUUUAUUAAAGUAAUUUUUUUGCUGUUCGAAAUUGUAUUGAGAAUUUUUAUUUCUUUUUUAACAGAUUUAGUAUUGAAGAUGAAUAAUUAGUUUUUUUUGUAUGCGUUUAUUUCAAUGGAGUAAUUUUGACAAUAGUUGGAUGUAUAUUUGAAUGUCGCCAACAAAUAGCAAUUAGAUUUAAUAGAAAUGUCUCAGAUGAUUAUAUAAAGAAAAUGAUUAGUGCAAAAAUUGUUAGACAUUAUGGAAAAAGGAUCUCGAAACUUUUCUACAAGUUUCCAGUUUCAACAGAUCCCAUCAAAUUCACCGAGAUAGAACUUGUAGACGAUAAAGACGUGGAGACAAUGGUCGCUCUUUAUUAUGGGAAUUGGAGUGACCAAAAUGCAACGAUUCAGUUAUUUGCUAAGUUAGCUUAUGUGGAACCAACUGAAGAUCCUACUCCAUUAGGUGAAGAACAUUUAUAGUCAAUCGAUUUUACACGGGAUCGACAUCGAUCUUAAUGCUGCAUCCGAAACUGAUGCGGUUGGUGAUGACAGAUGCGAUAGUAGUGAUCCUUCUGGUCAAGAGGUCGAUAGUGAUCCCGAUGUGGAUGAGGUUCCAGGUGAUACUAACAACAAAGGCGUAAAUGACGAUUGAAAUGUUAAUGCGUUGUGAUACACAAUAAUCUUGGGGCACACAUGUUGUUCAUAAAACCCGAUGCGGUGCAUACAGUCGAGUUCCAGGAGUACCCUAAUAUACUACCUGCUCACCGAAUGACCGUAGAUUCUGAUCUUAAGGAGUUAUUCAUGGGCCAGAAAUUCGAAAGCAAAGAAGGGUGUGUAUUUACCAAUAAGCGGUAUAGCAUGAAUGUGUAGUGGACUACAAAGUCAUGUCUACACCGACAUUAUAUAUUGGGGAGUGUUAGAGGUCGACGGAAGGUUACAAUUAGUGGGUACGAGCUACAUUUAUCCAGAAGUCACAGAUGUGGGAGAUACGAAUAUUUGUUGAGCCUCACACAUGCACUUCAACAUGUAUGACAGAAGAUCACCAGAAACUUGAUUCCAAAACUAUUUGUGCAUGCAUUAUGCCAAUGGUGAAGGACAUGCCGACCAUUAAAUUUUCGAUAUUGAUUGCUGAAAUGCAAGCACAAUUCCAGUAUCGAAUAUCAUACCGAAAAGCAUAAAUAGCUAAACGGAUGGCAAUGGAUCAAUUAUACAGAGAUUUUGAUACGUCGUACAAUGAGCUACAAGGGUGGAUAGCCACUUUACAGGAGUACGUGUCGGGAACUGUCAUUGAGUUAGAGACACGACUUUAUUACGGCCCAGAUGACCAACUACAACUGGGAAAAAAAAAUUUCCAACGAAUUUUCUGGACGAUUGAUCCAUGCGUGCGAGAAUUUCUCCACUACAAGCCAUUUGUGUAGGUAGAUGGGAUCUGACUAUACGAAAAAUAUAUGAAGAUCCUACUUAUUGCAGUUGCUCAAGACGGGAACAAGAAUAUGCUCCCGAUAAUGUUUUCCAUUAUGGACAAAGAGAACAUAGAAUCAUGAGAUUUCUUCCUUACGAACCUGUGGAAGUAUGUUGUUAAUGAUGAUAAUAUCUGCAUCAUCUCUGAUAAAGGAAAUAGAAUAAUUACCGCCAUUAAGCAUUCCGAUGUACCAUAGAAAUCUUUUUACUACAUCCGGCACAUCGCGAAAAACUUCCAUCGAAAGUAUAAGAAUGCAGACUGGAGGAAAUAAGUUUUAGAAAUGGGUAAAGAAUGCCUUUAUCUUUUCAAUAUACAUUUUAAUGUUUAAUUCGUGACUGUAACUAAUCUUUUCUUAAUAUAUACACAGCGUACGAGCUAGAGCCACACCUUUUCCGACAAAGGAUGACUAGACUUGAAAGUGACAUGGAAGGUGAAAUGAACACACCUUUUCGACAGUGGUUGGGUACCAUGAAGCUGUGACAAUGGGCUUAAAGUUUUGAUGAAGGGUUUCGCUAUGGUCAUAUGACCACCAACUUUGCAGAGGGGGUUAACUCUGUGUUGAGAAAAAACCAUGACAUCUUUUGAUUUCAUCUAUGUUCUUGGCUACAUUCUAUAGUCUGGCUACCUUGAUGCUAAAAAUGGGAUAGUAACAAGUCAACCAGAUGGAGACGGAAUACAUGUUUGUCGAAGAUGUCAAAGAUACAAUCGUUGCGAAUCGUCGGAGGGCAAGGUCGAUGAAUGUAGAAGUAUAUUCAAAACAUUUUGAAAUGUUUUAAGUUACAGAGACCAUCAAUCGUCGACCCGAUAUACCACCUAGGUCUUACGAAGUUGAUCUCUGAAACAGACGGUGCGAUUGCAAGAGGUUCCAGACACUUCAUUAUCCAUGCGCGCAUGUUUUGGUAGCAUGUGCUCUCACCUCACUCAGUGUUGAACAGUUUAUCGAUGAGGUGUACACUUUCGAGCGCACGUUGCGUGUUUGAGAGAACGAGCUCCCCGUCCUACUUGACCUGUUUACAAGAGAGGUUUCGCCGAUAACUUUCGAGCUUAUCCUAGACAAAGGGUUGCGUAGGAAUCCAGAAGGUCAUCCACAAUCAACUAGAAUCCAUAAUGAAUUGAACAUUAGAGAGAAAACUAACGGGAAACUUUGUGGCAUAUGCAAAUUAGUUGGGCAUAAUAGGAGUAAAUGCCCGCAGCGAACCUACCAUAUUAGACAAUCGUCGCAAUUGGGUAGGAAUUGAGCUAAUGUACUCCAAUGUAUCUAAUUUAUAUUACAAAGUUUGUUCCAAGUUUGUUCCAACACGUGCCAAUUAAAAUUACAAAGUUUGUUCCAAGUUUGUUUCAACACCUAUCAUUUAAAAUUACAAAGUUUGUAUUUUUGCAUUUAUAUUUUACUAUAAUUAAAUAAAUAUAAACUUGAUUAUUUAAAUUAUAGAAACUCCUAAACUUGAUGGUUUGAUGGUAUGGUCCUAGGGGUAUAUUUUUAUGGUGGUCAGCGUUCAUGUUGCGGGUUAUCGUGGCGAUCAACAUUCUCCUCACUCAAACUUGAGGGUGUGCUAAACAUAGUAGAAAAAUCAUAUACCCCAAACGUCAUCGAUGAUGUUGGGUUGGGAGGAGUGGAGUACUGAGGUGGACAUGGGGCGGGAGAAGUGGAGUACUACAGUGGUAAUGGGUUGAAGAUAUCAAAUGUCGUCGUUGAUCUCAGAUCAGGUAUAUUAAAACUGGAUCCCGAAAACUCUGAAUGAUAUCUGUGGCCUAACGAGCCUGAGAAAUAGUCAUCAAACCCCAAGUCUAGAUGAUAAGAUUUAUCCCCAGAUUGUGUAUGAGAUUGGUUGGGUUCGGGCUCUGGCUCAGACUCUAGCUCAGGUUCAAGCAAGGGCUCUAGCUUGGGUGUAGGAGACGUAUGUGGAAAAGGAUGAUCGUAUGCUCCAAGUUAAUACAUGUGCAAGGGGAUUACAAUCGAUUUCUCACAAAAUAAAUAUGGUUUCCCCAUAUCAGAGUACCAUUAUAUGUUACUCUAACGAGGGCUGCAAAUCGAAAGAAAUAUCCAUCUAAGGUCUCUGCACCAUGCGGUUGUCCCACACUGCAAUAUAUUAUUGAUGCACUACUGCCCAAUUAUUUCCGUGCUUUCCCCUAUUGUUAAUCCCAUGGGUCUUCCCCAAUUGCAUUGGCAGAGCCGGGAUAUACUGUAUGCAACUGAACUACCGAAGUACUUGAUCCUUGUUAUACCACUCCACUGUCUGGAAAUUGAUAAUAGGUGCAUUAAUGCGCCACAUGUGUGAGUGAAUAUGAGAAGAUGAGGGAAUAAUAGUUGCAAUUUUUGGCAAGGAAUAGGGCAUCUAGAUAAACUGCACAAUUAAUAAAAUAGUUAAAUUCUAACACGAUUCAAGUAAGAUAUACAAAGUAAUUACAUGUUACGAAUAUUAGAAUAACUUACCCCUUCCCUAGUAUGUUGCUGAAUCAUCAGGCGAUAUAUCAGAACCGUGUAUGACCUCCCGAUACCCGGAUUUGUACUCCAUCUACGAAAAAAAAUAACUUGUUAGAAUAAUAUCAUUAGAAAAAAAUUUUCAAUUAAUUACUAUAAUAGGUAAGAUUUUGUCACCUAUUUACGAGUGGAAAAACAUAUACUUGGUGACUAACAGAUGCCAAGAAUGACAUCCAGUAAAGAGCCCAAGAUUGUAGCGAUAUGAGGCAUCCGCCUAUGCCCAUGGCAAAAGGCUUUGUCAUCCGACAAAGCUUGCGAUACAACAUAGCUAAUACUGCAGAACCCCAACAACAUGAAUGGACAUUAUGCAAAUCAAUUAAGCUAGGUAAGUACAUCAAAUGGACCUUUUUGUUGUUUGCAUUCAACAUGAGUACACCCCUUAUAAUGUGUAUAAUGUACGCUUGAAUGACGCACAUCACCUCCCACUCAGUGGCAUUAAUCGAUAAAUUCUUAAAAUUGACCUUCAACUAUAAAAACCUCAAACCUGUAAAUUUCGACUCAGCAUCACCGGACGAGACUCCUAAUAGGUUAUCACAAAGGGUAACCAGUUCAGAUAUCGUACUUACGCUAGUUACUGCACUCCCGUCGAUUGGGAGCCUUAGUUGUAGUGUAACAUCCUCUAGAGUGAUAGUGCACUCCCCACACGACAAAUGAAAAGUGUGGGUCUUCGGGCGCCAUCGCUCGACCAAGGCGGAUAUUAAGUGGUACCACAAAUCAAACUUCCAGAUCAAUGUCACUGACCCGAAUCCGAGUAACUCCAAGUAUGACAUUAGUCGUUCAUCCAGGGGAUAUCCUAAACCAUUCACACGAUCCCUUAAUGCGUGGUAUGGGCACUGACACUAUUAAAUUAUAGAAAUAGUUAAUAUAACAUAAUUUAAUUUCGUAAAUGACGUGAAACUUUUUAUAAGGGAACUCGUGAGUAACAAAUAACAAUUUAUUACCAUCUUAUUAACUGUGUUUGAUAUGUGAUUAUCGUUAUUAAUCAAAGAACCCAUUUCAAUAUUUGUAAUUUUAAAACAAGGAGUUCAAUUAAUUUGUUACAAAAAAAUACAUUUCGAUAAUUAAUUUGUAUUUGAGCAUUUUUAUCGCACUAAUAAAAAAUAUUAUUAAAAUACAGAUACGUGACAUCCUAAAUGUAAUAGCACAUUUUGAUAAUUUAUUUUUAAGGUGGUCCAUUUUAAAUAUUUAUUAAAAUUCCUAAAUGUAAUAGAAUAAAUUUUACAAUAAAUACAAUACAAAAAUUUCAUUACAAAAAUACUAAACAGUUUUGUCCACAUCACAUUUUUUGCUAUACUAUUGCAGUAUAUAAUUAACAAAUUAAAUAAAAAUAUCUUAUAAAUUUCAACUCAAUGGUCCUAUCUUUUACCUACCUACAUAUAAAAUAAAAAAUUUAUGUUAAAAUAAUAGAAACUAUGAAAACAAAAUAAAGCUAGUUGGUUGGACUAUAUGUUGUUAUGUACAUCUAAUAAUAAACACACAAAAAAUGCCCAUUAAAAAAUAUAACAAAACAUCACAUCAAUUCCAACUAAAUAGACUCAUCUUUUACAUACAUAAAAAAAACAAAAAAAAAAUUAUGUUAAAACAACAUAAACUUUCUCAACAUAAUAAACCUAAUGGGACUAAUGUUGUUAUUUGAAUAUAAAUAAAAAAAUAAAAAAAGCAUAAGACUUUAAAAAUCAAACAGAAACAUACCUGCACACUUUCUGAAAUAAAUCAAAUAACCUUCCUUUUGUACCGAAAUAAUACCUUACAAAAAAAUAAAAAAAAAUCAGAUUCUGAAUUAUAACAUUUUUAAAAUAAAUAAAAUAGAAAAUAACAUUUAUAACCUAUAAAAAAACCCUAAACUAAACAAAAAUACCUUAAUUUCUUUUUUUUUCAAACCCUAAACAAACAAAAUCCACAAAUCUUUUUUUCUUAACCUCAAACUAAACCCCAAGCUAAUCCUACACUGACCCUAAAUCCUUUUUUUCCUUAACCCUAAACUAACCCCAAAUUUCUCCUUUGAUUUUCUUCUCUUCUAUUCUGCUACUCUUUAUUCUUUCCUUCUUUUUUUUUCCCCUUCGUUCUUUUCUUCUUCACUGGUUUGUUUUCUUUCUUUCUUUCACUUUGGGGACCAGUAUAAGGUCCCAAACAACGUUUACCAUCCAUUUUCACGAGACCCUUAAGGGUCUCAUCCCAUCGGCAAACGCAUCAAAGCAGCAAAGUAAUCCCAUCCAUGCUAGACUAGUGCCACAUGUCAAGUAGGCUUCACCAGGUUCUCCUCGGGCUGUGUGGACUACAGGUUAUACGGGUUAAAACUGUAACACCCCAAAACCGGUCUAAACGUUAUGACCGAAUCUGGCGAUGUCACAUUGUAACACCCCUUACCCGUAUUCGACGCCGGAAUAGGGUACGAGGCAUUACUAGAAGACAUACAUUUGCAUAUGUAUUAAACUGAGUUACAAAAUUUCAUCCGAAUUAAAACUUUUAAAUUAUUAACGUGCUUUUAUAAUUCUUUACAACAUAUCCUCGAAAUAUUAUAUUCAUAACAAAUAGGGCCUACGAGACCCGAUAUUUACUCAUGUAAUUCAAAGCUUCAUUUCCAUUUCAUUCAAUUCACAAUUUCUCAUGUUCACAAUUCAAAUCAAUUUCUCAAUCCAAUAUAUAUUUCAAUCAUCUAUGAAUAUAAUUCAAGUUAUACGAACUUACCAGGCUAAAUUGCAGAAAUACCAAAAUUCAAGGACAUUUUGGUAAUUUUCUAUUUUCCUCGAAUUUUCACCCAAUCUUGAUAUAAAUUAAUAUUUCAUUAAAUUUAUUAAAUUAAAUAAUAAAAAAUUCAUUUCAUGCAAUUUGAUCACUUUUUGACAUUUUUACCAAUUUACCCUUAAAAUAUUACUUUUAUUCAAUUUAGUCCUUGAACCUAAAACACGCAAAUUGGUCAUUUUUAAUGAGAACUCAUGCUAGUUGAAUAAUCAUUUAUUUUCCUCCUCCUCCUCUCCAUUCCACAUCCUUAAUGUAUAAUAUGCUUAUAGGUAACAUUAUCUAUAAUUCCACCAUUUAUUUAUAUAUUAAUUCAAAGCUAUCCACUUGAGUCAUAGUCACUAAAUUAUUUAUAUCUUGAGCUAUGAAACUCCAAAUUAAGAUCCGCUAAAUUCCUAUGAAACUAGACUCACAUAUCUUCUUACCAUAAGAUUUUCAGAAUUUUUGGUUUAGCCAAUAAGUACAGUUUAUUCUUUAAAGUUUCCCCUGUUUCACUGUUUGACAGUUCUGACCUCUCUUUACUAAAAAUUAAUUAUCUCAUUAUACAAAAUUCGGAUGAUAUUUCCGUUUCUUUCCUUUGAAAAUAGACUCAAUAAGGAUUCUAAUAAUAUAAAUUAUAACUCAUAAUUAUUUUUAUUAAAUUUUUUAGGAUUUUUCAAAGUCAGAACGGGGGAACCCAAAUUCAUUUUGAUCUUGUCUCACAAAAUUUAUUAUAUCUCAUGAUUUACAAUUCCAUUACUUACACGUUUCUUCUAUGAGAAACUAGACUUAAUAAUAUUUAAUUUCAUAUUUUUUUAAUCCUAUAAAUCGAUUUCCACAAUUUAUGGUGAUUUUUCAAAGUUAACCUACUGCUACUGUCCAAAACUGUUUUAGUGCAAGAUGUUGAUUACUAAGUUUAUAACUCCCUAAUUCCCUUUCUCUAUAAUAUUUCCCAUCAUUUUCACUUAUUUCUCUUCACUAAUAUAUCAAGACCAUAAGACAUCGUUUAAGAAAACUCUACUAUAACAUCAUUUCCAUACUUUUUUCAACAAUAACAAACUUAAAAAUAUAUUAAAAUCUUGAUGUUCUUACCUUGUGCUAUUGAUUUCAAUCUUUAACUUGAUUUUCUCUCUCCUCCAGCUUCCAUUUCUUAUAUUUCUUGAAUCUAACUUGACAUUCUAGCUCCCCAUUGUCUCCUUAUUACUUUUCUCUCUUGGAAGCUAUGGAAAUUCUUUUGAAUUCUAGGUGAAAAUAGUGAAUUUUUGGUAAAAUGACCAAAUUGUAAAGAAAGCAAAACUUUCUUUCUUCUCUUCUCUUCUAACGUUGGUUGCAUGGAAAGAUGAUAAUUUUUUCAUCAUCUUUCCUCCCUUUUAUAUUAAUCAUUUAAUAAUAAAAUAAUACUAAAAAUCUUAAUAAAAUAUUAAUUAAAUAACAUUUAUCUAAUUAAUUAAUUAAAAAUAUCACAAACAUCAUCAUUACCUUCUAGAAUUCUCUCUCUCUCUAUUUGACCAUUUUUCCCUUCAUAAUCUUUUGAAAUUCCAUCCUUGAGUCAUCACUUAAUUUGGUAAAAUUGCAAUUUAGUCCUUCAAAAUUCUUCAUCUUUUCAAUUUGGUCCUAAUUCAUCCAUUUUCCUUAGUUUCUAGAUUAUUCCACCCUUAAAAUACACUAUUGGUCCUUCAAUUUUUUCAUAUUUACACUUUAACCCCUCAAAUUUUGAGUAUUUACUCUUGGGCAACAAAACUUUUCUCACUUUUGCAAUUUAAUCCUUUCUUGAAUUAAUAUGUCAUAAUAUACUUCCCAAUGUUGACAUAACUCAAUAUUACCCUUUUUAUCACUUUAUUUCUUUAUUUUACUAUAUCAAGGAUAUUAUCUUACUUACUGUAGUAAUUUUCGGGGUAUUAAAAAAACGGGUUAUACAGGGUGUAUUUUUUGUUUGGGUGCCGCCUACCAAAUGCCCACAUUUGAUUAAUUUUUUGUUCAUAUCAGGAAACUGAAACUGUUAAUUUUAGGGUGGUGGUGUCGCCUAUCCACCACCUUCCUCUGUGUUGGCCAUACCAUUCCCAUAAAUAAUUUUGGGAGAAACCUAUUUUCGAAUUUAAUAUAUUAUUUUAUAUUAUUUGUGUAAAAAAGCCUCAAUUUGCAAUUAUUUAUACAAUUAUAAUAAACACAUCUAAUCAUUUAUCUAUGCCUAACUCGCGAUUUAUAUUUUUAUGUAAAUUCUUAGCUUAACUAGUAAAAGUCGUGGCUGACCCCCAAUAAUAGGGUUUGCGUCCGAAAAGAAUAAAAAAAUAAACAUUUAGAUAAUUUUUAUAAAAUUUCAAAAUAUUAUUUUUUAUUUCUAUGUUUUAAUUUUUUUUUAAUUUUUAAGAAUCAAGACUAAAUUGAUAGAAUGUAUAAAGUUGAGGAUUAAAUUUAUUGAUUUCUUUUAGAAUUAUAAUCAAAUUUAUUGAAUAUGUUAAUACUGGAUGGCUAUAUUUAUUAUUAUGCCAAUAAAAAAAGGGUAUAUUAAAAUUCUAUUAAUAAUUUAAUGGAGAAGUGAUCAAAAUAUUAAAUUUUAAUAAUGUUAAUGACUAACAUAAAAUUUUUUAAUCUGAGUGACCAAAACAGAGAUAUAUUAAUAAUUGCGUAACUAUUUAUAUAGCUUACCAUAAAAUUUUAACAGAAUAAAAAAUUAUUAAAUAAUUAGAAGUAUUAUAUUACUAAAAUAUAAAUACAUUAUUUUAUAUAUAUUUAUUGAAAUAUUUUGAUUAAUUGAUGUAUAAUUACAUAAAUUUAUUAUAUAUUUUUUAGUACCACGAAAUCUUACAUUACAAUUUAGAGAGAAUGGAAUGUUAACACCAAACUUAACCCUAGGCCUUAAAGGUGUCAAUUUUUAAUCACUUGCACUUUUUGGAUUGUUGGUAAUUAACUUAUUAUAUUAAAUGAAUAAAAAUGUUAAAAGCUUUAAAUGAAAAUAAAUAAAAAAUAUUUAAAAAUAAAAAAAUUAAUAAAUUUAGAUUAUGACACGCCCACGAUAUUGAUAAAAAAAUAUGUAAUAAAUACAUUUAUAAAAAAUGAUUUAAGAAACAAAUGAAGCUUUAGUUGAAAUAGUAAAGAUAUUAAAAAUUAUGGUGUUUUGGAUUUGAAUCUCAUCAAGUGCAUUUUUCUAGCACGAAUGCGUGUAGAAACUAUAUAAUUAGAAUAUAAAUGUUUUUAAAAAUAAGAUACAAUAAAUAAUAAAACAUAUGAGGUGAAAUUAAUUAAUAAUGAAGCGUUAAUUGGAGUGGUAAAGUUUAAAUUCUAUACAUGUUGAUGUCAUGUGUUCAAAUUUCAUUAUUUGUAACUUUUUUAUUGGCUGUAUAUAAAAAGUAAAAGAUAAAACUAGAAGUACCCUCACAUCAUAUAAUUUAUUUUAAAUACAAAAAGAAGAAGAAGAAGAAGAAGAAGAGAACAAUUCUAUAUUUCCUUAACUAAGUUUUCCUUAAACUAGCUGGUGUCUAAUUGACUCAUAACACUAACACAGUUAGGAAUUUAAAUAAUAAGAUAGUAUAAAUUUUCAAACUAAUAUUAAAAAUAAUAAAUGCACUCUAAAUAUUUAUCAUGUUGGUGAAAAGAAAAUCAAAUAUUAAAAAUUAAAUUAUAAAAAAUUCAGUAUUGAGUUGAGUAACUCAAUCAAUGAAAUUAUGUAUACUAGUUCUAUAGCACACUUGUAUUGUGGGUGAAAAAAAAGGCGGAUGAAAAUAAUAUAUUUGUAAACAUUUUAUAUUAAAUAAAUGUUUGAAAUUUAUGUGACUUAAGUUCAAAUCCUAUCAUGAUAUUUUUAUUUAAAAAUAUGAAAAGACAAAAACAUUUUCAAAAUAUUAUAAAUUACUUUAUAAAAUGAGGACAUUUUUAUCUUUUUUUUCAACUGCAAGUUGAUAUUUGGUUAACCUAUGAUUGAAAUAUAUAAAAAUAUAAAAUAAAAUUUAAUAAUAUUAUAUUUUACUUUUUAUAAAUACUAGUAUCAUGGGUUGAAAUUUAAACAUAUAUAAAUUUUAUAUUGAUUUUAUUAAAAAUGUAAAAGGACAAAAAUAUUUUUGUAAAAAUAUCAUUUAUUUUAAAUAUGUAAGAAUAAUUUAAUAAUUUUUCAAAUAAGUUAAUAUCUAAUUAACUUGUGACACCUAUUCAAAUAAAAUAGGCAUAAUGUAAAAAAUAACCCCUAACUUUUGACGUUUGUUCACUUUGGUCCUUUAUCUUUUUUUUGGAGCACUUUAACCCCUAAUGUUUUUUUUUUGUCAAAUCGGUCUAUUUUUAAUGGACAAGUUGACGUUGCCAUUAAAUGUUUAACAACGUUUGUAAUACACUAUUUUGCCCGGGUCUAAAAAGGCCCAAAUUACAAGCAAGCCUAUAUGGCCCAAAAUGAAAUAAAACAAGGACCCAAAUUGCAGUGGCCCAAAAUCAUCAGAAACCCUAGGGUUUCUAAUCUUCAGCCGCAGCAACCAUGCCCUCCGAAUCUCCACGUGCUCGUAUCUGCACAGCAAAAAAAGAAGCAAAGCAGCAUAUGGUAAGAAAAUAUUAAAAUCAAAUCAAGCAGAUACCAGAAGAUUUCUUUUUAUUUUUUCUUGUUUCACGAUUGCUAUAAAAGCAAUCUUAAGAUACUGUAAAUGUGGAUCGAAAAAUCAAUAAAAACGAAUAUUUCAUAACAAAAAGAGUAGAGAAUACAACGAGAUCAAAAAAAUCAAAUAUCGGAGGUUAACAUCUAUUUUCUUGCUUCGUUUCAAGAUUUUUCUUUCGUUUUUUAUUUUUUACAUGCGAAAAUAAAAUAAAAAGGGAAAAAGAAAACGACUCACCUUCGUUUGAGUCUGAAACGUCACUAAGACUGUAGAGGGAGCCACCCCCGAGGAUCGGUGGCCGGAAACCGAAAGGUUUCUUGCCUGCUUUGAGGAUUUUUGAUGGUAUUUUGGUGUUUUCGAGCCCGGAUUUGGGUUUAAAGGGGCCAGAAAAGCCGAAUAGGGGAUUUUCCCCUUUUCUGGCCACAGCAGACGGCGGUGCUGUCGUCGGAGGCUGGCGGCCGGCAUGGUGGCCGACAAUCGGCCGGUGCCCGGACCCUGGCCAGACGAUGAAGGAGGGGAGAGCUUUUUGAAAGUUUUUUUUUUUUUUUGUUUUUUAAGAAAAGGCUUAAAAUGAAAUUUUUUAGGGAGAGUCAGUGGCUUAAAUAGCCCUUCAAAACGGCGUUGUUUUGGGCAUGGGUUGACUCGACUCCGACCCGGCCUAGGAUCCGCGUGUUUUUAAGCGGAGGGGUAAAUUGUGCUUUUAGCCCCUCCGCCUCUUAAUGUUUUACAAUUGAGUUUUUUUUUAAUUUAUCCCUUCAAUUUUUUUCGAUUUCAGUUUAAUCCUAUUUGAACGAUGCCGUUUUGAAGGGGAAGGGAUAAUUUUCUUUCCAGCCCCUCUGAAUUAUUGGCGUAUUCAAUAGGGUCCUCCAGUCUUCAAUUAUUUGCAAAUUUGCCCCAGAUUUUUGUCUACAGUUCAAUUUAGUUUUUUUCUUUAUUUUUUUAAUUAAUUAAUAAUGUAAUUAUUUUAUAUAUAUAUGUAAUUAUUUUUUUAAAUUUUUUUUUCAAAAAUCUAUAUAUGUAUAUAUUUAUUAUUUAUAUAUGUGCACAUGAGUAUAUAAUUUUUUUCUAACAAAUAUCUUUUUAUUUAUAUAUAUACGUAUAUAUAUAUUUUUAAAAUGCUCAAAUAUACAUUAUUUUUUACACAUAUUUUACAAUAUAUAUGUUUAUAUAUUUCUUUUUAUAAAUGCGUUAUAUAUAAUCUGUUAUAUAAAUUCUAUAAUCCAAAUUUUAUAUGUAAAUCCAUGUUUUUUUUUCCAUAAUUUCAACAUGCAUAUUAUAUGCACACUUUAUAUUCUUUAUUGUUUACUCUUUUUUAUUUUAUAAGAUUUUUUAUUUCCCUCACUCGUUUAUUCAUUUGCGUUUUCAUUUAUAUUCUAAAGAAUGUUUUUAUUUUGUUCAUUUAUUUGAUAUUUCGCAUGUCAUUAUUUUUAUUAUGUACAUUAUUUUCGUUUAUUUAUUUGUUUAUCUUAUUUCUACGCCAUAGUUAUAUUUAUUAUUGUAUUUUACAUUUAAUAUAACAUUACAUCAUCUUUUUACUCGAACUUAAAAACAUAAAAUUUUCAAAAUAGAGAUAAUACUCGUAUUUAGGAUUUUUCAAGAAAAUUGAGCCCUAACGUAUUGGGUUCCAAUUUUCUUCGUUAAAUCUAACAAUCGAGAAUUGCUCUUUAAUCAAAAAUAAAAUGAAAGGCUUGUCGUCGGAAAUUCAAUAUGUUGUGUCCUAAUGCAUUGGAUGUGACAUGUUGAUUUCUCGAGAUAAAGAUUUUUUUUAAAAAAAAAUUAAUAAAGGAAAUAUUCAAUGUUUGGGAUUUUAAGGGAUUGUGCCCUAAUGUAUUGGGCUGCGAUUUCUUCAUAAAUUUUAAACAAUUGAAUAUUAUUUUAAAUUUUAUCACACAAACCUUUUGGACAAACUCAUCUUGAAGAAAUAAAAUAUCGUGCCCUAACGCAUUGGGUGUGAUGUUUUCUAUUUCAAAAUGAGAGAGUCUUAAUAAAAAUUAAUUUAAUUAAGGAUCGUAUUUUUAACUCUCGACGUUAAGACAUUAAUUAAUCAAUUUGGUAUCAAUUUUUGGGCGUAACGAGGGUGCUAAUCCUUCCUCGAACGUAACUGACUCCCGGACCCGUUUUUCUAAAAAACUCGUAGACCAAAGUUGUUUUGGGUGAUCCAAUCACACCUUAAUAAAAGAUUGGUGGACUCCAAAUUUUCAUCGACAACUAAUUUUUGUUUUUUUCAAAAAAGAUAAAAUGGUUUUGACAGCUUGGAGACUCCACUGAGGACUUUAAAAAAAUAAGAGAGUCGAGCCACAAAGUUGAUUAAUUUUUGUCUUAUGGUCGAAAAAUAAAUUUUAAAAUUCAUAAGAUCCUUUUGCAUUCAUUAUUUUCCUGUUUAAUUGAUCUAAGUAUUUUAGUUAUUUUUGCAUUAUACAUUACAUGAGUUGAACGAUUUUACCCUCUAAGUGGGAGUGAGAAACUAUUCUUUCGUGAGGUUGUCACCUCCAUAUAGGAUAGUAGAUCACUUUCGGGAUACAUAUGUACCUAUGCCUUGGUGAGAUUUUCAUCUCCCUAUAGUCAUAAGGAAAAUGUAUCCCCCUGAGCCGAACUUGAUCUAUAUGAGCCUAUAAUGGGUGAAGAUCGAGGAAUCUGCUGGUUUGGGUACCUUAGCCCUAGAAGCCGAACUUCAAAUAAUGAACCUUAGGAAUCCACCUUAGGUAGAACUACACUGAACCUUAGUAGAUAUCCGAUUAGGUAUUUUACUAUUUCUUAAUUAUAUUCUAUGUUUAUAUGAUACUGACUUUUCGUGUUUUAUUUUGAUUGCAUGACAUGACAUUUCAUUUCAUCAUAAAAGGCGUCGGUUCAUAUUCAGUUGCUAGAUAGAAAGCUUAUAAUGGAAAAAGGGUUUCUUGAUAAAGUGGAAGAUAAUGCGGCUGUCCGAACUUGCUCUGAAACAAUACAGCGAGAGAAAGGCGAUAGUUUGGCUGAUGGAUAUGUAUCGAAAUUAUGAGACUUUACUCACAUCAGUGUAACUCAAAACAAUCUGCAAGAGUUGAGGGAAAUCUGGGAUCAGUGGAAUGACGAGGUUAGACAGCUAUUUUAUAAUAAUUAUGGGAAUUUGCCUUAUUUACUUGAUGUGAAGGUAGACAAGCACUUGUUUCGAGCCCUCGCUCAGUUUUAGAAUCCUACUUACAACUGCUUCACAUUUGGAAAGGUCGAUUUGGUGCCUACGAUAGAAGAAUAUGUGGCUUUACUCCGAUGUUCAAAGUUUCAAAUAGACAAGGUCUACUCGAGAGCUGUAAAUGUGCCAACCUUUUCGAAGAAGAUGAUGAAUAUAAUAGGGAUGAGUGAGCAAUAGGUUAUUACACGGAUUAAGAAAAAGGGGGAUAGCAAGUGCAUUCCUUGGAAGAGUUUGAAAAAUUUAAUUCUAACACACCCAGAUGUGAGGAAGAGGUUAGACGUCUUUGCUUUGAGUAUAUAUGGCUUAGUUGUCUUCCCUAAAGCUAUGGGACAUGUUGAUGAAGCAGUCACUGAUUUAUUUGACCAGCUUGAUAAGAUGGUUACACCAAUUUUGGCAAUUUUGGCAUAAACCUUCAGGCCAUUGAGUGCAUGCCGAAAAGUGGGAGAAGGUAGAUUCAUUGGAUGUGCACAGCUCCUACUUGCAUGGUUUCACAACCACUUUUGGAAGGUUGAUAGGGUUUCGUACCAGGUUUUCUCUGAAAAUUAUUCGCCACUAAAGGAGAUUGUAACCACACCGAGGAGAGACAACAUUUCGGAGGAGAAGUGGAUGGCAAUUCUUCAGAAUCUUCAAGAAGAAGACAUCGAGUGGAGAGCUCUUUGGUUGCUUCUAGAUGAGAUCCUGUAUAGAUGUGGUAAUUUUGAUUGGGUUCCUCUGCUUGAAAUUUAGGGAGCUGUUGGAUAUAUCCCAUUGCUAGUGCUAAGGCAGUAUAGGUCAAGGCAAUUUAUACCUGCGACCCAAGGAAUGGAUGAGUGUGAAUUCUCAUACAGGGAUGAUGGUUAUAGGAAAAUGAUUCAAGAGAUGUCUAGUGUAUGGAAACAGACUCGCCGAAUGAAGAGGUUAGCUGUGGGUCCGAUAACAACUCCUGAGUAUAAUGAAUGGUGGGUUAGGAGGAUCAAUGAGAAUACACCUAAGUCAAAUCAGGAAAACAACCAGUCAAUAGAGAAAUAUUUGCGGGUCGUCCCUUCUGAGUUGGAAAUUAUAAGACAAGAUUUUGAAAGAAGAAAUGCGGAUUUAGAAAAGAAGAUAGAACAAAUGGAGGAAGAGAAGGUGAGCUUAAUAUUAAACAUAGACGUUCAAAAGCUCGAAACUGAGAAAUUAAGAAAAGGGAAAAACAAGGUCGAAGAGUAGUUGGAUAGUUUGAAGAUAGAUUAUAAAAUGUUGCAUCUGUCAAUGAGAACUGCUGGGCUGGGAAAAACUUCAGAACAGUGGCGAGCAGAAAUUCGAGAAGAAAAGGACAAAGUUGAUAGAUGGGAAUAGAAAUUCCAAGAGGUUCAGACACGAAAUGAUGCUUUAGAGAAUAGUUUGUCAGAAAGCCAAAAGGAAAAAGGCGAGUUAAAGGACAGGGUGACCGAGUUGGAAAGAUCUCUUCGUCAAUAUCGAAAUCGAAACUCUGCAAUAGAAUUGAGAGCAAGCUUAAGCAAGAUUGAGAAAAUGAAAAAAAGAAUAGAAGAGUUAGAAAUGACAUUGCAAAAUUGUGAGAUCCGGAUCGAGUGCUUGGAGGCAAUUGAAAGUCGUAAUAACGAACAGCUUCACUACUUUCAGAAUCAAGUUAGGAGCAGAUAUCAUAUUAUGGAGGAAGCUGUGGUCCAGAUUCGUGAAGUAGCCGAUCACAUACAGACUUUAGCAGUGCAGGCCGACAUGUUAAGUGUGAAGUAUGAAUUAGAAUCGGAUCGGGGGCAAGAGUUAGCUUUGUUACUUAGGAAUAUUAGAAUUCUGAGUAAUAAGACAAAGCUUUAUUUGUAAUUCACUUUAUGUAAAGAAAUUUAAUUUCUAAUAAAGUUUUCUGAAAUGGAAUUGAAUCAAAAUUGACGCCUUUUUGCAUUCAUUUCAUGCAUUUUAUUUGCUUCAUAUGCAUUAAAAAAGAUUAAAAGAUUCUAAUUAAUUUAAAUCACUCCUCAGUUAAUCUGGAAACCAACCAACCCGCCAAACACCACUACGAUACUCGAUCAAAAACUAAAGACAUGGACCAAAUGAUGGAAAGGCUAAGACAAUUCCAAAAAGAAAUGUAAGAUCAGCUUCAACAACAAAUAAAAGAGAAACUCGAAAAGAUUCAGCAAAAAAUGAUGGAUAAAAUGAUGGAAUCUCAGGGGAAUAUGAUGACUCAAUUAACUCAGUUGUUAACUAGGGGAGCAGAUAAAGGAAAGGGCUCUGUGCUCAAUGUUGAAGAAGGAGACAGUGAGGGACCCAUUUAUCCCCUAGGCUUUACCCUUCAGCAUGUUGAGGUAUAUCCGCGCAAAUCUUCUGUCACCAUCCAGCCUCAGCAGUUUCAGGCCGGUGUUACAACACCAAUGAAUUUUCAGGCUGGAUCAGGCUCUAAUCCCGGAGAUAACCUUGUCAAUCCUAUUGUCCUUGAUUCGAUGAAACAGUUGGAAGAGAGAAAAUGAAGGAUGAAUUGCCAAAAUAGCUCGAAGAAAAGUAUAAAUGGCCGGAGGAAAAAUUUAGAGCGCUGAAAAGUACUAAGAGCUACCAUGGGAUUGACGCUAAAGAAUUGAGCUUGGUUCUAGAUUUAGUACUCCCUUACAAAUUCAAAAUGCCCGAGUUUGAGAAGUACAAUGGAACUAGUAGCCUCGAAGCCCAUAUUACCACGUUUUGUAGGCGGAUGACUGGGUAUGUUAAUAACGACCAGCUGUUGAUACAUUGUUUUCAGGAUAGCCUCACAGGGGCAGCAUCCAAGUGGUACAUUGUUUUCAGGAUAGCCUCACAAAUGAAACUAGUAGCCUCGAAGCCCAUAUUACCACGUUUUGUAGGCGGAUGACUGGGUAUGUUAAUAACGACCAGCUGUUGAUACAUUGUUUUCAGGAUAGCCUCACAGGGGCAGCAUCCAAGUGGUACAAUCAACUGAGUCGUAUCAAGGUUAAUUCAUGGAGAGAUUUAGCACAUGCAUUCAUAAAGCAGUACAAUCAUGUAACCGACAUGAUACCUGAUAGAAUCACUCUACAAAACAUGGAAAAAAAGCCCGGUAAAAGUUUUAGGCAAUAUGCACAGAGGUGGAGGGAGGUUGUCGUCCAAGUUCAACCAUCUUUUCUAGAAAGAGAGAUGACAAUGCUUUUCGUUAACACGUUGAAAGCCCCAUUUAUUACACAUAUGUUAGAAAGUGCUACUAAAAGCUUUUUUUGACAUAGUUAUGAAUGGUGAAAUGAUAGAAAAUGCUAUCAGAAGCGGGAAGAUAGAUGCUGGAGAAAGAAGUAGAAGGUCGGCCUCGAAGAAGAAGGAAAAUGAGGUUAACAACACAAGUUCAUAUAGCAAGGGGUAUUCAAAGACGAUUACGGUGAAUCAGUUGGGAAAAGUGGCUGUUAACCAACAAUGAUCAUCAAAACAAGGAUCUGACACAAGACAAAAUACGGAGAAGCUUCAAUUUACACCAAUUCCAAUAUCGUAUAAGGAGCUGUAUCAGAAUCUAUUCAAUGCAAACAUGGUUUCCCUUCACUACUUGAAACAUCUGCAGCCUCCGUACCCCAAGUGGUAUGAUGCAAAUACACAAUGCGAUUAUCACGCGGGAAUCGUGGGACAUUCCAUAGAACAUUGUACGGUGUUCAAAAAGCUGGUUGAAAGACUAAUAGGCAUGGGCAUUGUUAAAUUGGAUGAUUCGUCCAGUACAGAGAAUUCGUUACCUAAUCAUAAUGAUAAUGGAGUGAACAUGAUAGAUUGGAACAUUGGUAGAAAAAUCAAGGAAGAUAUCGCAGAAGUGAAAAUUCCUUUAAGAUGGGUCUGGAAGAAGACAGUAGAAAAGGGGUUGUUUGUCUUAGAUCCUGAAAGAAGCUGUGGAGGGAAAAACUACUGUGAGUUCCAUCACGAGGAGGGACACGAUAUUCAAGAGUAUGUAGAAUUCAGGGCCUUAGUUCAAGGCAUGAUGGAUGACAAGGAGGUGGAGUUCUACGAAGAGGUUAAGAAAGAAGGAAGUUUAUGCGCAUCUGAAUCAAUGAAGGUUCCAAAAGUAACUCAUCCUGUAGUUAUCAUCUCACGACCAAAGAAUGAUGAAGUGAGAACACCAGCAAUGCCAAAGAUCAUAAUUAAGAAACAAACAACCUUUUCUUACCAAGAUAGUAGGAAAGUUUCGUGGAACUACGAGUGCAAUACAACUGUCUCUGGAAAGGAUAUUAUAGAGGAUCAAGGUAUAGGUGUUUAUCCAGAACCUGUGAAAGGAAGGGCCAUAACAGUGGAACAAAAGAAGGGGAAAAUAGCGGAGCCUGUGUUAUCCAUCAACGAGCCAGUGAAAGAGGAAGAAGCUGUGGAAUUCCUCAAAUUUUUGAAGCACAGUGAGUAUAAUGUCGUCGAACAGUUGCAUAAACAACCGGCUCACACAUCUGUACUAGUCUUACUCUUGAAUUCAGAAGUACACCGAAGUGCGUUGAUGAAGGUGCUAAACGAGACCUAUGUGGCCAACGAUAUUUCUGUCAGCAAAUUGGAUCGGUUGGUCAAUAAUAUCAGUGCUGAUAAUUUCAUAUUCUUCAAUGAUGAUGAAAUACCACCUGGGGGCAUGGGGUCUACUAAGGCUUUGCAUAUAACUACACGAUGCAAGGGGUAUACUUUGCCAGGAUUGUUGAUUGACAAUGGAUCAGCUUUGAACGUGUUGCCAUUAUCCACACUUAACAGGCUUCCCAUAGACAGCUCCUUCAUGAAAACAUGCCAAAAUAUAGUGAGGGCGUUUGACGGUAUAGUGAGAAAGGCAUGGGAAGAAUUGAGAUACCCUUAUUGAUUGGCCCAACAGUUUAUAAGGUGGAUUUUCUUGUGAUGGACAUCAGACCCUCCUACAAUUGCUUAUUAGGGAGACCAUAGAUACAUUCAGCGGGGGCCGUACCGUCAUCUUUACAUCAGAAAUUAAAGUUAGUGUUAGAAGGUCGGCAGGUGACAAUAAAUGCCGAAGAGGAUAUUAUAGCGGCUGUAUCUAAUGAGGCGCCGUAUGUGGAGACUAAUGACGAGUCGGUGGAAUGCUCGUUCCGAUCUCUGGAGUUUGUAAAUGCAAUAUUUGUUCUUGAAUGGAGCAAAAUUCUGGUGCCUAAAAUAUCCAAAACUACAGAGAUGGGUUUGCAAUUGUUGGUAGGGAACAGAGCUUUACCCAAAAGAGGAUUAGGGAAAUACCUUCAAGGGAAAAUUGAGGUUCCAGUGCUGAAAGAAAAACAAGACAACUUUGGCUUAGGGUACAAGCUAGAUAGAGGACAGAAAAAGAAGAAGUUAAAAAGAAGGCAAGAAAGAAGAAGGGCGCGUUUAAGGGGGGAAGAAAUUAAAUGGGAGCCAAUGAUAAUUCCCCAUAUAUCCAAAACCUUCGUAUCUGGAGGGAUCAUUCAUUUUGAGAGAAAUAUACUGAUUGAGGAAAGCAUCAAAGAGACAUUGGAAAAUAUGCACAUCAAUGCCCUAAAUGAGGAUGCAAAUGAAGAGAUAAGCUUGUUAAACAUUUGUCCUUAUGAACCUUGGAGUGUUCUAAAUAAUUGGACUGCGGAAGAAAUACCUGAAGUAUUUAGAACUGUCUCAGAGUAAUAUUCAGAGCAAACUUGUUGUUUUAGCCUAGAAAUAAUAAGAACUCUUUUGUGUAAAAAGCUUAUGUUCAAAUAUCAUUAUUUUAAUAAAAUACAUCUUUGCAAUUGUCUCAAGCAAAUAUUCUUUCCAUACGAGUAAAUAUAUUAAAUUAUUCCUUCAUUUAUAAUCAUAUUGCCCAAAUAAUUGUACAUAAAUUCAUGCAUUCUCUUGUAACCAUAUUAGGUUCCUGUAUAUCAAUGACGUGAAUGACGCUGCUACAAACUCAAAAUUUCCUCUUGAAUGAAACAUGUGUUUAGAGGGAUCGUAGGACUUUAAAUGUGACGUAGAUGGUGGUUUAUCUUUGGACUUGUUGAGAAUGGUAGAACAGAAAGAAAAACAAAUUCUACCUCACAAGGAAGUAAUAGAAGUUGUGAGCUUGGAAGAAGGGAAAGAGGUGAAAGUUGAAACUGAGAUUUCCGCAAAGACAAGACGAGACCUCAUUGAACUACUCCAAGAAUUCAAAGAUGUCUUCGCAUGGUCAUACCAAGAUAUGUCCGGGUUGAGCACUGACAUUGUAGUGCAUCGCCUACCUAUAAGGGAGGAUUGUAAGCCAGUUCAAUAGAAGCUAAGAAGAAUGAGGUCUAAUAUUGUGCUUAAAAUAAAAGAGGAAGUUAAGAAGCAGUUUGAUGCUGGGUUUUUACAGGAGGUCAAAUAUUCUGAAUGGGUAGCCAACAUCAUUCCAGUCCUUAAAAAAGAUGGAAAUGUACGAAUGUGCAUGGAUUAUAGAGAUUUGAACAAAGCAAGCCCAAAAGACAAUUUCCCAUUGCCACAUAUUGAUACUUUGGUGGAUAAUACGGCAGGGUAUUCACUGUUCUCUUUCAUGGAUGGUUUCUUAAGAUAUAAUCAGAUAAAGAUGCAUCCUGAAGAUAUGGGAAAGACUACAUUUAUUACUUUGUGUGGAACAUUUUGCUAUAAAGUGAUGCCAUUCGAAUUAAAGAAUGCGGGAGCAACAUAUCAGAGAGCCAUGGUAGCCUUGUUCUAUGACAUGAUGCACAAAGAGAUUGAAGUUUAUGUAGAUGAUAUGAUUACCAAAUCUGGAAUAGAGGAGAAACAUGUGUAGGUCCUGAGAAAAUUGUUCUUAAGACUAAGAAAGUUUCAACUCAAACUUAAUCCAACAAAAUGCACUUUUGGAGCCAGGUCAGGGAAGUUGUUGGGCUUCAUAGUCGGUGAGAAAAGAAUCGAGAUUGACCCGAACAAAGUCAAGGCAAUACGAGAUUUACUGCCCCCACGUACUCAGAAAGAGGUUCGAGGUUUCUUAGGAAGACUGAAUUAUAUUGCUCAGUUCAUUUCACAGUUGACCGAGAAAUGUGAUCCCAUAUUUCAUCUUCUGAAGAAACAUAAUCUAGGUGUUUGGAAUGAAGACUGCCAGGAAGCUUUUGAAAAGAUAAAAUAAUACUUAUCCAAUACUCUAGUACUGUCACCACCUAGCCCGAAUAGACCAUUGAUUCUGUAUUUAAUGGUGUUUGACAGUUCCAUGGGAUGUGUGUUGGGUCAGCAUGAUGAGACUGGAAAGAAGGAAAAGGUGAUAUACUAUCUCAGUAAGAAAUUCACUGAUUGUGAAAUGAGAUAUUCACUUAUUGAAAAAUUAUGUUGUGCCCUGAUUUGGACGAAAAAAGAUUGAGGCAAUACUUGCUCUACCAUACAACUUGGCUGAUUUCAAAAUUAGACCCUUUAAAGUAUAUGAUGGAGUCAACUGCGUUGAACGGGAGAAUGGCUAGAUGACAAAUUUUGCUCUCUGAGUUCGAUAUAGUAUAUGUAAGACAGAAAGCCAUCAAAGGGAGUGCGAUAGCAGAUUUCUUAGCUAGUAGAGCUUUAGAAGAUUAUGAGCCUCUAGACUUUGAUUUCCCGAAUGAAGACUUGAUGUGUGUGGCAAAUACUGAAGAGGGUCCUUAAGAAAAUCAUUCUUGGAGGUUAAACUUUGAUGGAGCUUCGAAUGAGUUAGGCAAUGGGAUUGAGGCAAUCUUGGUAUCUCCAAAUGGGGAUCAUCAUCCUUUCACUAGUAAAUUGGACUUUGAUUGCACCAACAACAUGGCCGAAUAUGAAGCUUGCAUCAUAGGAGUCCGGGCAGCCAUAGAGCGGAAAAUUAAGACAGUUGAAAUAUAUGGAGAUUCAACAUUAGUAAUAUACCAGCUAAAAGGGGAAUGGGAAACAAGAGACCCCAAGUUAAUCCGUUAUCGGAGAUUGGUUCUAGAAUUGAUUGAAGAAUUUGACAAUAUUACCUUUUAUUAUCUCCCACGGGAAGAAAAUCAGAUGGCUGAUGCUCUGGCUACUUUAGCCUCCAUGAUUAAAGUGAGAUUAAAGUGAACAGAUUAAAGGACAUGAAGCCCAUUCAAAUUAGUAUUUAUGAGAUCCCGGCCCACUGCUACAGUAUUGAAGAAGUGGAGAAUGAUAAUCGUCCCUAGUACCAAGACAUAUUGCAUAUGUGAAGAAUCGCGAAUAUCUUAAUCAGGCAACGGAGAAUGAUAAGAGGAAAUUGAGGAGACUAGCUAUCGACUAUGUCUUAGAUGGAGAGAUUCUAUACAAAAGGGGAAAGGAUCAAGUACUGUUGAGAUGCGUGGAUGCUGUAGAGGCUAAGGAAAUUUUAGAAGAAGUCCAUGACGGUAUUUGUGGAACACACGCCAAUGGAUUCACCAUGGCUAGACAGAUCAUUAGAUUCGGAUAUUACUGGUCCACCAUGGAAGGAGAUUGCAUCAAUUAUGCCAAGAAGUGCCAUAAAUGCCAAAUUUAUAGAGAUAAAAUGCACGCGCCUCCUUCACCUUUUCAUGUUAUGACUUCUACAUGGUCUUUCUCCAUGUGGGGGAUGGAUGUCAUUGGGCCAAUAUCGCCAAAGGCUUCUAAUGGAUAUCGUUUCAUUUUUGUAGUUAUUUACUACUUCACUAAGUGGGUAGAAGUAGCCUCAUAUGCUAAUGUCACGAAGUCAGCAGUUAGUAAGCUUUUGAAGAAAGAGAUCAUAUGUCGAUAUGGAAUGCCUGAAAGAAUCAUAUCUGACAAUGCGUUGAAUCUGAAUAACAGCACAAUAGCGGAAGUCUGCAACCAGUUCAAGAUUAGACACCAUAAUUCAUCAUCGUAUCAUCCAAAAAUGAAUGGUGCAGUAGAGGCGGCCAACAAAAAUAUCAAGAAAAUUAUGGCGAAAAUGGCUGAAACUUACAAGGAUUGCCAUGAGAAGUUACCAUUCGCUCUUCUUGCUUACCGAACAUCUAUCAGGACUUCUAUUGGGGCAACGCCUUUUUCUUUGGUUUAUGGGAUGGAGGCAGUUUUACCCAUUGAAGUUGAAAUCCCUUCUCUCCAGGUAUUGGCUGAGUUAAAGUUGGAUGAGGCUGAAUGGAUCCAAUCUCGGUAUGAUCAGUUGAAUUUGAUAGAGGAAAAAAGACUAAAAACUAUUCGUCACAGUCAAAUGUACCAAAAACGAAUGAUGAGAGCAUAUAACAAAAAGGUCCGUCCUAGAGAAUUUCAUGAGGGGGACUUGGUGUUAAAGAAAAUCCUCCAUUUACAAAAGAAUUUCAGAGGGAAAUGAAUGCCAAACUGGGAAGGACCUUAUGUUGUAAAAAAGGCUUUCUCUGGAGGUGCUUUGAUUUUGAGUGAAAUGGAUGGCAAAAAUUUACCGAAUCCUGUAAAUUCAGAUUCGGUCAAGAAAUAUUUCACUUGAAAAGUAAGAAUCAAAGUGAAAACCCGCAAAGGGCGCUUUAAAAAAAAGAGAGGCCAAUGUGAAAACUCGCAAAGGGCGCCUUGAGACCAAAGGGAAUUUGAGUUGAAAACCCGAAAAGGGCGGCUCAAACAUUGGUCAGAAUGGGGCAUGUGGUGAUCUUGCUAUACCUAAAUCAACAAGAAAAGGAUAUGCGACAUCUUGGGGCAUCGACGAAGUAUUGUAGAUCUCCUAAACACAUGUUAAAUUCAAAAUGGUUCUUAGUUUGCACGGAGAAGUUCAAGCUGCGAUAUCCAAGGCACCUAGUCUUCAUAAUACUUGUAUUGAAUUUGUUUGUUCUUGCGAUACUUCAUUCUUUUCUGUUCUUGAAUACUUUUUCUUUUCAAGACAUUUGCUAUCAAUAAAUUCCUUUUCUAUUAUUCGAGUUAUGCCCUGAAUUAAUUCCUUUCUUAGUCAGUAUUUUUGAUCUUUAUGCAAGCAUGUCGCAUUAAAAUAAUGAUUGAUGGACUAAUAAACAUUCACGAAAAGAGUUUUGCAUAUUACUUUGGAAAUUUCUAAAAAUUUAGUAACCUGAAACAGGAUUAUUGUUUAGAACGCACCAAGCUUAAAAAUUGAAAUGUCCAAGAAAGAAAAAGUCUAAAUUAAGACUGUUCUUUUGGAUUUUGUUGUCUAAAUAUUAAUUGAAUGAGAUGACAAGAAGUCUGGCUUGGUGACAAAGCUUCAAUCACCAAGGAGUAAGAAGAAAUUCCCUUUGGAAAAAAAACCCUUCAUUUGUGCAUGAGCAUUUGGUAUGGCACCCUGGGAAUGAUGUAAAAGAGUUUCAUGAUCUGCAUCUUUGAAUUACGAUAGGAGAGGAUUGAGAAAAGCCAAAUUUUUUCUACCAUUCGGUUACAGUGGAAGAAAGAUGGUACAAAUUUUGCGUCCCGAUAGAUUGAACUUUGAGGUUUACAGCGGGGGUAAUCAAACUAAGUGUUUCUUUAAAAACGCCAGCUGAUCAGGAGGGCGUUGUAACACGUCAGUGAUAAAGCAUUAAUAAAAUUUGAGCAAUGAUAACCUAAGUGAUAAAGGAGGAUCAUUCUGGAAAAAAUGACAUUCUGCAUUCAUUCAAAUGUCAUUCAUACACGUCUAGUUAGGAGCAUUUGAUUUAUUCUGAUCAUGACAUCCUAAUCAAUAGACAUAAUUAGAUUCAUGAAUUGAAUUAUACAGGUCAUGUUCCCCAAAGAACAAACCAGUGAAAUUCCAGCCUUGUCUCCCUGAGCAGCAAUGGAGUAGGUUAAAAUAGCAGAUCUUGUUUGCCUGUAUUGACAGCGAAGUAGAUCGAAGAUACCAGCCUUGUCUCCCUGAGCAGCAGUGGAGUAGGUUGAAAAUAACAGAUCUUGCCUUCCUGUACUGGCAGUGAAGCAGAUAGAAGACAUUAGUCUUAUCGUGGAGCGGAUUGAAGCUGUGGGCAGCGAAUCCUAUCUCUUUGGCAUUACAGUGGAGCAGAUUAAGGCCACAACGGUGAAUCUUACUUCCCUGGCGGUGUAGUGGAACAGAUUGAAGCUACGACAGCGAAUCUUGUUUCCCCAACAUUGCAAUUUAAAAGACUGAAGAUGGCGAAUCUUAUCUCCUUGAAGUUGCAGUGGAGCAUAUUAAAGCUAAUAAUCUUAUCUCCCUGAAGUUGUAGUGGAGCGGAUUAAAAUCACAAUUCUUAUCUCUCUGAAGUUGCAGAGAGCAGAUCGCAUCUAGUCUUAUCUCCUUGAAGUUGCAGAGGAGUAGACUGAGUAAGCAGGUCUGAUCUCCCUGAAGUUGCAGUGGAGUAGACCCAAGAAAGCGAGUCUUAUCUUCCUGAAGUUGCAGUGGAGCAGACUCAAGAAAGCAAGUCUUAUCCCCCAGAAAUUACAGUGGGGCAAACUAAAUAAGCAAAUCCUGUCUCCCUAAAGUGGUAGUGGAUUAGAGUGAUGGAUCUUAUCUCUAUGAAAUUAUAGUAGAGCAGAUCGCAUCAAAUUCAUCUUUAAGUUGCAGCAGAUCAAGUUGAAGCUAUAAGUCUUAUCUCCCUGAAGUUGCAGUGGAGUAGAUUAAAGAUAGCAAAUUUUAUUCUCUUGAGAAACUACAACGUACGAAUCCUAUCUCUAUGGCAUUGCAGUGGAGUAGAUUGAAGCAUUCGUUCCUAUAUCUCUGAAGAUGCAGUAGGAAUGAAUGAAGUUACUUAAAGAAAAGCCCCAAAGUUCAGUACGACCAGGCAAAAUUGGUUUUUGGUCUUUGCUCUGUUCUCGUUACUUGAUAACAAGCAAAGAGGGGCAGCUAUAAUACACUAUUUUGCCCGGGUCUAAAAAGGCCCAAAUUACAAGCAGGCCUAUAAGGCCCAAAAUAAAAUAAAACAAGGACCCAAAUUACAGUGGCCCAAAAUCAUCGGAAACCCUAGGGUUUCUAAUCUUCAGCCGCCGCAACCAUGCCCUCCGAAUCUCCACGCGCUUGUACCUGCACAGAAAAAAAAGAAGCAAAGCAGCAUAUGGCAAGAAAAUAUUGAAAUCAAAUCAAGCAGAUACCAGAAGAUUUCUUUUUAUUUUUUCUUGUUUCACGAUUUCUAUAAAAACAAUAUUAAGAUACUGUAAAUGUGGAUCGAAGAAUCAAUAAAAAACGAAUAUUUCAUAACAAAAAGAGCAGAGAAUACUAGAUCAAAAAACAUCAAAUAUUGGAGGUUAACAUCUAUUUUCUUGCUUCGUUACAAGAUUUUUCUUUCAUUUUUCAUUUUUUAUUUUUUUACAUGCGAAAAUAAAAUAAAAAGGGAAAAAGAAAACGACUCACCUUCGUUCGAGUCUGAAACGUCACUGAGACGGUAAAGGGAGCCACCCCCGAGGAUCGGUGGCCGAAAACCGAAAGGUUUCUUGCCUGCUUUGAGGAUUUUUGUUGGUAUUUUGGUGUUUUCGAGCCCGGAUUUGGGUUUAGAGGGGCCGGAAAAGCCGAAUAGGGGAUUUUCCCCUUUUCCGGCCACCGCAAACUGCGGUGCCAUCGCUGGAGGCCGGCGGCCGGUGCGGUGGCCGACGAUCGGCCAGUGCCCAGACCCUGGCCGGACGAUGAGGGAGGGGAGAGCUUUUGAAAGUUUUUUUUUUGUUUUUUUUAAAAAAAGGCUUAAAAUGAAAUUUUUGGGGGAGAGUUAGUGGCUUAAAUAGCCCUUCAAAACGGAGUCGUUUUGGGCAUGGGUUGACCCGACUCUGACCCGACCCAGCCUAAGAUUCGCGUGUUUUUAAGCGGAGGGGUAAAUUGCGCUUUUAGCCCCUCCGCCUCUUAAUGUUUUACAAUUGAGUUUUUUUUAAAAUUUAUCCCUUCAAUUUUUUUUAUUUCAAUUUAAUCCUAUUUGAACGACGCCGUUUUGAAGGGGAAGGGAUAAUUUCCUUUCCAGCCCCUCUGAAUUAUUGGUGUAUUCAAUAGGGUCCUAUAGUCUCCAAUUAUUUGCAAAUUUGCCCCUGAUUUUUGUCUACAGUUCAAUAUAGUUUUUUUCUUUAUUUUUAAUUAAUUAAUAAUGUAAUUAUUAUUUUUAUAUAUAUGUAAUUAUUUUUUUUAUUUUUUUUCAAAAAUCUAUAUAUGUAUAUAUUUAUUAUUUAUAUAUGUGCACAUGUGUAUAUAAUUUUUUUCUAACAAAUAUUUUUUUAUUUAUAUAUAUAUACACGUAUAUAUAUAUUUUUUUUAAAAUGCUCAAAUAUACAUUCUUUUUUACACAUAUUUUAUAAUAUAUAUGUUUAUAUAUUUCUUUUUAUAAAUGCGCUAUAUAUAAUUUGUUAUAUAAAUUCUAUAAUCCAAAUUUUAUAUGUAAAUCCAUGUUUUUUUUCCAUAAUUUCAACAUACAUAUUAUAUACACACUUUAUAUUCUUUAUUGUUUACUCUUUUUUAUUUUAUAAGUUUUUUUAUUUCCCUCACUCGUUUAUUCAUUUGUGUUUUCAUUUAUAUUCUAAAGAAUGUUUUUAUUUUGUUCAUUUAUUUGAUAUUUCGCAUGUCAUUAUUUUUAUUAUGUACAUUAAUUCGUUUAUUUAUUUGUUUAUCUUAUUUCUACGCAAUAGUUGUAUUUAUUAUUGUAUUUUACAUUUAAUAUAACAUUACAUCAUCUUUUUACUCGAACUUAAAAACAGAAAAUUUUCAAAAUAGAGAUAAUACUCAUAUUUAGGAUUUUUCAAGAAAAUUGAGCCCUAAUGUAUUGGGUUUCAAUUUUCUUCGUUAAAUUUAACAAUCGAGAAUUGCUCUUUAAUCAAAAAUAAAAUGAAAGACUUGUCGUCGGGAAUUCAAUAUGUUGUGUCCUAAUGCAUUGGAUGUGACGUGUUGAUUUCUCGAGAUAAAGAUUUUUUUAAAAAAAAUUAAUAAAGGAAAUAUUCAAUGUUUGGGAUUUUAAGGGAUUGUGCCCUAAUGUAUUGGGCUGCAAUUUCUUCAUAAAUUUUAAACAAUUGAAUAUCCUUUUAAAUUUUAUCACACAAACCUUUUGGACAAACUCAUCUUGAAGAAAUAAAAUAUCGUACCCUAAUGCAUUGGGUGUGAUGUUUUCUGUUUCAAAAUGAGAGAGUCUUAAUAAAAAAAUUUAAUUUAAUUAAGGAUCGUAUUUUUAACUCUCGACGUUAAGACAUUAAUUAAUCAAUUUGAUGCCAAUUUUUGGGCUUAACGAGGGUGCUAAUCCUUCCUCGAACGUAACUUACUCUCGAACCCAUUUUUCUAAAAAACUCGUAGACCAAAUUUGUUUUAGGUGAUCCAGUCACACCUUAAUAAAAUAUUGGUGGCAACUCCAAAUUUUCAUCAACUAAUUUUUGUUUUUUUUUCAAAAAAAUAAAAUGGUUUCGACAACGUUGAUGUGGAAAAAUGUUUUUAUUCCACCUAAGCGCCUAACGCAUUUCACAUGUAAUUAAAAUAAAAAAUAAUUCAAAAAAAACUUUUAUUCAUUAAAAAAUAAUUAAAAAUAAAACAUAAAAUACAUAGACACUAAAAUCGUUUCAGAAAUGAGAAGGCCGAUCCUAAAAAAAAUACUUGAAUCAGAUAAUCUAAAAAAAGAGAGAGUAGAAAUUGAACCCUAAUUUGAGAAAGUAAAAAAAUUGUGCGAAAGAAAAUUACCCAAAACUUAUUAUAGAAUCGUAUUUUGAUUUUCGAUGAUAUUUAUGUGGUAUUUUUAUUUUGGGGUAUGUUUUUAAAAGUUCACUUUGAAAACAUUAUAUAUGUUAUUUUGAUUUUGGCUUAGGGUUUUGAAGGUUGGGAAUUUUGCUUUAGGAUUUUUUACUUUUGAGAUUUUGGUUUAGGGUUUUUGAUUUUUGAUAUUUUUGUUUAGGGUUUUUGAUUUUUGAGAUAUUGGUUUAGGGUUUUCUAUUUGACUACUAAUUAGAAGAGGAAUUUUGGGUAUUUUAAUUUUUUUUUUUAGAAUUUUAGAUUUGAUUACUGAAAAGAAGAGGACUUUUUGAUUUUUGGGUUUCCUAAUUUAAGGUUUUCGAUUUCUUUAAUGAUAGUGGUCAACCCCAAAAUUUAAAAAAUCUACAUGUUUCAUUAUACUUUUUGGUUCAAUGCACGAUUUUUAUCUUAGGGUUAUAAUGUUGGUUGGUGGGGGCAUUAGUUCUAGGCAUGCAGAGUUCAGUAGGUGAACUUAUUAAAAUGAUCUUUUCAUCUUUUAUUGUUGUUCUGUUAUUAUAUAUAUAAACUUUAUAAAAUUUGAUAAUAUAAUUAUUAAAUUAUCUAACUUUAUAUGCAUUUUGUAUUGUAUAUAUUAUUUAAUAUUUUGUUAACACUAGUAAAGUUGAGGUUCUCACAACAACCAAAUAGGAGGAGAUGCUCAAGAAAAUCAAUAGAAUAUUGCCACUCCCUUGAAUUUCCAAGAGGCGAUUUGUUUCUUGAGAGAAUAUCUUGAUAGUAAAUUAGAUGAAAUGAAUCUACGUAUGGAUGCUCUCACCACAAAUACAAGUCCAAGGCAUGAAGCUGGGGAAUUUGCCCAAGCACCAUGUAUGAGAAGGCGCCAUCUUGUUUGACCAUAUCAACAACAAGCCAACGUGAAAGAUUCAGAGAACAUAGGGCAAGUGGAAACCAACAACGCCAACCCGCCAAACGAUAUGCUUGAGAUGAUGAAUUCCAUCUAAAGAUAGAUCUUCAUCACUUCGAUGGUAAUUUGAGUAUUGGGGGUUUUUAGGGAUUGGCUUGCUAAAGUAGAUAGAUUUUUGAAGGGAAUAACCUUGGCUUGGUGGGAACUUUUACAAGACACAAGGCACCGUGAGGGAGAGGGACGAGUAUGGACAUGGUAUAGAAUGAAGCAAUUGUUCAAGGCUCGAUUUCCCCCAGAUUAUAAGCAAUAUCUAUUCUUGCAAUAUCAACGGUGAACCCAAGGAAACAGAUUAGUUCAUGACUACACCAUAAAGUUCAUGAAGCUUUUCAAACGCAACAAUCUGAUGAAGUCCGACAACCAGCAAGUAGCCAUAUACCUUAGUGGAUUGCAAUUUAAGACAAGGUCGGUGUGCAAACAUUGGAGAACAUGGCCAAAGCACAAAAUAUGGAAGAGAUGAUGAUGAAAGAGAAUAAGGUGGAUUAGACUAAGAAGAAUUUCUAUCAAUAUGCAUCAAGAAAUUUGGAGAAUAAUACAUCAACUGAAUACGUGCAAAUUCAAACGAAAAAAAAUCCAAUUAUGAUAAAGCAGCAAGAAAGAAGUUAGGGGAGGAGGAUCGAGACACAAACAUCACAUAUGUGGAAGAACCCAUAUGCUAAGUCGAUUGUUGGAAAAUGCUACUGGUGUAAUCUACUUGGACAUCGCUCUAGCAAUUGUCUAAAAAAAAGGAAUAUCAACAUUGUAGAAUGUGGCGACUGGGACAAAGAAAUUGAGGAAGGAAAUGAGAUAAUAUGCAAACUCAAUGGUGAUAGCAAUGGAGAAGAUUCAGGAGAUGGACAAAUUUUGGCAGUAUGAAAGCUAAUGUUGGCAUUGAAGGAUACAGAUACAACCCAAGACCGACAACAUUUCCAAACUAAUUGCACUAUUAUUGGUAACUUUUACAACUUGGUCGUUGAUAAUGGUAGCAAGGAGAACAACAUUGAGAAGAGUAGUGUUGAAAAGAUGCAUAUGCCAAGGGCGAAACCUCUGUCUGAAGAUGCUCAAUUGUUAUUUGAAGAGUUUAUGUUGCAGGAGCUGCUUGCAAAGUUUCCACCAAAAAUUAAGACAAGCUUGUUGAACCCACCAAAUUAACAAAUGAAUCCAAAAGAGAAUGCAAGAGUGGUUGCAAAAAAGACAUAUCUCAAGGAUACAGCUAACUAUAGGACGAGUUGAUUUUUAUAAGAGGUAGAGAAUUGAUAGGGGAGUGAUUCUUAUUAAUUUAUUACCUAUCCCAAAACUUGUUAUUUACUUAACAGAUAUAUUUUGUUUAUCAUUUUAUUAGUGUUAUGGUAUUGGAGAUAAAAAUUUUAAAAAUAAAAACAAUAAGAUAUAAAUAAAAAGAAGAGGAUUUCACUAUUAUUGUUUUAUGUGUGGAAUAUCGAUAACAUUUUAUUUCACAUUUUCUAACUCUUGGUGGAAUAUCAUGUAUUCAUUAUGAUUUUAGGAGGUUAAAUGACUUUUUUAUAGUUUUAAAUUUUUAAUAAUUUUUAUAAUUUAUUGGAAUUUUUAAUAUUAUUUAUAAGUUUUUAUGAUUUUUUAUAUGUUUUUAUAAACUUUUAAACAUAUUUUAUUAAUUUAUAAUUUUUUAAUAUUUAUAAGUUUAUAUAAUUUUAAUAUAUUUUAAAUACUUAAUAAUUUUUAUAAUUUUUUUUUAUUUUUAACGAUUUUUAUAACUUUUUAUAACCAUAAGCUAUCAUGUGUCACCAUUUGAUUGUUCUGUCAAUAUAUAUUAACAGUCAACACUAUCAACUAUAGAUUUCGUUAACGAAAAAGCUUAAUUGAUUGUUUUAGUUAACAGAAGAGGCUUAAUUGUGUUUGGAUUUAAUACAGGAGCUUAAUUGAUUUUUUUUUCGCAUUUUCUUAAGGGCUUUUUUGACAUAUAAACCAUUUUAUUUAUGGUGGGAUUUAAGUUAGAAUAAAUGUUGAGACAGGUUAUAUAGGGUUUAUGCAAGAUGAGAGUUAGAUAUGAAGCAUUAAGAUCUUAAAGGUUCAAUCUAUGUGAGCAGUGUCAAAUUAUCGUUAUUACAAAUUGAGAGAAAUGAAUGUCGACAGAACUCUUAACAUUUUAUUAUUAUUACUAAAAGAUGAAAAACCUAAUUACAAAUACUAAAAUAAAAAAGGUUAAAUAGUAAUCACAUAUUACAAUUUAACAUUUGAAUAAAAUUGUCCAAGUUGAUUAUAAAUACGCAGCGAUAUACAAAUGUGAAAACACUUUGGGCCUCUCAUAAGGCAUAUCAUGAAGUACAAAAGAGGUUUAGAAGCUGGCCAUUUUCUCAAAAUGGACCCAAAUCCAACAACAAUCCAAGGAAACGUUACUUGUCCCGGCCAAGAAAAGAAAACAUGGAAAUAGGAAAGGCGUUAACAGCAAGAACCCAAACUAAGCUGAUAAUAUAUAUAUAUAUAUAUAUAAUAUAGUAGUAGCAAUAGCAGUUUGCUGUUUAUUGUUCUUGUGGAAGUUAUUGAAAAAAGUAAGUGGGGGAUGAACCCAAAUCAAAUGCGUCAGCUACCGAAUCAGGAAGCGAUGGCAAUGACAUGUUCUCAAGGAAAGGGCUGUCCUGCUCUAACUCGUAUGAGUUAAAGCCCACAGACGAGUCAAACCCAUUUGAGUUUUGAUCCGAGAACCCGAACAGGCCUGUGUCAUUCCAAGCUCCAUAACCCAUAUCUGAACCAUCAACUCCCGACCCGUACCCGUAACAGGUAGAGGAGACAUCAGGAGGCAAAGGUGGCAACUCAGACGAGUUAUCCCUGAACUGUGGAGAACCACCAUUUCCAGCUUCCAUGAGCCCAGUAAUGGGCCUGUAAGACGGAACUGCAUCGCUCUCCUGGGCGGGUAAUCCGGAAUAAAACUGGCAUGCAUUGAAAGGGUCUUGAUUGAAGAAAAUCUGGUUGUGGUUAGCAUCAUUUUGAUGGUGGAAAGGGGGAUUAAUGGAAAAGAUGGAUGAAAUGUCAUGCUGGAAUUCGUCAGGGGAGAUGAUGGAGGUGACGGAUGAACCAGCUGGCAUAUCAGAAUAGACAAAGUUGGUUCGAGCCUUGGAGCCACGCAUGGAGCGAGAGGCACGGUCGUAGGCCAAGGCUGCAUCCUCCGCAGUGUCAAACGUGCCGAGCCAAUGCCUUUCUUUUGUGGAAGGGUCUCUUAUCUCCGCUGCGUAUCUACCCCAUGGUCUCCUCCUUACACCCAAGAAUCUUGUUUCCUGUUGUUGCUGUUGUUGGUGCUGAGGUUGCUGCUUUCUUUUGCUUUUAGAAGAGGAAGACUUUGAGUUGCUGAGAUCCAUGAAGACAAAGAAAUUAUUUGGAUUUGAUGGAUAGUACCUGUCUGCCUUCAGUUAUUGUGCUAUGAAGAAGAAAGUUGUAUUUCUGCCUUAGAGAGUGCAAAGGAACAAGUUUUAGUUAGAGCAAUAAUGAGAUUGCUGGUUUUCAAGGAACGAAAGAUAGUUGGUCUUGUUCAUCCGUCGUUUGCAUCUUGGGUGUUUAAAUAAGGAGAAAUAUUCAAAUGCAUUGAUUCAUGGCUUUCUAAUGAAUCCAAAGUACUAUGAGUGAGCAAUGGAUGCUAAUGAUCUUAGCUAGCGUGGGCCUUGAUUCCUUUUGGACCCUCAUACACUCGCAUGAGCACAAUUGCUCUUCAUUAUGAAUAUCACUAAAUUAAUACAGCCACUUUUCUUAUCUAAUGUGAUGAUCCCACAUGCUCGAUGUUUGAGAAUGAAAAGUAGAACAUCAAAACCUACACCGUAAAUGUCUUCUUUAACUGCAAAACUUCCUACAAACAGACCUCUAUUUAUUUAUUUUCAUCAUUUACGCCAUAUUACUUGUGUUUCCAACUUGACUAAUUAAAAGAAGAGUUAAAACCCAAUAUCAAGAGAGGAAAUGACCUGCGCGCUGCAUGCAUGAAUAUGUCAAAGAUAACAUGAGAUUAUUCAGGUGAUAAUUGAUUAGUACAAGUACUCAUCAUCAUACAUCCACCUGGAGUUCAAUUAUAUCCCUUGGGCCAUAUAUAAAUAUUAAUUAAGCUUUCUGAUGAUUUCUCCACUGAGUAACUGCAAUCAUGGGCUCAUCAGCAGAGCUUAAUUUAUAUAUACACCCAUGAUUGACGUGUGCUCCUCGAAUGAACUUUCUGGCACUUUUCUUUUCCAAUGAUCAUCAACUCCUUUCUCCUCAUAUAUAUCUAAGGAGUUUGAGACUAUAAUAUAUUCUCCGAAGAUCCUGACAUUGGAGCUUGGAGGAGAGUGUCUCAGUUUGAAUCAGGAAUUGAUCAUCAAAUUAUCAGUACUUAUGAGCAUGCAUGACUUUGAUCUGAAUGUAUAUAAUUUUAUCAAAGCACAAAAAGGUUUUUUAAUAGACUAACCUUCCUCAUAUGAUUGCAUACUGCAUGAAUCAUGAUCACAAUCCAAUUAUCAUUCUCAUCAUUCAAUACCCAUCAUUCCCACAACCACGAGAUACUUUUUACCGACUCUUUCGGGCUUAUGAUACAAGUCUCAAAUUAAAGCUUUUUCUUUCUCACAUAAAAAAUGUAAUUUAUACAAACAUAUGUUUUGCUGGAAAUUGAUUUUGUAAAACAUGCGUAAUGGACACUUUUGAUGCUAAAAGUUCAAUGUAUAAUACGUUUACUUUAUGGGUAAAUCGUUUUUAGAUUUUGUAUCUCAAACCCUUACUAUAAGCUUGUCUUGUGUUUUGAGCUAUGAGCUCAUUAGUUCAGGUUCGAUUAAACCAAAUUCUUUUUGCAAUUUAAUCCCUGGUCAAUAGUCUCAAUUAUAUGAACUAAGGCAUUAAUGAUGAAAUUCAUAUUAAUGUAAGUAUAAACAUACAUGAAUUUUAUAACGUACUUUCAUCAAUUAGGAAUAUUCAAGUAUUAAUGAUGUUAAUGUAUGUACAUUAAUGUAUGGGUAUCAAAUAUCUGGAGCCUUUUAAGUCCUAUAAAUAGGCGCUUUAUGCUGAGGACAUUGGGUAAUAUCCCACACCAAUGUAGCUUCAAUAUUGAACACCAAAAUAAAUUGAGAAUGACAAAAGCAAAUUAAAACUACCCAAGCAUAGUGGAUUAACCCGAUAAUUUACUAUUGAAUAUCAAAUGCCAUAGAAAAAUCAAUAAAUACAAAUAAAAUGAUAAAGAGAGAAUGCACCAAAUUUACGAGGUUCAACAAACUGCCUAUGUCCUUGGACACCAACACCAAAUGAUAACUUCACUAGUACCAAAAAAAUAUACAAACUAAUGGAACCCAAUAUAACUAAGUAUAUCAAAGCAAAAGGGAAGAACAAAGGAAGAGAUACCUUCAAACUUAAGGCACUAAUGCCUUUACGUAUAGGAGAUGAGGUAGCAAACGUUUGCUCCCAUUCAAUAUGGGAUUUAAAAAGGAGAAAAUAACUAAAAAAUCUCCAACUUUGGUGAAUUUUUCGAUCUCACUCAACUUCUAGUGUCUUCCACUUCUCAAACGUUGUGAAGUCAUCUUUAAAAGUGCCUCCAAAUGUGUUCUCGAGAGCCAUACACCCGAAGGUGUUCAAACUCGCAGAAUAUUAAUCAAGUUAAAAUAUUGGUUGAACUUGAUUGUCGUUACCACCCUAGUCAUUAUAUUUGUAGGAUUUUCAGCUGUUGGAAUCUUUUGAAGUAGAAUAUUUCCCUCUUAAAAGAUUUCUCUCACAAAGUGAUACCUUAUGUCGAUGUGCUUGGUUCUUGAAUCAUAAACUUGGUUUUUAACUAAAUGAAUAGUGCUUUAAUUGUAACAAUAAAGGCUAAUGUGACUUUGAACAACUCCCAAGUCUUCCAACAAUCCAUUAAGCCAAACAACCUUUUUAACAGCUUUUGAAACUGCCAUAUACUCUGCCUCUGUCGUUGACAAAACUAUUGUAGGCUGUAAGGUAGACUUCUAACUUAUUAGGGCUCUAGCAAGAGUAAAUAGAUGCCAAGUAGUAGAUUGAAAUUUAUCCAAAUCACUGGCAUAAUUACAAUCAACCUGUCUGACUAAACAUUGACCCAGCGUCUUAUACCGCUUUAAGAUCAAACCGACAUCUACGGUUUCCAGAAGAUACUGUAGAAUCCAUUUCACAACUUGCCAAUGUCCUUUACCAGGAUUAUGCAUAUACCUACUCACAACUCUAACUGCUUGUGAAAUGUCUGGCCUAGUACACACCAUCGAUACAUCAGGCUCCCAACUACAUUAGCAUACGGAACCUUUUCCAUAUAUUCUCGUUCUUUAUCACUUUUAGGAGAUAAUUGAGCACUGAGUUUCAAAUGAGAAGCGAGACAGGUACUUACAUGAUUUGUAUUAUCAUGCAGACCAAAACAUUGUAAUACCUUUCUUAAAUAUUGCUUUUGAGUCAAAUAAAGCUUGCCUCUCUUUCUAUCUCUAUGUAUCUCCAUGUCAAGAAUUUUCUUGACCUCAACUAGAUUCUUCAUCUCAAACUCUUGAUUUAGGUGAGCCUUUAAUUCAUCUAUUUCUCUGACUUUUCAAAGCGAUCAACAUAUUAUCAAUAUUCAGGAGAAGAUAAAUGAAAGAUUAUCUAGUAGCUUUCACAAAUAUACACAAUGGUCAUAUUUGCUUCUGGUGUACUUUUGCCUGCUCAUAAAGCUAUCAAAUUGCUUGUACCUACCUCAGGGAUUGCUUCAACCCGUACAAUGAUUUUUUUAGCUUACAAACCCAAUUUUCUCCAACAGCAACCUUGUAUCCUUCUGGCCAUGUCAUAUAGAUUUCCUAUUCUAAAUCACCAUGCAAGAAAGUUGUCUUCACAUCAUGUUGAUCUAGCUCCAAAUUCAACUAUGCUACUGAUUUGUUGUAAUUCGGUGCAACAGAUUAAACUAGUUUUCCUAUUUAAAGAGCUUGAAUACAAGCGUUUUUAUUAGGUUUUAGUUGAGUUUUUAUAAUUUUAUUUACAUUGAAUAAAAAGUGUAAUUUGAGUAUUUUAUUGACCUUAGGGGUCGAAUGAGGCCUAAGGGUGAGCUAAUAUACUUUGUGAGUGUGCAGAAGACCAUUAGAGGACGUACCAACUCAAUACUAGUCGCUGUGUUGCAACACAGGAAGUUUGAUGUCGCAACAUAGGAAGCAAAGAGCAAGAAUUCCAAGACUUCUUUCAGUGUCGCGACACAACCAAGGGAUGUCGCGACACACCCCUAAAGCUACCCUGAGUACGAGCAUAUUGCCUUCGAUGUCGCGGCACACGUACUAGGGUGUUAAGAGAUCGAUCCUGUACGAGAAAUACUUAUGAGCUAAGGACGUUUUGGUCUGCACAAUCAAAAGUUAAACACGAGAGCGUCAACUAACCUAAGGUUGAGGACGACGACAACCCUAACUUUAUAAAUAGGCUCAUUUAACACUUGUUAUGGACAACUUUUCAUACCUUAUAAUUUUUUUUAUAAUUUUAAUUUUUAGUUUUUCCUUUUUCUUAGGCUUUAGCUUAUUGUUAGUUUUGUGUUUGUUAGGAGAUUUGAUUUGUGGAACUUGAUCAACUCUUUGUGGAUUUCGUGCUUCAAUUAAACACAAUUCAGGAUUCUCUUAAACCUUCAGCUCUUGAUUUGCUAUUAAUGUUCAUCUUUUACAUCAAGUUUAUUAUGUUUUUGAGAUCUAUGAGGAACUAAUCCUCUUAUGGGGGAUUAGUGAGUGGAGGUAUGAUUAAUUGAUUGUUGUGCAGGCUUUUAUUAAUGAAUCAGCUGUUUAGGAGAGGAAGAACUUAAACCCUAGGCUUGACGACCUUAGGAAGUCAUCUAGGUGGGAAUUAACCCAAAAUUGGCAUGGCCUAUCUGUGAACACCUUAGCCCCAAGCCGGUCUGGACUGUGAGGUUGAGAGAUAAGUAGUUUUUGCCAAGUCAUUAUUCUAGUGGAAGAUUGAGAGAUCCUGCUAGGGUAACGCUAGUUGAUUGAACAAAAACUCGAAGUAACAGUUACUUAUGACUACCGAAGUGAGCUAAUCACCCAUGCUCAGAUCUGAUUCAGUUUCCAUAUCAAAUUUCUCAAAGUUUUCCUUUUAUAGUAUUUUAUUCUUUAUUUAUAAAAAUACCAAAAAUCCUUUCUUUAUGUUUAUUCAUAAUAUAAUUUAUUUAAAGUACUAAUUAGCUCUAUUUGUGCUUAGGUUAGGAUUAAUUUAGUACUCCCUUCUUUUGGGUACGAUCCUUGGAGUACUCACCUACUUCGUUGUAACUAUAGUACAACCUGACUCAUAUACUUGCAGACACCGCCUAUUUGACAUAUUUUGUGCAAGAUUUUUACUCUAGACGUUGGUACGUCAGGAGGCAGUCGGCUACCAAAGCCAACAAAAUUCUAAUGGAGGAAUGUUUCACAAUAGGUGAAACUACUUUAUUGUAGUCAAUUCCUUCCUUCUAAGUGUAGCCUUUAGUUGCCAACCUUGCUUUUGUUUAACAUCUUUCUUGAUAGGAAACCCUUUUUUCUUUGCAAAUACCCACUUACACCAACUCCCAAGUAUUAUUCUUCUAGAGAGAUUGUAUUUCUUCAUCCAUGAUACUUUUGCACUUCUCACUUUCUGAAAUCUACAACACUUCUCAACAAGGCUGCAUAGGCCACCAUAUUAGUAAAAUGAGCAGGUUACGAAUUUAUCUCCUUGGCAUUCUAAUUGCAAAUGGUUCUGGUGUAUUCGACAAUUCUUGGGUUGAAACCUCUUCAUUUUUUGAUUCCUCCGCUAUGAUUGAAGAAUCAGACUCAUUAUCUGCGCUAAUCACCAUAUGCUCAAAGGCCUCCUAUUUUGGAGUACACUCCACCUACUGUAAAGUACCACUUCUUUGAAAAUAUUCAUUUGUUACCUUUUUUAAUAUGGCAAGUUCAUCAAAGGUAACAUAUUUGAUAUAGAUCAUUUUCUUUGUGUCUAAACACCAAAGUCGGAAUCUCUUUACUUCAGAGGUGAUUCCCAUAAACAUAGCUUAUUUGCUCUCGGAUAUAAUUUUGACUCUUUUACAUGGUAAUAAAAGAUGCAUCUAAACACAUGUAAAGAAUCGUAAUCAGUAGUAGGUUUUCCAAACCAUACCUCCAUAAGUGUUUUUCCCUUAAUUGUAGAUGAUGGUAAAUGAUUAAUAGAUGACAAUCAUAUGACACGACCUUAGCACAAAAUUGCUUGUACAACCCAAUAUUGGACAACAUAUAUCGAACUUUUUCCAAUAAUGUAUGAUUCAUAUGCUUUUCCACCUCAUUCUGUUGUGGUGUAUCCCUAACAACGAAGUGUCAAACAAUACCAUACUUUUAGCACUCGUCGAAGAAUGGAUCACUUUUAUAUUCCCUUCCAUUGUCUGUCCUAAGCUACUUAAUCUUUCUGCUAGUUUGGUUUUUUUUUUUAUCAUAGUUUUCUAUUUAAGGAAGAUUCUAAGCAUUUCAUCUUCAGUUUUCAUCGUACACACCCAAAAUCUUCUAGAAAAUUCAGCAACAAAAGUUACAAAGUAGUGUUUUCCUCCUAACAAUGUUUCUUGGAAGCCCCCCACACAUUUGAGUGAACAUAAUCCAAAAUACCUUUCGUAUCAUAGAUAAUGAUGCUAAACUUCACUCUCUUUUGCUUUUGUAGAACACAAUGCUUGCAAAAUUCUAACUUGAAGCCUUUGGACCAUUCAAAAAUCCUUAAUUUGCUAGAAUUUGCAAGGAUUUCUCACCAGCAUGUCUCAAUCACAUAUGUCACAACUUGGUCAAAUCCAAUUUGGGACAAAAGUUGAGGACAGUUGAUUGGUGAAAGGUAUUAAUGAUAAAAAAUGACUAUUUGGUUGUAUGAAAGGAGUAGAGUUGUAGGGAACCAGGCAAUGGUUAGGAUUACAAGAUAGAUGAAAUAUAUGACUAGAUGGAGGGUUAUCUGGAAGUAUGUGAUUAAAGGUGGGGUUACAAGGGGAAAGAUUUGUGCAUGGAUUGGCUUUUGGUUUUAAGUAAAAGUUGUGUACAAUAGUGGAGUUGUAGGUACACAUAUUUUCACGUGUGUGUGAGCUAGGCGUACAAGUAAGUAAUGGAGCAUUAUACCUGUAAGAUACCCUUGUAAAAUUAGGAUCAAACUUGAAGAAACAUAUGUCCACUAAAUGUCUUAGUUUUCCACAUAAUUAACAUUGUGAGCGGGAGCCUUGAUGCCUGCAAUAACCUCUUCCACCCCUAAAACUCUUACUAUAUGACACAACAUGUCUAUAGGAUGGAGUAUAUGCAACUAGGGAUGAACAUUCGAUUGAAUCAAGUCAAAUCAAAUCGAGCAAAAAAAUUUGAGUUAAUCGAGUUGACGAGUCCUAUUUUAUCAAACUAACUCGAUUGGAAAUUUUUUAGAAUUGAGUCGAGUGAAAUAAAAGUCAAGUCGAGUCGAAUCAAAUCGAAUCGAAUCGUUCGAGUUAAAUUAAAAAAUUAAACAUAUCAAAUUAAAAUCUUGUUACAGUAUAUCUAAUUUUUGAAAACUUUUUCAAAGUAAAAUUAUAAAAAAAUAAGAUACUUUAGUAUAACAAACUUGAAUUUUUUUAACUUAUUUAAUUUUAAAAAUUAUUAUUUUAUAAAAAAUUAAAUUUCUUUAUAUAUUUUUUAGAUUUUUUUUAAAUUUUUUAUAAUUUUUAAAAAAAAUGAAAUUUGAAAUUUUUAUAAAUAUUUUGAAUUUUUGAAAAUUAUUUUGAUUUUUUUUGUAAUUUUUUGAUUAAAUGCUAAAGUUACAUAUUUUAUGUAAUUAAAUUGGUUAAUUUAUGAGAAUGCACCACUAACUUUGCCAUAUUUAUUGAAUUUUGUGCAGGAAUGCAAUUUGGGGGCUAAAUAGAAGAAAAAAGGGAACAAUUGGGCCAAAUUAAAGAAAGAAGCAAAGAAUGAGGGCCAAAGUAGAAUUUUUCCUAUUUUUAAUUAGCUGAAAAUUUUGUUCAUUUAGUGGGGGAGAUUAUUUUGGGAUAUUUUUGGUCAUGGAAUAUUUUUUUUCCUUAAUUUCCUAUGACUAGUAGGUUCCUAAUUUAAUAAAUCCUCUAGUAUAAAUAGUGCUUGUAUUGUUCAUCAUUUCAUCAAUGAAUCAAAAAAUAUUUUAGCUUUUGUCUUUCAAUUCUCUCCUUUCUCACGUAGCCUUUGUUAUUUCUUAGCUUGUUUUCCUUCAAUUUUCAUUAGUUCCAGUAGCCUACCAUCCAUUUCACAUUUAUUUUCAACUUUUCACAAAUUUAUUUAUUGUCUUUAGUUUCUUUAACUUUUAAUUCCUAAAAACUUCCAGCUUUUACUACUUUCCAUUUAUAACACCUUUUUCAAAUUCCCUUUUUCAAUCACCCCCACACUUAAUCACAUCACCCAUCUUUUCAACCUUUUCUACCUUAUUUAAUUUAUCAAAUACCAACAUGUCCCAAACCUUAGCCAACUAAAUUUAUUUUCAGCUUUAGGCCGAAAUUAGCCUCGUCAAAACCCGUGAGUUACGAACCCGAGCCAUUUAACUCAUAAAAUUCCAGUACUUAUUGCUUCUCCGGAUUAAGAGUAUGAUUUUGUCAGCUCAUAAAGUCAGAUCAACACUAAGUAAAAAAAGACAUCGUUUGAUUUGGUGUGAUUAGACGUACAGUUGGAAUUCCGAAAAGAACGUUUCUAAUCGGUUUUCUGUGAACACAUUGGCGUGCCAAGUGGAGGCUGCUGUUUGGUUCCGUCAAGGGAAGUAGUAACCGGAUUUAAAUGUCCCACGCGGUUGAGGGCAUUGGUUCGAGCUAGGCUCUUCUAGAACGCAAAGCUGCCGGAGUUCUAAAUCAUGAACGUUUCGUGGUUGUUCGGUCGGUAAGAGUUAGUUAUUGGACGUUCCAUAACUAAUUUACACAAGGAAGAGUUGGUGUCCGAGGCGUCCUUGGUAGCUAUAACUAGCUUAUUGGAAAAGAGGAGUUCAUCCAAUUUCGAGGAUCGGUUCAAAGACGAGGAAAAUUCGUGUCUAAAGCUGAGCUCAUUCUAAUUAAUUUUUCUUAAUAUUUAUUUCACAGUUUUUAUUAUUCUAUUUUCAACCUUUACUUUUGACGUUAUUUUUCUGUUAAUUUCAGGUUUUCAAAUUUUUAUCCCCCCGAACGUCUUGGGCACGACAACUGCCCCGACAUAAAUCUGGCCAAACGAGUGACAAUUUACAGUAAACCAGUCUUUGAGGGAUCGACCCUACUCCCUAUACUGCAUAAUUUGCAAAUUAAGGCGUAGGUUUAUAUUGGUGGAUUCGACUCCCAUCAUUUUUGGUAAGAGAGAGACUAAUUUGCUCAUUUUCAAAAUUGAUAAGGAUCAAAGGGGUAUUUACACCAAUCUGUUAUUCAAAUGAUUUGAAUUAUUUGAAUUGUAAAAUUCAAAUCAACUCAACUCGUACUCAAAACUCGAAUUACUUAUUCGAGUUGACUCGAAUAAUUUAAUUCGAUUAACUCGAAAUUCUAUUUCUUUUUUUGAGGUUUUGAAAUUCAAUCAAGUUUCGCUCACCCUAUAUGCAACAAGAGUAGACAGUGGCUAACCAGUCAACAUUUUCCUAACCCAACUUUAAUGAACUGUUAUAUAAUGUUAGAAAUUAGCUUAAGAAACAAUACUUUCUGUAAUACCCCAAAAUUUUUUUAUAGUAAGAUAUUAUCUUUGAUAUAAUAAAAUAAGGAAAUAAAGCGACAAAAAGGGGAAAUUUUGGAGUUAUGUCAACAUUGGGAAGUAUAUUAUGACAUAUUAGUUCAAGAAAGGAUUAAAUCGCAAAAGUGAGAAAAGUUUUGUUGUCCAAGAGUAAAUACUCAAAAUUUGAGGGGUUAAAGUGUAAAUAUGAAAAAGUUGAAGGACCAAUGGUUUAAAUAUUUUAAGGGUGGAAUGAUCUAGAAACUAAGGAAAAUGGAUGGAUUAGGACCAAAUUGAAAAAGGUGAAGAAUUUUGAGGGACUAAAUCACAAUUUUACCAAAUUAAGUGAUGACUCAAGGAUGAAAUUUUAAAAGAUCAUGAAGGGCAAAAUGGUCAAUUAGAAGAGAGAGAAAUCUAGAAGAUAAUGAUAUGUUGGAGAUAUUUUAGAUUAAUUAAAUAAAUAAAUAUUAGUUUAUUAAUAUUUUAAUUUAAUUUUUAAAUGAUAUUUUAUUACUUUUUUAUUAUUUUAUUUAGUGUAUAUAUAUAAGAAAAGAAAGAUGAAGAAUCAUUCAACCCACCAUUUUUCCCAUGCAGCAACGUGAGAAAAGAGAGAAAGAAAGAAAGUUUUGUUUUCUUUACAAUUUGGUCCUUCCACCAAAAAUUUACCAUUUUCAUCUAGAAAUCAAAAGAAUUUCCAUAUCCAUCAAGAGAGAAAGAUAACAAGAAGACUAUGGGGAGCUAUAAUAUCAAGUUGGAUUCAAGAAAUAGAAGCCAGAGGAGAGAGAAAAUCAAGUUAAAGAUUGAAAUCAAUAUGACAAGGUAAGAACAUCAAGAUUUUAAUAUUUUUUUUAAAGUUUGAUAUUAUUGAAAAAGUAUGGAAAUGAUGUUAAUGUAAAGUUUUUGCAUAUAUGGUCUUAUGUUCUUGAUAUUUUAGUGAAGAAAAAUUAAGAGAAAGUGAUGAGAAAUAGUGUAGAGAAAGAAACUAAGGGUGUUAUAAACAUGAUAAUAAAUAUCUUGCACUAAAACAGUUUUGGACAGCAACAGUGGGCUAAAUUUUAAAAAUCACCAUAAAUUAUGAAAAUCAAAUUAGAGGAUGAAAAAAUAUGGAAUUAAAUAUUAUUAAGUCUAGUUUCUCAUAGAAGAAACGGUGUAAGUAAUGGAAUUGUAAAUCAUGAGAUAUAAUAAAUUUUGUGAGACAAUGUCAGAAUGAAUUUGGAUUCCCAUGUUCUGACUUUACAAAAUCAUCAAAAAUUGAAUAAAAAUAAUUAGAGGCUUAAAUUUAUAUGUUUAAAAUACUGAAUGAGUAUAUUUUCAAUAGAAACAAACGGGAACAUCAUUCAAAUUCUGUACAAAGAGAUAAUUAAUUUUUAGUAAAUAGGGGUUGGAACUUUCAAAUAGUGAAACAGGGGAAACUUUAAUGAAUAAACCGUACUUAUUGGAUAAACCAAAAAUUUUAAAAAUUUUAUGAUAAGAAUAUAUGUGAGUCUAGCUUCAGAUAAAAUUUGCAGAUCUCAAUUCAGAGUUCUGUAGCUUAAGAUAUAAUUAAUUUAGUGACUAUGACUCAAGUGAACAGCUUGUUAUGAGUAAACAAGUAAAUAGUGGUAUUAUGUAUAUAUCAAGGAUGUGGAAUGGAGUGGAGGAGGAGAAAAAAAUAUAUGUGAAUAUUCAGCUAAUAUGAUUUUAUUUUAAAAUAGCUAAUUUACAUGUUUUAGGUUUAGGGACUAAAUUGAAUAAAAGUAAAAUUUUAAGGGUAAUUUUGUAAAAAUGUCAAAAAUGACCAAAUUGCAUGAAAUGAAUUGUUUUGUUAUUUAAAUUAAUAAAUGGAAUGAAAUAUUAAUUUAGAUCAAGAUUGGGUGGAAAUUCGAGGAAAAUGGAAAAUUACCAAAAUGUCCCUGAAUUUUGGUAUUUCUACAAUUUAUCUCGGUAAGUUCGUGUAACUUGAAUUAUAUUCUUAAAUUCUUGAAAUGUAUGUUAUUGAUGUGAAUAUGAUUUGAAUGUUCAUUGUAUGAAAAUUGAUGAAACAUUGAUAUAUUUGAUAAAAAGGGGAAGAAAUUCGGGUUGAAUGGAAGGAAAAUUCGAUGGAUAUCUGAAAAGGAAUUGACGGUAAAAAGGAUCUAGCCCAGACAGGUGAUCCUAUCCUGAUAUAGCCCUCCCGAAGAAUAUGUGGAAAAUGGAUUUAGCCCGGACGGGUAAUCCGAAUUAGGGUAUGAAUUUAGCCUGGAUUGGUAAUUCAGAUCCAAGCUCAUUAGAGUAAUUGUCAUUGCAGGGGAUUUAGCCUGGACUGGUAAUCCCGACAAUACUCUAUGAGUUUAUGUUACAGGGGAUUUAGC